UAACAACUUAUUAGAAGGAAGCAUACCUCAAUCUCUGAAGAACUUAAAAGGUCUUGCAUUACUGAACCUAACAAUGAACAAGCUAUCUGGUAGUAUUCCUGAUGCCCUUGCUAGCAUUGGCAACCUGCAACAACUGUAUCUAGCACACAACAACUUGUCAGGUUCCAUCCCCAAAGUUCUACAGAAUUUGACAUUGUUGGCAAAACUGGAUUUGUCAUUCAAUGAUCUGCAAGGCGAAGUGCCAAAAGGGGGUCCUUUUGCAAAUGCAACUCACUUGUCAAUUGAUGGAAAUGAUGAGCUUUGUGGUGGAAACCCUCAACUUCACUUAGCUCCGUGCUUCACAGCUGCUGCGGGGAAGAACAGAAGGCGAAUGUCAAGGUCAGUUAUGGUCACCGUAGCGUCAAUCUGCGCACUUCUAUUCUUAGGUUUAGUAGUUUUUCUUAUCCAUUUGAUCCACAAGACGCUCAGACAAGGAAAGGAAAAUCAACUCAUUCCCACAGUAAUUGAUGAACAGCACGAAAGGGUUUCAUAUCAAGCAUUAGCAAAUGGGACUGACCAUUUUUCGGAGGUUAAUCUGCUCGGACAAGGAAGCUAUGGUGCAGUUUAUAAGUGCACUUUACAUGACAAGGGAAUUACCGCAGCUGUAAAGGUAUUCAACGUAUGGCAAUCUGGUUCUACUAGAAGUUUUGUGGCUGAAUGUGAGGCACUGCGAAGGGUGCGCCACCGAUGUCUCAUAAAGAUCAUCACCUGUUGCUUAAGCAUUGAUCACCAAGGCCAAGAAUUCAAGGCACUGGUUUUUGAGUUCAUGCCCAAUGGUAACCUAAAUGGUUGGCUGCAUCCAGCAUCCAAAAUACAGAGUCUGAGCAAUACGCUCAGCUUAGCUCAGAGACUGGACAUUGCGGUAGAUAUCAUGGAUGCUCUGGAUUAUCUUCACAAUCAGUGUCAACCGCCUAUUAUCCAUUGUGAUCUCAAACCAAGUAACAUCCUCCUUGCCGAAGAUAUGAGUGCUCGGGUUGGAGAUUUCGGCAUAUCAAAAAUCCUUCCUGACGACACUAGCAAAACUCUGCUGAAUUCAGUUAGCUUCACUGGACUAAGAGGUUCCAUCGGAUAUGUCGCUCCAGGUAACAGAAACUAACACUGAUAUUGCUAUGUUCAGUUUUUUAACUUCCAUUUUGCCAAGUCCAGUUAUCUCGGCAUGCACGUUCAUAAGUAGCUUGCCAUGAAUCCACUGACCAAAUAGUGUCUGAAAUCUGAAUUGACUGCAGAGUACGGCGAGGGUCGCGCUGUCUCAACUCUUGGAGAUGUUUACAGCCUCGGCAUACUGUUGCUUGAGAUGUUCACCGGGGUGAGCCCUACUGACGACAUGUUCAAAGACUCCUUGGACCUUCAUAAGUUCGCCGAGGCCGCUCUCCCGGACAGAGCCUUGGAGGUAGCCGACCCGGCAAUCUGGCUUCAUGAAGAAGCAAAGGGGAAAGACCCUGCCACGGUGAGAAGCAGAAGCGAGGUGUGCUUGGCUUCAGUGAUCGGGCUUGGCGUGUCCUGCUCAAAGCAGCUGCCAAGGGAGCGGACGGCGAUGCGGGAUGCUGCCGCUGAGAUGCGUCCGAUCAGAGAUGCCUUCCUGGUUCAAUGUGCAACAGAGACUUGGGCUGCAGUCGGCACCACCGGCCUUGGAAGCGCAGACAGUUGAAUGGUGGACGGAGCUACGGUCUCUUGACGCACCAAGGAGCACCGGACUAGCAACUCUGCAACUAACAGAGUGGAGAAAGCGCCCCUUAAUGAAAAGAAAAACAGCCGGUGCAAGGCUUUAUACAAAGAAUGUGACAGCCACUGCGUGUAUCCGAGGCUUUAUACAACUCUGCCUUAUCUAAUCUACCGAGGAUUGUUGCGUAUGGAUGCGUAUAGAUUAUGCACGUACUCCCUCCUCCGUCCUAAAAUAAACGCACAUCUCGUUUCUCGAGGAGUCAAACUUUUAAGUUUGACUAAAAUUUAUAAAAAAAAUGUACUACUAUUUAUAAUGUAUAAUAAAUGUCAUUAUUGAGCAUUGGGUAUACUUUCCUAAUACAUUUAUUUGAAGAUGCAAAUAUUGUUACUAUUUUCUAUAUUCUUAGUCAAACUUAAAAACCCGUCAUGGGGAUUAGUCACGAUAUAAGUAGGGACUAGCAAGCAUCAAAACCCCAUUCACUGCCCAUCUAUCGCUCAAAUAAAAGAAACCAUUGCAUAUGGUGGCGAUGCGCUCGCGAGCCUUUCUCCAACCUUUCUGCUCUCGCGAGCCUUGAACUCGCAUGGAACAGUUUUAGUGAGAGUGUGCCUCCAACUUUGGGAAGAUUGUGAAGCCUUAUUUACCUGUCCUUAAGUGGCAAUAAGUUAUGAUCGAAUGAUAAGGACGGAUUGGAAUUCAUCACCAUGCUAGCAAACUGCAGCCAGCUUCAGCAACUGGCUUUUGAUAAUAAUUCAUUCAUCGGUGAACUUCCUAGCUCAAUAGCAAAUCUAUCGACAACUCACCAAUUACUCUAUAUAGGAAACAAUUGGAUUUCGGGAUUUAUUCCAUCCAGCAUAGGUAAUUUGCUUGGUCUAGAACUGCUUACGUUGGCAAAUACUUUCAUAUCCGGAGUGAUUCCAGAUAGCAUUGGUCGCAUAGAAGACAUGUCCGUGUUAGGCAUUUACUACGCUAGCUUGUCAGGCAUCAUACCUUCAUCACAAGAAACCUUACACAGUUGAAAACUCUAUGCAUACGAUAGCAACUUGGAGGGUCCAAUUCCAGCAAGCUUGGGGAACUUAAAGAAUCUUUUUGUUCUUGAUCUUUCAACGAAAGUGUGUUACCCGUUAAGAUUUCAUGUCGAAGCAGAGCAUAAACCUCUCUCAAGACUGCAAAGCUAUCAUAGAGCAGAUCAGUCUGAGGGCCGGGCUAUGUACCCUUUCGGUAAGAUUACCCCAAACUAGAGUCUGUAAUUAAUUAGCCAAGACUAGAAUUACGUAGUUCUUGUGGUUGUACUGUUUUCCUGGGUGGCCGCUCCAUGUUCCAAUUAAGCAUGAUGAUCUUGUAUUAAUAAAAGGUAUAUCAUAAAUAAAACAAGUUUAAUCAUUGAGUUCAUUAAAACCAUCACAACCCAAGGUAUUGCAACUAAGCAUAUCUACCAAAAAAAGGGUAAAACCCAGGUUGACAAAGAAUGAUCAUAAAAACUAGGUAAACCUUAAUAGGGCCCAUCAAUUUUAAGUGCACAGCAAUGCAAAAGUGAUUAAAUAUAGUUAUUGGGACAAAAGCACAUGGACACACUUGCCUUUCUCCAAAGAAUAGCUGCUCUGAUUAUCUUCAACUCUUGUUCCUCAAAGCUCUCGAACAACGUUCCUUAUACUCACAUCAAUCAUUGGCACAAGCAUACAAAGCAAACAACAAUCACAACUAAGAACAAUACAUCAAUCAUAGGAAAGCUUUAAAAGAGCGCACUAAAGGAUAAGGCUUGAAUCUGAAACACUGGGAACUAAACUAUGGUUGAAAUGACAAAGCUAUCGAGAGAUUUGAAUUAUAAAAGAAAGAGAAAAGCCUAUGCGCUUCAUAUAUUUCAAUAAAGAAAAUAAUGUAAAGAUAUUUUAGAGAAACAUCCUUAGCAAGUUAUAUUUAUAUAUGAAAAGAUAAUGUAGAACUUAGUCAAAUUUUAUUUAUAAACAUUCAAGUACAAUUUAUGCAAAUUAAAAAUUUAAUUUGAAAAUAAAGUAUAUGGAAACAUCUAAGCGCAUAGCUUUAUGAUUCGGGUUGAACUAACCAAAUAUAAUUCAAAAACAUAUUUAUAUUUAUAUUAAGUCAAAUUAACAUAUAAUUAUGAAACCUCGAGAUAUAACUUAUGUAGCUUUUAUUUAGAAAACAAAUUGAAUAAACAUUAAUCAAUUUAAGUUCAAUUAUGAACCACCGUGGUGCAUCUCUAAUUCACUUUUAAUUGAAAGAGUUAUUUAAAUAAGCAUUAACUAAAUUAAUAUUUAUUAUGAAAAGUGGUUAUAACACUAAGUAGCUUUUAAUUAAGGAAGGCAUGUUUAACAUGCAUUAAUUAGAUUAAUAUUAAAUUUAUUUUAAAAACAUGCAUGAUGGAAAGAUCAGUACUAACAUGUAAUUUGUGUUAUCACGAACCUAACUCAACAAGAACGGAUAUAAACGGAGCUGUAACGAGGAGUCUAUGGGUUAAACAAGGUUGCAGGGCCUAAUCACGAUUAACGGAAGGUUGUUGGGGCUAGCAAGGAAGAUUUGCAAGACACUGGAAUAGAGCUCGUUAUUAGGUCAAAGCAUAGGGUUAGAUCUGUUAAAGUGCUCAGGUUGGACUUGGUUGCACGGAUACAAUCUAAUCAGGGACAUGGAUGAAAAAAACAAGACACAAGGAAAAACUAACUAUAUAUAGAGCUUUCUAGGGGCCUAUGCGCAAAAGCACCAUAGCUCAGCAUCCAUGGUGGACGGGCUCCUUGACGGCAAAAUCCUCAUGCUGGAUUUAUAAGCCUGGUAGUCCACCAAGGGGUUUCCCAAGUAGUUGAUUUGUAGGUGAGGGUGAUUGUGAAACCAAGAACUCGAAGGUGAUUGUGAGAACACGAAGGGACACAAAGGUUUUAGACAUGUUCGGGCCUCCGAAGAGUAAUACCCUACGUCCUAUAUGCUGGUUUGUAUUGCUUGAGAUUGAUGUGAUUGUUGCGAUAUCCUCGGGGGUGCCCUUGGCCACCUUAUAUAGGUUGACGACCAAGAGUUAAAAGUCGGUUUGAAUCUAAUCUACUCGGUAGUUACAUGGAAAGUAAUCUGAGUUGGACUACAAUACACGUUCCAUGAUAUCCGAGCAGAUUUGAACUGUCUUGUUGCCUUGACUUGCACUCCAAGUAACUUCAUAUCCUCGGCCCACACGCCCUGGUCGAGCGAGCCCUACUUGUCAGGUUCGGCCAGUAUCCUGGUCGGCUGGGGCCCAUGGGGUACCCAUUUCUCUCAAGCCCCCGAGCGUUGUGUAGGCAAAUAGAAACUUGAGGUCACCAAAACGAAACUUGAAAUGAAGUCGGCUGAAGCUGCGAAGGCGUCAUUGCGACGGAGAGGCUGCGCAGUGCUUAAAAGAAGAAAAUCUGAGCAAACACAGAGCCAACGCGUAGAGCGAAGACGAGUGCCGAGUUGAUGGAUGCUGGCAUCCAGUAGGUCGGAGCGAAGGUUACGGAGGGCGUCGCAAGAGAAACUCCGUAGGAGUAGCCCCCGAGCAUUGAAACGAUUAAGAUAAUCGGUACAUUGGUCAAAGUACAAAAAAUUAUCCCAUGAUGUAGAUCCUAGUGCUCGAACACAAGGAUGGGUGCAGCCAUGGAGGCCCGCCCACUAGAAGUAGGCACCCAGACCCAAGGACGAGGACUGAUAGGACCGCGUAGCCACGCUGACCUGAAAUAGGCGUCCAACCCCCGAGGACGAGGACUAGCGGAGCCGCGGAGGCAUGCUGACCUGAAGUAGGCGCCCAGCCCCCGAGGAUGAGGACUGGCGGAGCCAUGAAGGCACGCCGACUUGAAAUAGGCACCAAGUGUAACAACUCUACCUAAAUUAAGUGCUUUUAAAUAUAAACUAGUGGCUAAUCACUAAGUUAAAGAAGUAAAAUGACCAUUUUAACCCUAAGAAGCUCUUUUUGGAGUUUGAAAUAAAACUUGGAAUUUUAUAUGCAAACUUAAAAUUUUGCCCAAACAAGAGUUGUAAAACUUUCAAUUUCAAACAACUUUUGUUAAACGAACUUUGACUAAUUCAGAGUGGGAGGAAGUCAAAAAUAGCAAUCAAAACUGGAGUACUAAAGAACCCUAUAAACCUCCUAAGUCCUGGUUUUCAAAUUUUCCCUCCAACUUUGCAAGCCUUUAUCUCAUGAUUUCUUAUCCAAACUCAAGUCAGGCUCUUAAUAAAAGUUGUAGUCCCUCGAGUGUGUUCCAACUUUGUUACACUGACCCAGGUCCAAAUCGGGCCAGAACCUGUUCAAAAUCUUGGUCAAAGUGAGGUAAAACAGUCAACUCAUCCCUUGAGCCCCACAACGCUAAGUCUGAAAAACUGCUCAGAGUGCACCUCUUGGCGAGGGCGUUCCUCCAAAUUUUUGAACUAAACUCAAGAAAUACCCUAAAUAAAAGCUUAAACCCAGGGACCCCUACGUAGUUAAACCUUAAACCCAGGGGCUUGCUUGCAACUUUGUCACAGCUUUUCUUUUAAAUAAUAGGCAGAAAUAUGGUUGAAUUUUGUAAAUGCCCAGUAAAUCGUAGAAUAAUCAUAAAAAUGCCAAACUACUUUUGCUAGAAUCCUUUCUCUGUCUAGUUCCUAAGAAAAAUAAGUUUGCUCAUGUUACUGUUGUAAAUAAUAUCCUACGCUUUUAAUCAUGUUGUAGGCCUUUUAAAUCCUAAUAAAUAGAAGAAAAGUGGGAAAAAUGUGGAACCAACUCUGUGAUGCUUGUUUCUAUGUGUAGAAGCUUAGAAAAAUAGUUAGGGCUCUGGUGUAGCACUUUAAGUCACUGUUUUGACUUUAAAUUGGGAAUCUAAGUAUAAAUCUUCCUUUUUGCAUAAGUUUUGAUCUAGAGCUUAGAAAAAUGUGAAACUAGUUGGGUUAAUUUUGUUUUGCUGUAAAGUUCUCAGGAAAAAUAUAAAUUGUUGUGCAAAUCAGAAAUAAAAACACCUUCCUUGCUAAGCAUGUUUAAUUAAGAAAAGAAAUAGAGUAAAUAGUAACCUUGUCCAAAAAUUACGAAAAAAUUCACCAAAGCACCUGUAACAUACCCUUAACACACUGCUUAAGUUUCACCCUCUGUUGCACAAUAAUUUUGAAGAUGGAAAAAAUUAAGCUCAGUUUACCUUUAAUAAUAAAAUGCAUGUAACUUCUUUUUAAGUCAUCCUUUGGCCCCCAAACUUUUACAGUAACCUAGUGAUGGCUUAAGUGAGGUGCUGUAAUUUUAUCAAUGACUUUAACUACUUUUUGGAUAUGAAGUCAUUUUGGUUAAUUAAUCAACCUAAAGGAAUAAAAGGAGAGCGCGAAUUCUAAUACGAUAAAUAAGUGGACACUGAAAGAGGUACAUAAAAACAUUCAGAAGUAAGUAAUUAUUCCAAUGCAUCCAAACCACCCAACACGACCUUUCACACUCUUUAUGCAACUCUAAAUGCAAGAAAGCUAUAUAUGUACACAAUCGCCAUUCAACGCGAACUCAAGUUUAAAACGACCACUUUCGUUUGAAGUUAAAAAAAGUAAACCUCAUCAAAGUGUUUGUGGCUGUUGUGACUCUUGUCUUAAGCCAUGCCUUGUGUCGUUGAAUAAACGCGCGAGUCCAACUAAAUUUUUGUAUGUGCAUGUCGUAUAGAAGCAACUCUCGCCGACGGAACCUACGAGCUCCACCCGGCACCAGAGAAAGACCCCGCUACGGAGCUUCACCACUUGGAAGGCGAGCCCGAACCGGAGCAAGAUCCUGAGGACCCGCUAACUUUUCCUGAAGGCAAGCCCCGGAGCAUAAAUUCCUAUCUUUGAAUACUUGCAAUAUUAUUGAACACUUUGAUUGCGCAUUUACGUUUCUAGGAGUUGUAAUGAAACCUUAGAUGCAUGAACUUAGUACCUUGUUUGAAUACUAGUUGCUAAAGUCGAGUAGUUGCAAUGCUUAAUAGGUUCCGGUAAAAGUCGAGUGAUUUCCUAUCACUCGCGAGUUAUAGGAGUUGAAUGUUUACUUAUGUUGCAACUAUAAGGACGAUGGAUGUGGUCGGGCUUAUGUUCGAUACUUGGUGGUUUUUCCCCGUCUGUCUAAAGGAAAUUGAUCUAAGGUUGAAAUGUGUCGGCGUUCGUGAUCAAGUGUUUGAAAGUACUAAUCUCAUACCUAGUAUGGGAUGGGGAAGCCUAGUACCUGAUUGAACUGGGGCAUGGCAUACUCCCCCAGCUGCCUUGGAACACCGUUCCCAUGGUGCAUCAUGUGGGUGCAAGUGCGGUCAUAGUACGGCAGAGGCCGGGAUUAUGGAGCAUGGCAUGCCAAAGGCAGUUGGCCCUGACACGUGCCUAAGGGAUCGAUGGGGACGGCUGACAAAUGAAGCAACCCUUCGUGGUGCGCGGAUGUCGUGAGAUUAGGUUCGCCAUGCAUGGUUAAUAAAUUCGAAUCGAUUCGUCUGCCUCUCACAGUUUGGGACUACUUGAUCGCUAUUCUGCACUGAGUAACGAUGAAACAUGAUUACGAGAUUAAGUUGAUGCUUGUUAUUUAACUGCUUGGAAAUCAUGCUUGUUUAGCAUAAGUGGCUAAUCUAGAAUGGUUAAAGAACGUAGAACUUGAGCUAAAAUAUUGAAAGUAAGGACUGAUUGUAGACGCUUGUGGCAAAGAAAUCGCAGAGCCAGAAAGCCUUGCAUGUCUAGGUCUUGGUAAAGCUUUUCACUCGACGGGUCAGUCUUGCUGAGUAUUAGUUGCUCAGCCUUGUUGUGGCUUAAUCUUUUCCAGUGAUGUCAAUAGUUUGGUUGCGGGCACCACUUGGCCUACCCAGCUCCCUCCGGGCUGGACAGUCGAGUGGGAUCCCUCCUCGGACGGCGAGGGAAGGGAUUUUUGAUGUCAUGAUUGGAUCCGUCGUGAUGUCAUGUAUCGAUGUUUAGCUUCCGCUUGUUUUAUCCGACUUUUCGAACCUUGCAACUUGUUUGAAUUUUCAGAAACUCUGAUGUAAUAAUUUGUGACACUAAGGAAUGUGAUGGAAUGUAGUAAUCUCUGUGCUACUCACCUUCAUGUGAGCGAUGCUUCUCGAUCCUGUUUAGGUGGUUCAUCGGAUGAAAUCCAACGGUCGACCAGUUUGACUUGCUUAAAGUGCAUAAUCGCGUGUCAGGCGACUUCAACGCAUUUUAGUCAGGUUAAUUUGGGUGGUUCCGCCACAGCUAGCAUCAGAGCUCGAAGCACGGUAUGGAGAACAACAAACCUUAAAACACUUUUCCUGACUAAAACUUGCAAGAAACGAGUUGAAAAAUUCGUAAGUUCGUUAAGGAUGAAUUUAGUACGAGGAGCCCUAGGGGAAUUUUGGGUCUUUUAAGGUGGCUAAUAAUUAUUGGUUAUCUUCUGACUUCCAGCACUUGUUACCACGUCUAUCAUACGUGUGCCGAGAUCUGCAUCGCGAGUGUGCGAAGGGUGAUAGGAAUUCGAUUCCAACGAGCCUAUCAUCACGGUUGUUUCGCCCACGUCUAUUAUACGUGCGCAGGUUCCGUAUGUUAAUUCAUGCGAAGGAUGGUAUGGUUCGAUUCCAACGAGCCUAUCAUCACGGUUGUUCGCCCACGUUUAUUAUACGUGUGCAUGAUUCCGCAUCACGAGAAUGUGAAGGGUUAUAUGGUUCUAUUCAAGGGAACCUAUUUCCACGGUUGUUGCGCUGUCCAUGCAGCGUUAAACGCAUGGGUGCCGUUUCUAUAGUGAACGGUAAUGAUUGUGGACGCUUUUGUGAGUACUGGCACGGAAAGUUCAAGCUAUGAUGUGUUUUUCUGCGGGUACACUAACAACGUUGCGUACGAAACGAUGCUUAGCAACUCGACUAGUUAUUAUAGUGAGAGUCGUAUUGUUGCCUUGCCACCGGCACUAACCACGUAAGUUCAAAGAUUUUUGGCGAUUAUUUUUGGUUGAGAGGAUGACUAGGACGUGCAUGCAUUAAGAAAUAAAAACCGCAACCUAAGGAAAUAAAACCAAGCUCGAGUGUGUCGUAAAAAGAAAUGCACCGCGAUAAGGAUCGUCUAGUUGUCCUUUUUUUUCCGCCAUGCACGUUUAAAUAAAUCUUUCAGGUUGUUCCAUAUGAUAACUUCAGAAACUUUAUAUAAGAAAUUUGUGUUAAAUCUCCCAAGUAAACUGCUGAAAAUUUUUCACAAAGUACUACCACUUGGGUUGAGAGUUGUGAUCAGUUUUGUGACCCCCUGUUGGCUGUUAGCCCUGAGUGCACACCAGUUGGAAUUCUGCUGUUUCGACCACCUUAAGAACUUUUUCUGCUAGGAGUCCCUUAAGAAACGUUUCUCAAAACUUAAUAAAGAACUUACUGGUAAAAUUGCAGCUUCAUUAGGUCUCUUGUUUUGAAGUUAUGUUCAGUUUACUUUGACUCGGGUCUGAAAAAUUCUAGCAUGUACACUUAAUGGGAAUCUGAGGUUAUCACCUUGUUAGGUCCUGUUCUAGCCCUACCUUUGAAUACCAAACUUGUUACGCACUAUCUAAAGAACAUGCUGGUAAAAUUUGAGAAAUUUUGGAUGAAUAAUUGCUGAGUUAUGAGCUUUUCUCUAACUGCUAGAAAUCUGUUUUGAUUUCCAAGUGUUAACUCCGUUUCUCACUUGUCCUUUGGUUACAGUGGCUCAGCCUGUGCACGUUGCAGUCGGUACGGAUGGCACCACCUACUCACGGUGCCUUCACUACGAGGGUUUCCUAGCCGUACUGUGGGACACCCUGCGCUCUUUUGGGUACCCGUCACCGCCAGUUUACGCGGGACGUGCAUACCAGGACCGCGGGAUUCCGCGGAGUCGCGUGCACGUGCGGGUGCCCCCGCCUCCGGGUCAGCCACAGUGUCCGCUUUUGGAGGUGGUGGCCGAGGGAUAGACACUACAGGACACCUGGGAGUUCGCAGCCUUGCAGACCCUGACACAGUUUUGCCGGGCACACCCUCUUGAGAUCGUGCUGGACCCGAUUGGGUUGUGCUCUGCUCGGGAUACGAGGGACCCGGAUUGGUUGGAUCGUAUGGAGCAUAUGGACUUACUCAGGGUUAUGGAUCCACAACGCACGAUUUUUGUUUCAGCUCGUUGCCUGAACGUGUUCUUCCGGAUGGUUGAGAUGCAGAGCCGAGCGAUGGCUACGGUGAUCGGGAUGGCAGUGGCCAACCAGGUCGCUUUAUCUGCCGUGCAGAGUGGCAUGGUGGACCAGUCGCUUGAGCUAGUACAGAAGGAUGUCCAGAUUGCUGAGAUGCAGGACAAGAUCACUCGUUUGGAGGAGGAGAUUGUGGAUAUGGAGCAUGAUAUGGAGAUCUUGGCUGACCAGUUCUAUGAUGUGAACAUGGAGCCGGCGAACGUCAAUGAGCACCUGCAGGAGCAUCACGAUGAGCUUAAUGCCAUUCACACCUUAGAGAUGCAGCAGGAUGAGCCGAUGGCCCAGGAGGAGGAGCCUGAGGAGAUCGAGGGCUUUUCGAGCAUGGACUAUGAGGAGGCCUCUCCGCAGCCUCCAGUUGGCGAUGCUCACUCUCCUGCCCUUAGCUUUGCCUCCGUGGGCAACCUCGACGACUUCUAGUUGUGUUGACUUGUUGUUGAGGGGUUCUCUUUUGUUUUUACUCCUCGGCGACCUAUAUUUUGGCUAGUGAUAUAAUAGGUUAGCUUGAGUUGAGUAUUUGGGAGUUGAGAAACUGAUUCUAUGUUGGAUUGCCGUUGCUAUCUUUAGUGUAAUGUCUGAAAUUUAUGGCAGAACUGCAGUGACUGUUUCUCCUCAGUUUUACCCCUGUCUCCACUCGUUUUUGAGCCAAAGUUUGAAUACCAAAGUUGUGCAAAAACUUCUGUUCUAACUAUUCGUAAAUUUUCAGCUCCUUCGGAUCUGUCAAACGCCCGCUAGAGCCAAAACCCCACUGUUCAGCUUGCUGAAAAAUCAGCCGGACAGCAACUUGCUAGAACGUCUAAACGACCUCUUUUCCUUCCUUUUCGGUCGACAAGCGUAACAUGAAAGUGGUUGUGUACGAUAUAUUCUAACCCUCACUUAAGGAUGAGAACCUUGUGCACUUCGAAGAAGAGAUAUGCACCUACUCAAUAAAAGUUUUGAUUGUUGCUUUUGCACCAUCGGCAAGACUAGCGUUUAUCAUUUCCGCACAUAAUGUUUCCUUAUGGUUAAACAAGAUUUUGGGGCUAUGUGACUAAUGGAAAGGUGAAUCUUGCAGAUGGCACAUCGCAUAUGCUCCGGCUCCAUUCCUAGUGGCAGCGAGGUGCCUCCCCCACCUCCGCCUCCAACCACCCUCGAGGCAAUCUUGGCGGCUCAAACCGAGCUGCUGAGGCACAUCGCUCAGGGACAGCAGCAGCAGCAGCCCUAGGGAGGAAGAGCCCAUCAGCAGCCUCAUGUUGCUCGCUACGAGGACUUUCUGGGGACCCAGCCUCCUCUGUUCCACAAGACGGAGGACCCGCUUGACGCCGAUGCCUGGAUUCGUGCCAUCGAGUCCAAGUUCUCCCUUCUCACCGCCCAUUGCCCGGAGGAGAACAAGGUUCGGUUCGCCGCGCAACAGUUGCAUGGUUCUGCUCUCCUGUGGUGGGAUCACUACCACGCCAUGCAGCCGGCCGACCACGUCGUCGGCUGGGAGGAAUUCAAGACAGCGUUCAAGGGCCAUCACAUCCCUGAGGGUCUUCUGGAGCGCAAGCUCAAUGAGUUCCUGGCUCUCACCCAGGGAGGCCGCGACGUCCUGCACUAUGCGCAGGCUUUCAAUGACCUGUGUCGCUAUGCAGGCUAUCAUGCAGACUCUGAUGAGAAGUAGAGGGACCGCUUCCACAGAGGCUUGAGCCUGGAGCUCAAGGAAAGCCUGAAUCCCAUCAAGGUGGAUUCCUACAAUGAACUGGUGAACCUGGCAAUUUCCCAGGAAGAUUGCAUGAGGGCUCUCAAGGCUGACCUGAAGCGAAAGGCUCCAAUGCCGGCACCCGGCCCACCGGCCCAGAAAUACAAAGUGGUUCCCCCACAGGCGUCUCACAGGCCCGCACAACCUAGGAGAUGGGUUGCUCGACCUCCACCGCAGGCAGCACCUCAUUUCCCUGGAUUCCAGCCGCAAGGGCCCCGACCUACUCUUCCUAUGCCGCCAUGCCUAGUCACUGGAAACCGCUGUUUCACCUGCGGGAACCCAAGACACUUUGCCAAGAACUGCCCCCGCAACAAGAAUCAACGACCCGGUCAGAGCAAUGCACUGAGCAACAAGGGGAAGAAGCCGAGGGUUCAGGUCCGACAAGGCAGGCUGAACUACACCACCCUUGCUGAACUUCCAGAGGGUGCACCAGUGAUGACGGGUACCUUUUCUAUCUAUAACCAACCCGUCCUUAUUCUGUUUGAUUCGGGAGCAUCUCAUAGUUUCAUUGGGACUAGAACCAGUGCUAAGUGUGGGUUAGAUUUCUGUCACACAAAAGGUGCUUAUAUAAUCUCUACCCUGGGUAGGAAAGUAACUUCACACCAAGUGAGCCGCAAGGUGCCUAUCCAGUUGGGGAGAACCCUUUUUAAGGAAAACCUCCUUAUCCUUGGGAUAGAAGGAAUAGAUAUUAUCUUGGGUAUGGAUUGGAUGACUCGACAUCGAGUGGCACUAGACAUCCCUGCCAGAGCCGUCCAUAUAAACUCACCCAUUUAUGGUAGCUCAAUCAUACACUUACCCCCCCGAGAGUGCCAAACUUUUUGUGCCUAUCCCUUGACUGAAGCCCGUUUAGAAGACAUCCCAGUGGUGUGCGAGUAUCCCGAUGUGUUUCUAGAUGAUUUGCUGGGUAUGCUGCCUAAUAGAGAUAUCGAGUUUGCUAUUGAGUUGCAACCAGGUACUGCCCCAAUUUCAAAGAGACCGUACCGGAUGCCACCAGCCGAGCUGGCAGAAAUGAAAGCUCAGUUUCACGAUCUGUUGGACAAAGGUUUUAUUCAUCCAAGUACAUCACCUUGGGGUGUCCCCGCCUUGUUUGUGAAAAAGAAGGACGACAGUCUGCGUAUGUGUCUGGACUACUGCCCUCUCAAUGCGGUGACGAUAGAGAACAAGUACCCACUACCCCGCAUUGAUGUUCUGUUCGAUCAGUUAGCUGGAGCUAGAGUGUUUUCCAAAAUUGACCUCCAUUCUGGCUACCAUCAAAUCAAGAUCCACCCGUGCGACAUUCCUAAGACUGCUUUCUCUACACGGUAUGGACUCUAUGAGUACUUAGUCAUGUCAUUUGGGCUUACUAAUGCACCAGCUUAUUUCAUGUACCUCAUGAAUUCGGUGUUUAUGCUCGAACUCGACAAAUUCAUCGUGGUUUUCAUUGACGAUAUCUUGGUGUACUCAAAGGAUGAGGAAGAACAUGCAGAGCACCUACAUACUGUACUCCAACGCUUAAGAGAUCACCAACAAUAUGCCAAAUUCUCUAAGUGUGACUUCUGGCUGGACAGUGUUAAAUUCUUGGGGCACACCAUAUCCAGAGACGGUAUAGCAGUAGACCCAAGCAAAGUGCAAGAAGUAAUGGACUGGAAGUCGCCCACUUCAGUUCAUCGGAUUCGAAGUUUUCUCGGGUUAGCAGGUUACUACCGUCGCUUCAUUCCUGACUUCUCAAAAAUAGCUAAGCCAAUGACGAAACUGCUAAGGAAGGGAGUUAAGUUCAUGUGGAGUGACAAAUGUGAAGAAGCCUUCCACACCCUGAGACAAUUACUGACCUCUGCGCCGGUUUUAGCUCAGCCCAACACCACUAGGCUGUUUGACGUAUAUUGCGAUGCCUCUAGCACUAGACUGGGUUGUGUUCUUAUGCAAGACAGCCGAGUCAUUGCCUAUGCCUCACGAGCGCUACGGCCACAUGAGUUGAACUACCCUACCCAUGAUCUCGAGUUAGCAGCAAUCGUUCAUGCUCUGAAAUUAUGGAGGCAUUAUCUUAUGGGAACUCGAUGCAACAUCUAUACGGAUCACAAGAGUCUUAUGUACAUCUUCACUCAAGCAGACCUCAACAUGCGCAAGAGAAGAUGGUUAGAAUUAAUCAAAGAUUAUGACCUAGAAGUGCACUAUCACCCAUGCAAAGCCAAUGUAGUUGCCGAUGCUCUCAGCCGCAAGAUCCAUUGUAACUGCUUAUCGGCAAUUAAUUAUGCCGAGACCCUCUGUCAUGAAAUGGCUAAACUCAACUUGGAAAUUGUUCCCCAUGGCACCUUAAGUCAUAUUUCUUUAGAGCCUACCCUGCUUGACCAAAUAAUUUUAGCACAACUAGAGGAUGAAGAGAUAAACCUUAUCAAGGAGAAACUCGCACAGGAGGAUGAGGGAUAUAAGCAUUUCUGAUAGGAUUGGAGAGGAGUGGUACAUUAUGAAGCUCGACUCGUAGUUCCAAAUGAUCCCGAUCUUAGGAAACAAAUUCUGGACGAAGCACACCUUUCCAAGUUCUCGAUUCACCCUGGUAGUACCAAGAUGUACCACAACCUCUGACAAAAUUUCUGGUGGAGUGGAAUGAAACCCGACAUUGCACGAUAUGUUUCAGAGUGUGAUACCUGUCAGCGAGUCAAAGCAAGCCACUUAAGGGUAGCUGGCCCCUUGCGGCCACUGCCUAUUCCCUCGUGGAAGUGGGAGGACAUAAGCAUUAUAGUCAGACUACCCAAUACCUCCCGCAAACAUGAUUCGAUAUGGGUUAUAGUAGACCGACUUACCAAAACAGCGCAUUUUCUUCCAGUACACACCACCCGCGCCAUACAGAAAUAUGCAGAACUGUACCUUGACCGGAUUGUUUCCUUGCAUGGUGUACCUAAGACGAUCAUCUCUGAUCGAGGUAGUCAGUUUGUAGCACGCUUUUGGGAGCAGUUGCAGUUUUCACUUGACACUAAAUUUAUUCGUAGUUCCACAUAUCAUCCUUAAACCGAUGGACAAACUGAAAGGGUUAACCAGAUUUUGGAAGAUAUGCUACGCGCCUGUGCCAUUCAUUAUGACAAGAACUGGGAUAAGUGUUUGCCAUUAGCGGAAUUCUCAUACAACAAUAGUUACCAAGCUAGCCUGAAAAUGGCGCCUUUUGAAGCCUUGUAUGGACGUAGAUGCCGAACCCCGCUAAGCUGGUCGCAACAGUGUAUGGACCUGACCUGGUCAUGGAGGCCGAAGAAAAAGUAAGAGUUAUUCGUGAAAAUCUCAAGGCCGCCCAGUCUCGACAAAAGAGCUAUUCCGAUCAAAGAAGAAGACCUAUCCAAUUUGAGGUUGGGGAUUUUGUAUACCUGCGGGUUUCACCGACCAAAGGCGUACAACGUUUUGGAGUAAAAGGAAAGUUGGCUCCGCGCUAUAUUGGUCCCUAUGAGAUUGUAGAAGUUUGUGGACCCGUAGCGUAUCGAGUUAAACUUCCAGAGAAGAUUGCAGCGAUACACGAUGUUUUCCAUGUCUCACAACUCAAGAAGUGCAUUCGGGUUCCAACUGAAAUCAUCGCCUCGGAAGAAUUGGAGAUUGAACCCGAUUUAACAUACAAGGAGUAUCCUGUUAAGAUCCUUGACCGGAAGGAAAGACAUACUCGUAGGCAAAUGGUAAAAAUGUACAAAAUUUGGUGGAGUAACCAUACGGAAGAUGAAGCGACCUGGGAGACGGAAGAGUAUCUCAACACUAACUUCCGCGGUUUUCUUUUCGACCAGGAAGGUACGUUGCACCGGCCACACUAGUUCCUUUCUGCACUUGAAUCUCGGGGCGAGAUUCCUUUAAGGGGGGUAGGCUGUAACAACUCUACCUAAAUUAAGUGCUUUUAAAUAUAAACCAGUGGCUAAUCACUAAGUUAAAGAAGUAAAAUGACCAUUUUAACCCUAAGAAGCUCUUUUUGGAGUUUGAAAUAAAACUUGGAAUUUUAUAUGCAAACUUAAAAUUUUGCCCAAAUAAGAGUUGUAAAACUUUCAAUUUCAAACAACUUUUGUUAAAGGAACUUUGACUAAUUCGGAGUGGGAGGAAGUCAAAAACAGCAAUCAAAACCGGAGUACUAAAGAACCCUAUAAACCUCCUAAGUCCUGGUUUUCAAAUUUUCCCUCCAACUUUGCAAGCAUUUAUCUCACGAUUUUGUAUCUAAACUCAAGUCAGGCUCUUAAUAAAAGUUGUAGUCCCUCAAGUGUGUUCCAACUUUGUUACACUAACCCAGGUCCAAAUCGGGCCAGAACCUGUUCACAAUCUUGGUCAAAGUGAGGUAAAACAGUCAACUCAUCCCCUGAGCCCCACAACGCUAAGUCUGAAAAACUGCUCAGAGUGCACCUCUUGGCGAGGGCGUUCCUCCAAAUUUUUGAACUAAACUCAAGAAAUAACCUGAAUAAAAGUUUAAGUCCUCAGUUUGGAGAGCAACUCCUUCAAUAACACUUCAGUCUAAUUCAACUUGGAAGCUGCCCUAAAUUCGACUCAAACAUAGCUAAGUUCCUGAAAUUCCACCUCUCCGGCCAAAAUUGGCUAAGUCUGGAUUUCCAGAUUUUUAGCAAACUUUGGCACGAGAUAUCUUCAAAUCCUUUCACAAUCUAAACCAGCACCUUAAACCAAGUUUGAACUACGUCCAGAGUUGAACAAGUUUGUUUAAAGGAGUUUUGGAAGAUGUGUUGCAAAAUCUUAAGUUAGGAUCUCCCAAAGCCGGUCGGGCUUGCUGCCCGAAGGGGGCCUCGACGCCCGCGCGCCAGAGCACGUUCGCCCGCGCGCCACGCGUCGCGUGGCCGCCGGCCACCGGCAGUUCGCCGGCGCCCUAUCACCGGCAAGACAACGAUAGGGCAAGGGCCACGGCGCCCAACCCGCGCUUGCGACAGGACGGUGCGAAUGCCGGGCUAGCGAACCGCCGGCCGCGCGGGUGUCCUUUUCCCCCUGCCACGGCUCUGCUCCGCCAACCGUGCUCCGCCCGUCCGCGGGAGAAGCCGCCACGCCGAUGACAUCCCGCGCCUCCGCCCGCUCGCCCAACCCCAAUGGUAGCCCUCCGCUUCGCCCGCCCGACAGACCGGAAGCCUCAGACACGCAUCGCCCAAGGCCAAUCCCCGCCGGAGACCACUCGGAGCUCCGACUCCUCUGCCCAAUGGCGCCGCUGGCCAAUGGCCGCCUCGCCCGCGCACCCGCCGCACCUGGCCUUAUCCUUCCUCCACCAGAGCCCCGCCUCGACCCUCCGCUCCACCGCUGCCCUAUAAAAAGGUCCCUCUCACCGGCAACGCCACCCUUUGCCACCACCCACAAUCGCGCCACCGCUUCCUCCUCUGCGCCGCCACUAAUCUUCCGUGGAGCUCACCCCUCCGCGCCACCCCGCACUCCGGCGACUUCACCGCUUGCUUUGCCAACCCACCGCGCACGUCUCCGAGCAGCUCGUGGCCUCCCCGACGCCGCCGAUGCGCCGGAACGUCGCCUGCACCGCCGCCAGCCAAGCUCUGUUGCCGCCGCCGCGUUCCGAUCCCCGUCGGCCAUCUCCGUCGCCCCAACCCCGCCAAACCGAGCUCAGGUGAGCCCCCGCACCUCUCCGGCCACUUGUUGCCCCAUCCUCGCCGGCGAACCGCCGGGGAUUUCCUCACCGCCGCCGCGCGCGCCCCGGGGACCACAUUGCAUCGUCCCCAUUCUUUCCAGGGGCUUGAGCGCAAAACUCAAGGACCCCUGUGUAGUUAAACCUUAAACCCAGGGGCUUGCUUGCAAGUUUGCCACGGCUUUUCUUUUAAAUAAUAGGCAGAAAUAUGGUUGAACUUUGUAAAUGCCCAGUAAAUCGUAGAAAAAUCAUAAAAAUGCCAAACCACUUUUGCUAGGAUCCUUGCUCUGUCUAGUUCCUAAGAAAAAUAAGUUUGCUCAUGUUAAUGUUGUAAAUAAUAUCCUAUGCUUUUAAUCAUGUUGUAGGCCUUUUAAAUCCUAAUAAAUAGAAAAGUGGGAAAAAUGUGGAACCAACUCUGUGAUGCUUGUUUCUAUGUGUAGAAGCUCAGAAAAAUGGUUCGGGCUCUGGUCUAGCAUUUUAAGUCACUGUUUCGACUUUAAAUUGGGAAUCUAAAUAUAAAUCUUCCUUUUUGCAUAAGUUUUGAUCUAGAGCUCAGAAAAAUGUGAAACUAGUUGGGUUAAUUUUGUUUUGCUGUGAAGUUUGCUGGAAAAAUAUAAAUUGUUGUGCAAAUCAGAAAGAAAAACACCUUCCUUGCUAAGCAUGUUUAAUUAAGAAAAGAAAAGGAGUAAAUAGUAACCUUCUCCAAAAAUUAUGAAAAAUUCACCAAAGCUCCUGUAACAUACCCUUAACACACUGCUUAAGUUUCACCCUCUGUUGCACAGUAACUUUGAAGAUGGAAAAAGUUAAGCUCAGUUUACCUUUAAUAAUAAAAUGCAUGUAACUUCUUUUUAAGUCAUCCUUUGGCCCCCAAACUUUUACAGUAACCUAGUGAUGGCUUAAGUGAGGUGCUGUAAUUUUAUCAAUGCCUUUAACUACUAUUUGGAUAUGAAGUCAUUUUGGUUAAUUAAUCAACCUAAAGGAAUAAAAGGAGAGCGCAAAUUCUAAUACGAUAAAUAAGUGGACACUGAAAGAGGUACAUCAAAACAUUCAGAAGUAAGUAAUUAUUCCAAUGCACCCAAACCACCCAACACGACCUUUCACACUCUUUAUGCAACUCUAAAUGCAAGAAAGCUAUAUAUGUACACAAUCGCCAUUCAACGCGAACUCAAGUUUAAAACGACCACUUUCGUUUGAAGUUAAAAGAAAGUAAACCUCUCCAAAGUGUUUGUGGCUGUUGUGACUCUUGUCUUAAGCCAUGCCUUGUGUCGUUGAAUAAACGCGCGAGUCCAACUAAAUUUUUGCAUGUGCAUGUCGUAUAGAAGCAAAUCUCGCCGACGGAACCUACGAGCUCCACCCGGCACCAGAGAAAGACCCCGCUGCGGAGCUUCACCACUUGGAAGGCGAGCCCAAACCGGAGCAAGAUCCUAAGGACCCGCUAACUUUUCCUGAAGGCAAGCCCCGGAGCAUAAAUUCCUAUAUUUGAAUACUUGCAAUAUUAUUGAACACUUUGAUUGCGCAUUUACGUUUAUAGGAGUUGUAAUGAAACCUUAGAUGCAUGUACUAGUUGCUAAAGUCGAGUAGUUGCAAUGCUUAAUAGGUUCCGGUAAAAGUCGAGUGAUUUCCUAUCACUCGCGAGUUAUAAGAGUUGAAUGUUUACUUAUGUUGCAACUAUAAGGACGAUGGACAGGGUCGGGCUUAUGUUCGAUACUUGGUGAUUUUCCCCGUCUGUCUAAAGGAAAUUUAUCUAAGGUCGAAACGUGUCGGCGUUCGUGAUCAAGUGUUUGAAAGUACUAAUCUCAUACCUAGUAUGGGAUGGGGAAGCCUAGUACCUGAUUGAACUGGGGCGUGGCAUACUCCCCCGGCUGUCCUUGGAACACCGUUCCCAUGGUGCAUCAUGUGGGUGCAAGUGCGGUUAUAGUACGGCAGAGGCCGGGAUUAUGGAGCAUUGCAUGCCAAUGGCAAUUGGCCCUGACACGUGCCUAAGGGAUUGAUGGGGACGGCUGACAAAUGAAGCGACCCUUCGUGGUGCGCAGAUGUCGUGAGAUUAGGUUCGCCAUGCAUGGUUAAUAAAUUCAAAUCGAUUCGGCUGCCUCUCACAGUUUGGGACUACUUGAUCGCUAUUCUGCACUAAGUAACAAUGAAACAUGAUUAUGAGAUUAAGUUGAUGCUUGUUAUUUAACUGCUUGGAAAUCAUGCUUGUUUAGCAUAAGUGGCUAAUCUAGAAUGGUUAAAGAACGUAGAACUUGAGCUAAAAUAUUGAAAGUAAGGACCGAUUGUAGACGCUUGUGGCAAAGAAAUCGCAGAGCCAGGAAGCCUUGCAUGUCUAGGUCUUGGUAAAGCUUUUCACUCGACGGGUCAGUCUUGUUGAGUAUUAGUUGCUCAGCCUUGUUGUGGCUUAAUCUUUUCCGGUGAUGUCAAUAGUUUGGUUGCGGGCACCACUUGGCCUACCCAGCUCCCUCCGGGCUGGACAGUCGAGUGGGAUCCCUCCUCGGACGGCGAGGGAAGGGAUUUUUGAUGUCAUGAUUGGCUCCGUCGUGAUGUCAUGUAUCGACGUUUAGCUUCCGCUUUUUUUAUCUGACUUUUCGAACCUUGCAACUUGUUUGAAUUUUCAGAAACUCUGAUGUAAUAAUUUGUGAAACUAAGUAAUGUGAUGGAAUGUUGUAAUCUCUGUGCUACUCACCUUCGUGUGAGCGAUACUUCUCGAUCCUAUUUAGGUGGUUCAUCGGAUGAAAUCCGACGGUCGACCAGGUUGACUUGCUUAAAGUGCAUGAUCGUGUGUCAGGCGACUUCAAUGCAUUUUAGUCAGGUUAAUUUGGGCGGUUCCGCCACAGCAAGCCCCCGAGGACGAGGACCGGCAAAGCCAUGAACGCACGCUGACCAGAGUUAGGCGUCCAGCCCCCGAGCAUGAGCGCAAGGACUGGUGGAAGCACGUCGAGUUGCCUCCCGCCCUAAGCCGAGGCAGAGAGGUUGGCUGGGCGACGGGCGACACGUGGAGUCAUCUACGGUACCUAGCCGCCGAGCCUGGGAGCAGGACGAGUUGCAAAAGCAUGCCAAGUUGCCUCUUGCCCUGAGCUAGCAAGGUCGACCGGGUGACGGGAGGCACGCCAAGUCAUCUGCGGUGCCCAGCCCCCGAGCCUUGGAGCCGGCCGAGCCACAGAAGCACGCCAAGCCGCCUCCCGCCCCGAGCUAGAGAGGUCAGUCGGGCAAUGGGAGGCACGCCGAGUCGUCUGCGGUGCCCAGGCCCCGAGCCUAGGAGCCGGACGAGCCACAAAAGCAUGCCAAGUCGCUUCCUGUCCUGAGCUAGAGAGCUCGGCCGGGUGACGGGAGGCACACCGAGUAGUUUUUUGAGCUGUAAAAGGACAAUACAAUCAUUAUGUAGCAUAAUGUAGAUUAUUUAAUCAUUGAACAACUCGGAAGUUUAAUACGCUGUAGAAGUAAACUCUUGCUAAUCCUGCUCUUGUAGGCCAAGUAAAUUCCCCAGGUAGUUAGCUUAUUACGUUCAAGCACCUAGCCCUACUAACCACUGCUCAUGGAGAGGAUAGUUUAUCUCAGGCUAUAGCGCUGGGGCUGACCUGAUGCUCGCAUAUAGGAGACGCGCAGGAUGAGUCAAGGUUUCACGGAUUAAGGCGUGUGCUACCCGAGUACUUUAGCAACCGUUAACAGGGACGGAUAAGCCGCAAAGCAACUGGAGCUAUGCAAAAAAGCACCAGCAUGAGCUGGGCACCCAUGGGGUGUAGCCCCCGGCCGCCCGUGUAGUGGGUGGACCAAGCUGUAUAAGUAGGCACGGUGCGACCAAGGUGGUCGGCGAAAGUCACGAGGACAUAGGAGAGCUGAGGUGGUCGACAAAAGUCACAGGAACAUGGAGGAGCCGAGGUUUAUGUAGGUAUACGGAAGUCGUAAAAUAUUUAAUUAUAAAUAAGACUUAUCCUUAUUUGUGGUCAAGUCAAAAAACCCGCGUGUCAUCUUCGCGUUUAGGCUUAGAAGCCCCUGAGCGUGGUCGUCGGAUAGUUGUUGGUGAAGCAAACUAGUUGGGCAUGCCCAACUAAUUCAUGUCGAGGCCGAGUUGUUGGAGUUGUUAGCGGCACGUUUGUGGUAUGCUACUGCCGAGUCGAUGCGGCCAUCGGGUCGUGGCCGGCUGGCCGCCACGCUCACAGUACAACAUGCCUAGGUUGUGCUGCCAAACCAAGGGUGCAUGUAAAUCUUUCCGAAGCUUGUAAGGAAGCCCUCACAUAUUAAGGAACUCUAUACCUAAUACCAUCAUGGUUGUUUUGCAAAAAAGUCUCUCAACUUUUUUGUAAUCAACCCGCAGUCUUUGGAAUGUCUUGAAGAUUGUGCAAAAAGAUCCCCAAACUUUACUGCAAUUGGCCAUCGAAGCUCCCACAGCGUGCACCUAUGCCACAUGCGGUGCGGACGGGUGUGCCGGCUGCGACUGCAAGCUCCUCGCUGCGGCAGGGACCAGGUCGAGCAGCGACAGCAAUGACGAAGGGGAGUAGUCUGCGUCUGCGUGCCAUGCCACCGUCACCGGGCAAGCUGUGGUAGCGGCGGAGUGGGAGAGUGAGUCCAUUGGCGUGUGGAGGGUGCCGUGGGGCAGGUGGGUGGCGGAGAUCUGCAACCCACACCUCGCUGUGUGCAAGUGGCUCAGCACCUUCGACACCACUGAGGACGCCGCGCGUGCCUACAACGUCGCCACCGUCGAGUUCCGAGGCUGCUGUGCCAAGCUCAACUUCCCCGACGAUGCGGCUCUCGCACCUGCACCUUCCUAGGUGCUGACCUCGACAUACCAACACCACCACCACCUGCCGCAGCCGCUGCUCGAGAGCCUGCACGAGACCUGCGGGUCGAACGCAUCCUCAUCAGUGGACGUGGCUCUUGUGGUAGCGGCACCGACUGGGCAGCACGACACGAGGCCGGUGCCGAAGGAGCAGGACAUAUGGGACACGCUAAACGAGUUCAUGAUGAUGGAUGACGGUAGCUUCUGGUCGCCCAUGCCAUGAUCGUCAUAUUCUCCUCUUGUCUUCACUUUCGUUGCUUAGCAGAUAAUGGUGGUCAGCUGCCCUCUAGUCUGUCGUCAAUCGCCAGCCAUCCAUUGCUUUUAUAUGGUUUUACACUAGCUUUUGGGCUUUGAUCACACCUCCACACCCAUACGAAACGACUAGCUAGAGCGAUGUUGAUCUACUGCCUACCGCGCGCUAGGGCGAGCAGCUACUCACUCGGGCUGCAUGCCCUACCCACCACCUGGACCUAAGAGGUGAAGGAGAGAGGAGGAAGGGGGAAGGAAACAAGGAGCCGAGUGCCUCUUUGUAGUCAACCAAGUAGAGCCAUAUGCUAGUGAAGGCAUGGCGCCAGCGAGGGGGGCGCAGCGGCAGUCGGCAGGCAACGCAAACAGGGGCGGAGGUCGAGACCUCACACCCCCCUCUCAAUGACGUCCAUCCCCUUCAGAUCCGGAACUAAAGCCUCCACACCUAGCAAUUGGGGGCUCGAUUUUGCACUUGAUUGGAACGAUUUGGAGUGGAUUAUAGAAGGGAGGUGGAUGGAAAUGAGAAGAAGAGGAAAACGCACUCCUGCUCAUGGUGGCCAGAGGCACUGUGGCCUAGCGCUCAAAGCGGGAAUGAGGCUAGGCACGGGAAGGACGAGCGUUUGCCUGGGCGACGACGAGGAUGGCAAGAUGCGCAGCGCUUAGACGACGGUGAAGAUGGGGCAAGAUGUGGGUGGCACCGAUGGACGAAGAGGCAUCGACUGGUUAGAUGAUAAUGAGUACGGGGAAAAUUGAAUGAAUUUAUAGAGCGGUGGUUGAGCGGUGAUUUUUUUUGUUUCCAUGUGUGGGUCCCACGUAAUAAACAGAUGGCAUCAAACCACCCACAAAUAUCUUCUACUACUGUACUCGGACACCGCACCAACAUAUGGUGAAGUGAAGCUAACAUAUUAGAAACAAGCGAAUAAUAAUGUGAGAGUAAGUAAAGACCUGUAGUAACGUACGGGUAUUUCUGCUAGUAAGAAAAAAAAUUGUUAGUAAGCACCGAGCAACGUAGGAGAUCUACUGGAUGGAAUAGAUUAAAUAAUAAAGGGAAGGGAGAAUUGUUCUCUUUUUUUUCCGUGGCAGAUCUGACGUGUGUGCAUGCAACAAGUUGAGGUCGACGUGUCGUGCUAAAUCAACCAGAUCGUACCGGGGCUGGAUCAGGCGAGCUUGGUUGUGGCCGGGAUGAGGCCAAUAAGGGCGCCGCCCUUGACCUUGGCCUCCUAUUCCUCGCGGAUCUUCUGCAUCUGGAGCAUCCGCUCCAUGAUGAGCUUGUACUGGCACUUCUCGCAGGCGUGGCGCUCGGGCUCGCACUUCCAGCGGAGGUAGAACUGGGAGGUGCACGCACUGGUCAUGGUAGGCGAGUGGAACCCGAGCCUCCGCCAUCUCCACCUGCGUGACGAUCUGGAGCUUCGAGGAGCCGAACUGCACGCCGCCCGCCGCCUCCAUCUGUCACUUUGUUCCCCUCUCUCUCACUGGCGAGGUCGUUCCGUCGAUAUAUGGGCGCUGCGGGUUUGGUGCGGCGUGGGUGGGUAGGGUGCAGCAAGGAUGUGAGGAACCCUCUCGGAUAGAGAGAUUGCUGACCUACUGGGUAAGCGGUGUGAUGAUCCUUGGAUAGAGAACUUGCUCCACCAGAGUAAAUCUGACAGAUGCCGAGCUGGCGGCGGGCACCAAGUCGAAGUCCACUGACAUGCUCCUGAAGCGAAGCUGGAUCGGGUUGGUGAGAAAGUCCUUCAUGCUCUCAGGGAAAGUAAUGCCGGGGCGGGAUGCAAUCAAGCUCGCUAGGGAGGAUCUCACAAUCAUCCCUACCUGGCGCGCCAACUAUUGGAUUUAUAAGCCCGAUAGUCCACCAGGGGGUUACCCAAGUUGUUGAUUUGUAGGUGAGGGCGAUUGCGAAACCAAGAACUCUAAGGUGAUCGUGAAAACACGAAGGGACACGAAGGUUUUAGAUAGGUUGGAACCUCCGAAGAGUAAUACCCUACGUCCUGUAUGCUGGUUUGUAUUGCUUGAGAUUGAUAUGAUUGUUGGGAUACCCUUGGGGGUGCCCUUGGCCGCUUUAUAUAGGCUGACGAUCAAGAGUUACAAGUCAGUUUGAAUCUAAUCUACUCGAUAGUUACAUGGAAAGUAAUCUGAGUAGGACUAUAAUACGCGUUCCAUGAUAUUCGGCAUGUUUGAAUUGUCUUGUUGCUUUGACGUGCACUCCAAGUAACUUCAUGUCCUCAGCCCGUACGCCUUGGUCGAGUGGGCCCUACUUGUCAGGUAUGACCAGUAUCCUGAGGUACCCAUAUCUCUCACCUUGGUGCUCCGGCGAUUAGGGUCGGCAACGAGGAUGGGGAUUGGAAGAGGAGAUCGAGGGGACUUUAUGGAGAUGCUUACCGGCGGCGAGGUGGACGGAUUCCGGCUAGAAUUUGGCUGGCGGUGGAAGAACACGGCAACUGGCUCAGGUCUUCGCGAGUGAUGGUACUCCGGCGGUGGAGCGGCGACGAAGAAUGGUGGCAGAGCUGCUCCUCGAUGUCACGGAGCUCCCUAAGGCUCUAGCUUUCUUCGAUAGUCGACGGGCAUAGUGAAUCGGCCAGAGAAGGCUAGCAGCAGCUCCUAGCUCCGGCGGAUGUGGGGGAUGGCGGCGCUCGUGCAAGUAGGGAAGAGCGGCGGUGUGAGGCAGGGCAGUAGCAGGGGCACUGUCUCGACUUUUAUAGGUGUGUGGGUCCGCGCCUGCCUUGGCACGCACGCCGAGGUUCGGCGGUGGCGACGCCCAAGUGCAGCUACGCUUGGCCUUGACCCGCUAGUGGCCGAUGGGCCUAGCGAGCCUAGCCGAGCCAUCAGCUGGGCCGAGUCGGUGCAGGUUGGCUGGAGAGGGUCGGGCUACAAAGACUUGGCCCGAUCGAUUAGGAUUUUGCUUUUUUAGAAAUGAUUUCUCAUGAAAGAAAAAUCUAGAAAAAUUCUAGAUAAUUAAUUUAAAUAACGAAAAAAACCCUAAAAAUCCAAAAUUCCAGGAAAAAUCCUAGAGAUAGUUUGGGACAUGAGGAGUCCAAAUAAAAUACUUGGAGCUCAUGAAAAGGAUUCUAGAACCUUCCAAAAAUUGGAUUUAGCUAUAGAAAAAAUGAGAAUAAAUCUCAAAAAAUCUGGAAAUUCUCAUAAGAACCUAAUCGGCAUCUAAACGCAUUCCAAAAUAUUUGCACUUAUGAAAUACCAAGAUGCAUCGGUAUGAAUGCAACACAUACGGAGAACCAUUAUAUUUAAUUCAGAAAAACACUCAAUUAUUUCCCUAUACUAAAUUUCCUGUCAAGAAAAUAAAUGUUGGAAAAAUUUUAAAAUUAUGAGAAAAACAUUGUUUAAUUAUUAUUUUUAAUCUGAAAGUUCAAAAAUUUUAAGGUGUGGCAGAUACCCUCAGGUUUACAGAAUUUGACAUCCAUGUGCAAAUUGGAUGUAUCCUUCAAUGAUCUGCAAGGUGAAGUGCCAAUAGGGCUUUUUUUUUGCAAAUGCAUCUUACAUGUCGGUUUAUGGAAAUGAUCAGCUUUGUGGUGGAAUACGUCAACUUCAUUUAGCUCCAUUCUCCAUGUCCAGUGCAAAAAAGAAAAAAAAGGAAAUUUGUCGAAAACCCUUGUGAUCACCCUAACAUCAAUCAGUGCAGUUGUAUUCUCAGUUUCAGUACUUGCUGUAAUUGUGUUGAUCUGUAAGAAGCUUAGGAAAAGGCAUGAAAGUCAACUCAUAUCCACAACUGAGGAACGGUAUGAAAGAGUUUCUUAUCAUGCUUUGUCAAAUGGGACCAAUGGAUUUUCAGAGGACAAUUUACUUGGACAAGGAAGCUAUGGCAUGGUUUAUAAAUGUACUUUACAUGACCAGGGUACUACUGUAGCUGUAAAGGUGUUUAACAUAGAACAAUCUGGGACUUUUAGAAGUUUUGUCGCUGAAUGCGAGGCACUCAGAAGGGUGCAUCACCGUUGUCUCGUAAAGAUCAUCACUUGUUGCUCAAGCAUCAAUCACCGGGGUCAAGAGUUCAAGGCACUAGUUUUUGAGCUCAUGCCAAAAGGUAGCCUAAAUGGUUGGCUUCACGCAGAGUCUGACACACUUACCCCGACAGAUACUCUGAGCCUUGAACAAAGGCUACACAUUGCUGUCGAUAUCAUGGAUGCUUUGGACUAUCUUGAUAAUCACUGUCAGCCAUCAAUCAUUCAUUGCGAUCUCAAGCCAAGCAACAUCUUUCUUGCGGAAGACAUGAGUGAGUGCCCGAGUUGGAGGUUUUGGCAUAUCAAGAAUCCUUCCAGAAAGUGCUAGUAAAACCCAGCAAAAUUCGAAUAGCACAACUGGAAUAAGAGGCACCAUUGGUUAUGUUGCACCAGGUAAUGAAAGAGAUGGUUUUGGUAUUUGAAAAAUGUUCUUAGUUCUUAUGUAUACAUGAGCUGCUGACCUUUGGCUUUUUUUUUUCCAAUAAGAGUAUGGUGAAGGUUCUUCUGUCUCAACUCAAGGUGACGUUUAUAGCCUCGGCAUAUUGCUGCUUGAGAUGUUUACUGGAAGGAGCCCAACGGAUGAGAUAUUCAAUGAUUCUUUGGAUUUGCACAAGUUUUCAGAGAAUGCUCUUCCAGAGAGAAUAUGGGAUAUAGUUGAUCCGACAAUAUGGAUGCACACAGAUGCCUAUAACAGCACUAUAAGAAGUGGAAUUAAGAAUUGCUUGGUUUCUGUUGUUUCUCUUGGAAUAUCAUGCUCGAAGAAACAACCUAGGGAGCGGAUCCCGAUUCAGGAUGCAGCCAUUGAGAUGCACGCUAUUAGAGAUUCGUAUCUCAAGUUUGCCAGAUCUCUUUUGGUGGAGCAUGGAGUAGUAGCAACAACUCACAGUGAUUUCCCACAACAGUGAAUACAUAGGACUGAAAAUGGGCAAGAUGUCUGCAGGUGAUCAGUUUACCUGAAAUAACUGAAGAUGUAUGAAGCUUCAGCUUUAUAAUUCGUCCUUGCAUUUGUUUGCAUCAGAUAUAUGGAAGUAUAAAAUAAGUUUAGAAAAUGUUUCAAAAUAGAUUAGAUCAAGAGGUUUUACUUGUCGUCUGUAUGACACAUUUUUUGUAGAGAAUUCAGUAAUAUGUAUGAUUCAUAAUACAAUCAAUGCUCUGCAAAUUUCAGAUAGCACAAUUGGAAUAAAAAGCUCAUUCAUUGAUUAUGUUGCUCUAGGUGACUCAACUUAUUGUGAUGUUCACUGUAGAUUUCUCCAUGGUCCAAACGACCAUUGUGAUCAGUUAUGUUUAUGCAUUUUGUAGACUUGUUAAGUCUUUCCCUAACUUGCUGACAUAUCAGCCGGAGCAGAGCACUCUGCCAUUCUGCGCCACUCGCCUCUAGGCGGCGCUUGCCGCUUGGUGGCUGCGGUGGCGACCGGCGGCAUCCGUACCUGCUCUGUCGGAGGCUGAGGGGCACAAUUACGUCUUGGAGUCGCCACCGCGCGACCUUCGGAGCUCGCCCAUGCCUCGUCGGUACGAGCUCAGUCGCGCGGUGAAUGGCAUGCGCAUCUGGGGUCCCGUCAGCUGCAGGUGCAGAUGGGUAGAGAGCUUAGCUGCGCUAGGUCUUCAGAAGAUGUUGAGUGGGCUGGAUGGGGCUUUGCGGCUCUGAAUGGCGACGCGGGCAGGACGACGACGCUGGACGCGUGGGGAGGAGACGACCUGAACCAGGGGCAUUUCGGAUAAUAGUCGGAUCGCGAUCAAUAAUCGCAAUCCAAAUUAGGGGGCUAUUUACAAAUAAUAGGGGGUAUUCCGUAAAUAUUCGGUUCGCGAUCAUUAAUCGCGAUCCAAAUGAGGGGUUAAUUGAAAAUAUGAUGGGGGUGUCUUUUGAAAUUCCGGAUUGCGAUCCCAUCCUCCGCCGCGGCUCGCCGGAGCGCCGCCAGACGCCGGCCGUCCCUUGGGGUACCUCUUCUUCGUUCCGUCUGUCGGAGCCCUAAGACGCGGUCGGUGUUUUAUCUGACAAGGAACCCUGAAGUCCGAACUAACUGAAGAAAGACAUGAUGCUGACCUGGAAGAAGAAGACGGCCUCGCCAUGGCCGGAUGCGGCGCGGUGGAAGGACAGUGUGUUGGCGGAGCGGAUGUUGUCCGACGUGAACUCGCCAGCGGCGUGGUCCACCACAUUCCGUCGACGGGCGGUGCACUUGCUGUCGCCUGUCGGCUACUUCCAGGCAGUAGCUGAGCUUCAGAGUUCAGACAGGGUGCUUGUGCUUGCAACAAGUUCAGAACGAUGUCAUUGCUUUGAUGCAGAGGAUGGAGCAAACCGGUUGCAAAUUGGAUUCUGAUACAUAUAACUUAAUAUUGAACCUUUAUGUCGAUUGGAAAUAUGAGAAGGGGUGCCCCAAAUAUGGGAUGAGAUGGAGAGGAGUGGAUCAGGCCCAGAUCAACGAUCAUUUACUAUUAUGGUUCAUGGUCUUCAUUCCCAAGGAAAGCUUGAUGAGGCUCAACAAUGAAGUCAAGAGGGUUGAUCCCUGAACCAAGGACCAAGAUACUGGUGAAAGCUAUACAUAUGAAGAAAGAUGGGGCUGUCACAGAAGAUCAGUCUGUAAAUAUGACAGGGAAGAAUCUAAAACUGGAUCCACGAUCUAGACUAUUCCAUGUUCAUAAAUAGUUUGCUGUCAGAUCUUACUUCUAUAACCUGAACAGAGGAUUGCUGGGCACGUAUUAUGUGUCAAAAGAAUCUCUUCUACCAGUGUCCUGAUCACAAUGGCCACACCUUGGGCUACAAUAAAUCAUCAGCAAAGUGUGUUGGCAUUAUGUAUCCCAGAAAGUUUUGCUCAGACUUUCAAUGCCAGGGUAUGUUUUUUAUGUCUGAUAUGGAUCAAUUAUAUUGCAAGUACUGUAUUACACCCUCGUAUUAUGAAGGUUAUGUGAAAUAUGACAGAUGUUUGUUUAUUCAUUUGUUAUGCAUGGCUGUGUCUACUAUCUAGUUGUUGGCUUGUUGCCAACAUAUGCAGCAGCAGGUAGCUUCAGCCGCUCAGAAGCCCAAAUGAAGAAUGGUCCAGGCAGAAUAGCUAGUCUAGACCCAGAAAGCUUAGGACAUGUCUUGCCAGCCUGCAGUUUUGUACUCGUAGCACCAACCAUCUCCGGGUUCUGGCCGGUUAUAUACAUGGUCUGGAAUGGGCAUCCGCUGAUCGAUUGAAACCUUGAACUGCUUCCGUGUUUGUCUUUUACCAUCUAUAUAGUAUGGUUAGUCAACGGCAUGCAAUACACCCAUGCAUAUGAUUGCAGUAGGAUGACAUGGCGUGACCAGAACCCUUCUUUUGCCAGUUUUUUAUUCUUAUACACGGCCAACAACAGGGAGUUGCCGAUUGCAAUACACCCAUGCUACUAACGCAGCAGGGAGUUGCAUGCUAAGCAGUUCAGCGUAGGUGGUGAGUUCUCAACUCUGAUAUGGUUUAUGGAAGAACACUGUCACGGUGUCACCUAGCCGGUUGGAGGCCAACCUCUUACUAGGGACAGCAAUGGCCCUGUCCACUGUUUCGUGGCUGGUAUUAUUACCCCUAUGCAGUGAAUAUGACAUGUGGAUCUAUGUGUAUAUUAUGUCGCCAGAAGAACAUUAUAUGAACCGUUGAGCCACCUUUGAUUCUAUUAAUGUGUCAUGGUCAAUUGAUGUCAAACUCUAUUAUCUUCAAGUCUUAUUGUAUUGAUAAAAUCACGAUGCUGCUACUGCCAUUUUGAUGUUUAUAAAAGGGUAUUGAGAACCUGGUGGGUAUCCAUUCGAUGCGCAGGGGUGAGGGUGGGGAAAAAUGAGUGUAAAGGACAGGGAUACAGUAUUUAGAAAGAUGGGGCUGCCACAGAAGAUAGUCUCCAAGUACGGCAGGGAAGAAUCUAAAAACUGAUUCCUUGAUCAAGACUGUCCCGUAUUCAUAAAUAGUUCACUGACAGAUCUUGCUUCCAUAUUCUGAACAGCUGAUGCUGGGUACAUAGGAGGUUAACCGGUCAGCGGAUCGAAGGAAAAAAAAAUCUUGCCUGUCAGUGUCCACAAUGGCCUCAUCUUGGGUUAGAGACAAUCAUCCCUAAAGAAUCAUAUUGCCGGAUAAGGUUAUCAGUGAUUGGUAGGUGCAGAUCCAUGCUCAUCCUAGAAACAAGCCAGGGCUGAAUGCGCCACUCAUUUUAGGUGCUUGGAUGUUGUGACCGAAAUGAUCGUGUGUUUAAUGGAGUUUCCCAUAGUGACUAGCGUACAGGCUGUCCUCGUAUUCGAGAAAAAAAAUAAUGGGCGAAAUGUUUUCACCCAGGUAAUUGUUGCAUUGUAUGAAUAGGCUUAGUGGUUGGUGGGUGCAGAGUAUGAAUGUGCUUGUACUGUGACACAAGAAGAUUUAUCAUAUCUAUGUAUGAAUUAGUAUUAAAUCUGCUACAUAAAUAUCUUCUCUUAUCUCAUUGUAUGUGUAUAUAUGACACAGAAGCACAUGUAUAUCAGCAUUGUAGAGAGAGAUGAGAGAGAAGCUUAUCUGCUUUUUGGAGAUAAAUAUUCAAAUUGUGGUGUAUGAGAAGGAUAGAAUUAUUCUAUCAAAUUGUUUAUUCAACAUCUAAAAAGAUUCCAUGUUUAGUCAUCUAUAUCGGCAUUGUAGAGAGAGACUAGUGUUCAACUGGUUGGAAGGAUGAGAGAGAGAGGAGAGAGAGAGGAUGAAUAGUGUUCAGCUGGUUGGAAGGAUGAGAGAGAGAGAGGAGAGUUUCGAUGAUAGAGAGAUUAGUGUUCACCUGGUUGGAAGGAUGAGAGGGAGAUGAGAGAGUUCGGAUGAGGAGGUGGAGAGUUCGGAAGAGAGAGAGGUGAGAGUUCGGAUGAGAGAGAAACAGCUUAGAAGGAUGAGAGAGAGAAAGUGAUAUUUAGCUGGAUGGUGGAGACUUCAUAUAUUACUAACUAGCAAGGUGUCCGUGCGUUGCUACGGUGAAACGACGUUGCUUAGCACGCGAUGUUUUUUAUCGUGUCGUGUAGCGCACCAUAUUUUUUAUCGUGUUGUGUAACUUUUUUAUUUUAGUAGUAUUAGACUUUUCAUAUAUAAAGGGUCACGUGAGUGUGUCCAUAUCCCAACCGUGCGGAAACCGCUUGCCAUCGAACUUGUUAUCUCUUUCUCUAUCUUGAGAUUGGUAUGCUUCUACAGCAAUUCUGCACAAAGAAGGCCCCACUUCGCCCCGUUCCCGCCGUCCGGUUAGUCCCACGCCUACCCUCUCCCUCUCUGAUCCUCGCUGUCGGCUCCUCGAGGUCCAGGUCGGGCUUGUGAUGUAGCGGCCUGUUAUCCUUCCACCAUUGGAAGCGGGUAGUGAUCGCUGCUCUGUGAACCCUGCCUCACGCCGUUCCUACCACUCCAGGUCCAGUGAAGCCUGAGCUUUCGCUUGGACAAACAGCCACUACCAACUUGGAACGGGCAGGGCCAGCAAGGGCAUACAAUGGACCCAAGCCCUCCGCACCCAAACAUCCACACCACUUUAAUGCCUCCACUUGGGUUACAAGCCCGCGCAACCAAGCUCGGUGAGGAUGACUCGUGAGGAUGAACAUUUAAGUUGGUGUGGCGCUGCUUCAGAUGGCGAGGUGGUACUAAUCUAAGGAAUAGGAAAAUUUCACAUGGGUCCCACACCGCACCCAGCCCUAUCCUUAUCCUUUCUCAUCUCUCUAUCGUCCGUCCGGUCCUUAUCCUCUUCAUCUCAUCUCUCUCUCUCUCCCUAUCUCUCUCUCAAACUCUCUAUCUCGCCUACCCCCUCUUUCUCUGGAGAAGGCGGUGCACGGCUGGCCCCAGUGAUGGCCUGGGGGCGCGGGGUGCCAAUAGCGGCCGAGGGUUGUAGGGCUGCGGCGAGGAGCCUCCCAGCCGUGGAUGCGACGGCCUAGCCAUGGGCACCGGGCAGGCGGCUCUGGCACGACCGGCUGGGGCGGGCAGGGAGAGGCGAACAGCAGUGCUACGACGUCACGAAGAGGCGGACGUCGGGCAUGGGCGGGUGAAAGGGGAGACGGGGAAAGAAAGCUAGACCCACCUAUCAAUGCGUUAAUCUUACCUAUUAUUAAACAUCAGGGCCACCUCUCGUUGAUAGAAGUUGGACCAAACAAGAAAAAGUGGGCAGAAGUGUUCCUCACUUUAAUAAUAAUAAUAAUAAAGUAUAGAUAAUGCAUCCAAACAACAUUCGAAAUUUAAUUUUAAAAAAAACUUUCUCGGUACAUCCAAACAAGAAAAUUCAAUUGAAUUAAAUUCUACUAAAUCCAUUUCUUAUGGAAUCUAAUAGCUAGAAUAUGAUUCAUGGGAUGAGUUUCAACUCUAGGGAUCUAAACAUGCCCUUAGUUAUUUCUUAUGUAGCUCAAAUCAGAUGCAAGGUAUGUCCUAACUAAAAAACGUAAGUUACUUUGUGUUAUCUCGUGAAUCAGUGAUUAAUUACUUCCGAUCACUAGUAGAGAAUUGGCUUUCGAUGCGCCCCCUUUUGUCCCGGUUUAAAGUUGGCCCGGGACAAAAGGUUCACCAACCGAGACUAAAGCUCGGUCACUGGUGGGGGGCUCACCAACCAGGACCUUUUAUCCCGGUUGGAAAGGCUAGUGGGAAAAAAAGAUCAUGAGAGGCUUUUUAUCCCGGUUUGAAACACCAACCGGGAUAAAAGACCCAUCUAACUAUAUAGGGGAUGUUACCAACCAGGAUAAAAAGGGUCGAGAGCCUUUUAUCCCGGUUUGUAAUACCAACUGGGAUAAAAGGGGGUCAUUUAUCCCGGUUGGUGUUUCAAACCGGGAUAAAAGGGUCCCAACGAGGUGACUGAAACAUGACUAAAUCCUGAACCCUUUUAUCCCGGUUUGUAAUACCAACCGGGAUAAAAGGGGGUCUUUUAUCCCGGUUGGUGUUUCCAACCGGGAUAAAAGGGUCCCCCACAAGUUAAUACAAAACGAUAACAUCCCCUAUAUAGUUAGAUGUGGUGUGUAGGUGGGAUGGCAAGGAAGCUACGCGCGAGGCUGGAGGUUGUGGGUUCGAAUCCCAUGCAGCGCGCACGCGCAUAUUUCGCGUGGAAAAUCGCGUGACUUGCGACGCGCGUGUGGGGGGCCUCCUGGGAGCUCGGAAUUUCUUUUUUUUGUUUUAUCCCGGAUGGAUUUUCGGAAGAUUUGCACCCUACCAAUCGGGACUAAAGGUCAAUUCUCUACUAGUGAAUCUUAUGUAAAAAGAACUACGAGUUAAAUUCUUUGUCAGAUUUAUACUGACAAGUUACAAGCACAUGCCUCUGCAGUAACAGGCCAGCCCUAGACUAGCGGGCAAACAAAAACAACAUGAUUCGUCAACUGAUCGAAUGUUAAUGACUAUUUUGCUAGGAGAAUGAACAUGAUUCAUAAAAAAAGGGGAGCUACUAACUUGGUCAAGGUCUCCGUCCUCUAGCGUGGCGAAGGGGCCAUCUUGCUCCACUCCACGUCUGCGUGGUUGCUAGGUGGGCGCGACGGCGGCUGCGGAGUGCGGACGGGCGCGUAGAUGUGUCAUUGUUGAUCAGGACAUGCGCUUCUAUCACCGUCUGUGGUUGGCGUCCGCGGCCGAGCGGGUCAAGGUCUCCGUCCUCUAGCGUGGGGAAACAGGAUCUCUUCAAUCAGUGCUUCUACAGAAACGGUGCACGGUCACCACGGACCAACGACAUACCAUGAGAAAAGCGGAGCUAAAUGUUGCAGUAGCAGAGUAACCGGAGACUGGAGAGCACUUGCUGCUAAAAGCUGCCUCUUAUUUUGUAUCGUCUUUAACAGAAGACUUUAAGUCAACCGCCAUUCGAUUCCAAUAUAAACUAGCAAGUUGGCCCGCGAUGAUAGCACGGCUAGAUUUGAUACAAUAUAACUUUUUUAAAUGCUAUGUUAGCUUAGUAUAUUUCUUCGUCCCUCUUGAUUUGUUUUUCAUCCUCUUGAAAUCACUUAGUAUACUUAGGUGCCUUACUCUACACAUUGAGUAUCAAGCCAUAUGUGUAUAUUUGUUUUUUUUUGCAAAUGAACUCCGAUGCCACAUGUGCAUAUGCACGCCUAAUUAAAAUUGCUCACUUGUAACAAAAUAACAAGAGUAGUUGAUUCUGAUCUUAUGUUGCAGUUUUUGCCAACUUUUCCUAGUAUUAUUGUGUUGAGUAGAAAGCCUGUGUAGAAAAAGAUACAAAACAAACAAUCGUGUUAACUACUCCCCAUACUUGCUCAAAUGAUUUUGAAAAAUAAAAACAACCGCGCUCUAAGUCCUAGGUGGUGAUAUUCCUCCUUACUUUCCUCCUCUCGUUUUCCUUGCACAAUCGAGGAUGACAAAUACCACAAACCACUUAGGCUCGAUCAUGUUUCAUCAUCACAUUCCUCAAAUCUUGAUCACGUUGUUGUCUUCAUUAUGCUAGCAGUACACAUCUCUCCGCCUCUUCUCACUGGUAGAGAAUUGGCCUUUAGUCCCGGUUGAUAGGGUGCAUAUCUCUCGGAUAUCCAUCCGGGAUAAACCAACCGGGACAAAAGGGAGGGUCUUUAGUCCCGGGUCUUUUAACCGGGAGUAAAGGUCCUCCUUUAUUUCCCAACCGAGACUAAAGGGUUACCCUUUAGUCCCGGCUGGAUUCCAACCAGGAGUCCCGGCUGGAUUCCAACCGGGACUAAAUGGCGCCUGCAUGGCACUGCCGUGGCGCCUGAAUUUUUCAUGCAUGCAUCACGUACGUAGUACCGCGACCCUUUUAAUUUGUUAAACUUUAGUAGUUGAGAUUUUUUUAGAACGAAAUCAACUAGUAUUUAAACGAAUGGGAUUUGUAAUUAUACAAUUACUAUAUAUGUACACAAUCCUUAUACACAAUUCAUAUACACAAUUCAACUAGCUUAGUACAAAUUGAUCAUAAUUAGCGCGUAUUAUAUAUACAAAUAAAUCAAAGUAUCUGUCUACAAUCUUCCCGUCGUGGUGUUGCUGAUCGGAGUGUCUAAUUGUCGUCCAUCGUAAUAAAAUUCUCCUUUUGGAUUUACCACCUUGUCCAUUAUGAAUCCAAUGAGACUUUCACAUAUUGCCGCUACUCUUUCUUCCUUCAAGAGUCCUUGUUGAAUAUUUAACAUCUAUAAUUUGGAAAUUUUUGAAUGUUACACGAACAAAUACAUAUAAGGAGCUAGAAAAUAAUUAACUAGUAAUAGUUUUAUUUUACGUACUUUAAAGUUGUGCGGCGUCAUCUUCGGUCCCUUGGGUCCCAUAAAACUGUGCAUGUGCUCACAGAUGUAGUAGCCACAUAGAUUAUUUCCGGGUUCCUGUCUUAAGCACUUCAGUGCGGAAAAAAAUAAGUUAUGAAAUAUUCGUAUUAUACAAUGUAAUAAAUGUGCAGACUUCAUACGUACCGGGAAGUCUGUGUUCCAUGUAAGUUUUUCUUUGAAUGGACCUUUGUGUGUCCUUAUGAAUUGUUUCCAUGCGCUGCAGAUUAGAAUAAUGAAUGAUAUAGUGUAACAGGAAUAAAAUUUAGGAAAUAAACUUUUGCAUAUAGAUAAAGGUACAGAAUUAUUACAAGCCUAGCAUGUCUUGCACUUCUUGGUAGUCCACCGGAUCUUUCCUUAACGAAUCGAAGACAGUGACGUGGCUUCUUUCAGGCUCAAUUAUAAUAAGAAUCCAGUGGAAGCUGCGUGCGUAAAAUGUUCAUGCAUAUUAGAGCUAACUAACAUGUAGAGAUAAGGAAAAAGACAUCGAAAGUAGACGGUAUACACACACUUACUUGAAGUUGUAUGGAAGUAGUAUGAAAUCCUUGAAUGUUUGUUUGUCUAGGAAAUUGUAUAUUUCCGCAAAGGUUUUUUCCGGUGCUAAUUGUGUCUGUUGUUGGUUAACUACAGAUGGAUCCAUGAAGCCUACAUGUAGGUACGCCUCUCGGCGGCAUGUCUGAAUUAGCAUCCUACAUGAAAUGGAAGAUGAAGUUAGUACGGUGACGCAUGCCAAAAUUUACAUGUAGAGAUAAACGGACACUUACAGAACCUAAGCGCUGAUCAGAGAGACGUCCAGGGCAUCAUGAUGGUACACUUCGUAUAUAUCCUUGAAGUCUAGCCACAGCACUUUCUCCCCUUCACCGUGAAAAUCUAUCGGUUUUACCUUCAUGCCGAUCAUCUCCCUCGAGUCGGCGGAUGCCAUCAUGUACCAUUGAUGGAAUGCGUACAUCUUUGUUGAUAGCUUCCGUACCAAUGAAGGCUUUACUAGAGGUUUGCCUAGCUCAUAAGGCCAUCUCAGCUCAGGGGGCGGUGCAGUUGGCGUCUCAACUUGCCCUAUGCAUUCAUCAAGUCCCAGACCUGUUUCUUCCAUGAACUUCAAUACAUUUGCUUGUUGAUCCAAGGGCAUUGCUUUUACCCGUUGAGCAUCUUUUUUUGAUAAAUGGCUGAGGUCGGGGACUGGACCGCUGGAAGAUGACUUUCCUUUCCUUUUAUCCUUUUCAUCAGCCUUUACUAGAGCCCGUUCAUAGUUUGACAAGAGUGGUAUCCUUUUCUUGGCUCCUUCUUCUAUCCUGAUAAAAAAGUUUAAAUCUCGCCGACUUACUGGCGGUGGCUCCAUCUCCCUUACUUUUUUUUCUUCGGCUUGUUUCUUGAACCACUCACUGGCCUCUCGUUGGAUUUCUGCCCACUGUUCCGCAUGAGACAUUGCCUCCCAGCGUUCCUUACGAGUCACUUCAGGCUCCUUUGUUUUCUUCUUUCUCUGUCUUUGCUUGGGAGGCGGUGCUCGUGACUUCUUUAGUGGUGGUGCAGGUUCCUUCAAGGGGGCCGCUCUUGGUGCCGGCGACGGUGAUCGGGGAGGGGUGUUGUUAUUGUCGUCGUCGCUCCCAGCACCAGGAUGUAGUGGAGAUGGAGACCUUGAUAUAGAUGGAAGGGACGGUCCUGGAGCAGGAGAUGACGGUCUCGAGGUAUGAGGAGAAGGUCGCUGCUGGGGAUCUACGGGGAGCGGUCUUAAGGUCUGAGGAGAUGGCUCCGUGCUGGGAAUAAUGAUGUAGCGUUUUUGCCAUAGAAUAAUCCCAUGAAGCGCAUCUGCCAAUGUCUUUUCCCCGUCGCCUCCCGGGAAGUCGAGCUCUAGACCUUCAUACUAGGGAUCAACUAUUUGCUCUACGCAGACGCUGGCGUAGCCUGUUGGAAUUUCCAUGCCAUGACUGCUCUGCCCCGCCAGGGUUGCUAACGCACUCCCGUACGCUACCUGUACAUAUAGCAGAAGUAAACAAGUUGAACUCCGAUCUCGAGGCCUGGAUCAAUUGACAAGAUUGCAUAAAUAUUAUGUAUAAGUAUACCUUAAUAGUGAGGUUGCCGACCGGUGCAUGCAGCUCACAUGAGGUCCGUUGUGUGAUGGCAUCCACGGGGAACCGUUGCUCCUCCACGGGUAACCUGGGCGUCUGCGCAUCGGGGACCCCUGUAGAAGCACAACUGCUCAAGAGGCGUUGAGAAGGGCUGGCGGUGUUAGGAAUCGGCAAUGCUCCAGAUUGGGCCAACUCCGCAACUGCGUGGGCCACCCGCCGAUUGGUUUCAUCCAUCAUUCUUUGUUCUUGUGCCUGCACUUUAGAUUCUAGCAUCUGCCGCCAGCUCUCCUCGAUCUGUUCCUUUCUUCGCUUCCGGCUUCUGUACGAGGUGCUGUCGCCUCGGAAAGCAAACUUCCACGGAACCACCCCGAACCCUCGGCAACGUCCUGGGUGUUCUGGAUUACCGAGGGCCAAUGUGAGCUCAUCAUUUUCUCGGUCCACCUUCAACCUCCCAGCCUUAGAAUCUUCAAUGUUCUUCAUGAGAUGUUCGGCCUUCUCACGUAUUGUGUCAUUAAAAAUCAACGUCCCAUCCUCUUGGCUUAGGGAGCCUCCAUGAGCGUAGUACCAAUUUUUUGAUCGUUCGGGCCAUUCAAUAGUUGCAGGUACGAUUCCCCGUUCGAUCAGAUCUUGUUCCAUCUUCCUCCACUUGGGAAUUGCUGAGCCAUACCCACCUCGCCCCAAAUGAUGGUGGUAGCCCUUCUGACUAGCAUUUGCUGUGUUGGUCGUGAUCUUUUUCACACCGUCUUCACUCCUCUUAUAUUCAACAAAUGCAUCCCAGUGGUCCCUCAACUUUGGCCACGCGUUGAAGUCUAGAGUUCGGCCCUUCUUGAUGUAGUGGGUAUCCAGCAUCUUCUUGAAUGUCUGGAAUUGAGUAGCCAUCUUCUUAAGCGUCCACGCUUUGACAUCCUUCUCACUAUAUCCUUCGGGGAAUGUGAAAUGUCUCUUCACGUCUUCCCACAGCAUAUUCUUUUCUGUCUCCGGAAGGGCGUACGGAUUAGUGCUUCUGCCCUUCCAUUCUCUGAUGCUGAUAGGCACGUUGUCCCGGACGAUUGCCCCGAUCUGACUCACGUACUUCUUUGCUACUUUCUCGGGAGCAACCGGCCUGCCCUCUUCUGUCACUUCCGUGAUGACAAGCCUCCCUUCCAUCACCUUUGUACAACCUUGGGUCUUCUGCCCUUGUGUCGAUCCGGAGGGCUAACAUUUUAAGAUUCGUUAAUUAGUACGUAGUAGUAACAGUGGCGUGAAACAAUACAAGAAUGGUUAUAUAUACCUCGCCGGAACCUUCCGCCACGGCAAGUUGUUGCUGCGGCUAAUGCUCUUCAUUCCCAUCGGUGGACAUGUUGAGGAACAUGUCCGCCUGGGUGCCCUCUUCAUCCGUGUAUGAUAGUGGAACGUUCUCGCCACUACCAUCACCAGCGAUUAUCUGCUCCAUGAUAUACCUUGCGGUCUCAUUGUCUGCCAUUUCAACUAUUGAUGGAAACAUACAUGGAAUCAUACAUGACAGUCAUAGAAAUCGUCUUACUACAAAUUUCUACAAAGUCCUACAAAGUCCGGAAUCAUACAUGUAUAUAAUGAAAUCAUAAAAUAACAUGAAUCCUACAAAGUCCGGAAUAUUUCUACGAAUUUCUACGAAUUUCUACGAAUUUCUACGUUCUAUGAAUUUCUACGAAUUUCUACGAAUAUCCACAUGCGGUGCCUAGGUUGUGACGGCGGCGAUCAGGGCGGCGGAGGCGGGGACGGUUCCCUGGAACCACGGGCGGUGCCUAGGUUGUGACGGCGGCGGUCAGGGCGGCGGUACGGCGGAGGCGGGGACGGUUCCCCGGAACCACGGGCGGUGCCUACUAGGUUGUGACGGCGGCGAUCACGGCGGCGGGACGGCGGAGGGGACACAUAUACAAAAAUAUAACUUAAAAAAAAUCUAACUUAAAAAAAAAUCUAACUUAAAAAUCUAACUUAAAAAUCUAACUUAACAAUCUAACUAAAAAAUCUAACUUAAAAAUAUAACUUAAUUUUCUAACUUAACAAUCAAAAUUAAAAAUCUAUCAUAAAAAUAUAACUUAAUUUUCUAACUUAAAAAAAAAGCCCUCCCAAUGCUGCCGGCCGGCGCGGCGGCGGACCUCUCGCGCGCGGUCGUCGACGGUGGCCGGGGCGACGAGGGGGCCGGGCGGCGGGACGGCGGCGGCCGGUGCGGCGAGGACGGCGGCCGAGGCGACGACGACGGCGGCGGCGUAGGCGGGACGGCGGCGGCGUAGGCGGGACGGCGACGAGGGGCGACGAGGCGGUGACGAGGAUGGAGGCGGUGACGAGGAUGGAGCCGGCGACGAGGAUGGAGCCGGUGGCCGGAGGCGACGAGGUGGGGGCCGGGCGCGUCGACGGACGAGGAGGAUCGAGGCGGGCCGGCCGGGGGGAUGGAGGACGACGAUGUCUGGGCGCGAUCGGCGGCAGGACGACGACAAACGGCGCAAUGGGGGAUGACGACGGCGGCGGCCGGCGAGGGAGGCGGACGGGCGGCGACGGCGGAGCAGAACGCGUGGAACUUGGCGAAAAUUUUGCUAAGUGUAACUGGCGGGGGGUAGAAGGGAGUACAGUGCCUUUUAAACCCCCCCCUUAUCCCGGUUCGUAAUGGUACCCGGGACAAAAGGGUGCCCCCGCCAGGUGGGGCUGGGAGCGUACCCUUUUAUCCCGGGUGCCACCACCAACCGGGAUAAAAGGGGGGGGGCCUUUUAUCCCGGUUGCAGUUGGCAACCGGGAUAAAAGGGUACGUCCGGGCGGGAGACGAAAAGUACCCUUUUAUCCCGGUUGCCGUUUGCAACCGGGAUAAGCAACCGGGAUAAAAGGGGGCCUUUUGUCCCGGUUGCUGUUAGCACCCGAGACAAAAGGUCUUUUUUCCUAGUUUUCUUCUCCCGCCUGUUUUUUGAAAUGGAUUUUAUUUUAUCUUUUCACUACAUUUCAGGAUGAAAAACAAAACCUUCACAGAUUUUGUACAUGCAAAAAUAUAUUUAAUUAACAAGUAAAUUGACAAUAAGUAUGAAUUAAUCAUUAAUUCUAUACCAGUUCAUUUAGCCUCUAAAAUAUUUAUUUUACUGCGUUGCUGUGAUUAAGAAAUUAUUCAAUUAAAUAAUUUCAAUGCGUAGAAAAAUCCAUGUUUGUAUGUGGUUAACAUUGUUCAUGUUUAUCUAAAAAAUCUUCACCUAACAAAUUUAAGAACACAUGAAAUCAUACAUAGGGUAAAAUUACAAAUUGUAUCGAUUAAUACACAAAGGUCAUGUACAUUUAACGCAUUACAAUACAACGUUGUAAAAUUUCUUCUUCACGAAAGUUCCUUGAUCAUGAUCGCGACGUAAGUACGGAGCCUCUUCUUUGGAUAGCAGGAUGCUUGGAUCAACUUCAACAGCGAAUGGAGGCAUGCCAUCAAACUGAUCAUAAUCAUCUGAUUGGUCUGUUUUAUCCUCGACUCCCACGAUUUUUCUUUUACCUGGAAGAACUAUGUGGCACUUUGGCUCCCAUGUCUCUUCUGGAUUCCUCUUGGGUUUGCUGCACAUGUCCUUCACAUAGAACACCUGAUCCACAUCAUUGGCAAGUACGAAUGGGUCAUCACUGUAUCCAGUCUUGCUCAGAUCUACUAUUGUCAUUCCAUACUGAUCUUUGGUGACGGUAGUUAGCUUCACCCAAUUGCAAAGAAAUAGAGGGAUGUACAGCGGUCCGUAUUCGAGUUCCCAUAUCUCCUGUAUGAAACCAUAAUACGACUCCUUGCUAUUAUUUCUGUCCAUGGCAUCUAUGCGGACACCACUAUUCUGGUUUGUGCUUUUCUGGUCCUGGGCUCUCGUGUAAAAUGUGUAACCAUUUAUCUCAUAGCCUUGGAAUUUGACGAUUGUGCUAGCAGGUCCCCUGGCUAACUAGGCAAGCUGUGGGUGAAUCUCAGAGUUAUCCAUAAGUUGUUGGCGCAACCAGGAGGGAAAAGUUUCCAUGUGAUGACGGGUAAGCCAAGCAUCGGAUUUGGUCGGGUUUUUUGAAGCUACUAUCUGUCUGUGCUGCUCGAUAUACGGAGACACAAAGGAUGACUGUUGUAGAACAGUGUAGUGUGCCUUGUCGAACAAAUCAGUAUCAUUGCUCAAACUUGAUUUCCUUCCAAGGGUGCCCAUUCCUCGGAGCCUCCCCUCGUGGCGUGAAGUUGGAACCCCAAUCGAGUCAAUUGAAUCAAUAAAAUCAACACAAAACUCGAUCACCUCCUCUGUUCCAUAUCCCUUGGCGAUGCUGCCUUCUGGACGGGCACGAUUAAGAACAUAGUUUUUUAGGACUGCUAUGAACCUCUCGAAAGGCCACAUAUUGUGCAGGUAUACAGGUCCGAGAAUACCAAUCUCUUUUACUAGGUGAACCAGUAAGUGCGUCAUAAUAUUGAAGAAGGAUGGUGGAAAUAACAACUCAAAACUGACAAGACAUUGCACCACAUCGUUCUGUAGCUUUGAUAGCUUGGAUGGAUCGAUUGCCUUCUGCGAAAUCGCAUUGAGAAACGCGCAUAGCUUUACGAGCGGCAACCGGACAUUUUCUGGUAGAACACCCCUCAAUGCAACCGGAAGCAACUGGGUCAUCAACAUGUGGCAGUCAUGAGCCUUGAGAUUUGUUAACUUAUUUUGUUUCAUAUUUAUUAUUCCAUUUAUAUUCGAGGAGUACCCAGACGGGACCUUCAUACUAUUCAAGCAUUCAAACAUGCUAUCCUUCUCUUCCUUGCUGAGAGUGUAACUGGCAGGACGUAAGUAGUGCUGUCCAUUAUCUCUCUUUUCCGGAUUUAGGUCAUCUUGUUGCCCCAUGGCUUUCAGGUCCUGUCGUGCUUCCAAUAUAUCUUUUGAGGUUACAUAAACACCCAUGAAGCCUAGCACGUUCACGCAAAGAUUCUUCGUCAGGUGCAUCACGUCUAUUGCGUUGCGAACCUCUAGGAUUUCCCAAUAAGGUAGCUCCCAAAAUAUUGACUUUUUCUUCCACAUGGGUGCAUGUCCGUUAUCGUCGUUCGGAACAGGUUGGCUACCAAGUCCCUUUCCAAAGACUACAUUUACAUCCUUCAUCAUCUCGAACACACGCUUUCCAUUACGGUGUGCAGGUUUUUUACGAUGGUCUGGCGCCCCUUUGAAAUGCAUCCCGCUCUUUCUCAGCUGGUGGUGAGCAGGGAGAAAUCGACGAUGACCCAUAUAGACGACCUUCUUACAGUGCUUCAAGUACAUGCUGUCUGUGUCAUCUAAACAGUGGGUGCAUGCCCGAUAUCCCUUAUUUGUCUGUUCUGAAAGGUUACUCAAUGCAGGCCAAUCGUUGAUGGUUACGAACAACAAUGCUCGUAGAUUAAAGAUCUCUUGUCUAUCCUCAUCCCACACACGUACACCUUCUUCCUUCCAGAGCUGUAAAAGGUCAUCAACCAACGACCUUAGGUACAAGUCAAUGUCAUUGCCGGGUUGUUUUGGGCCUUGGAUAAGCGCCGGCAUCAUAAUGAACUUCCGCUUCAUGCACAGCCAAGGAGGAAGGUUGAACAUACAAAGGGUCACAGGCCAAGUACUAUGGCCACUACUCAACUCACCGAAUGGAUUGAAUCCAUCAGUGCUUAAACCAAACCUUAUGUUCCUUGCUUCACUUUCAAAGUCUGGGAAUGUUCUAUCAAUUGAUCUCCACUGUGCCCCAUCUGCGGGGUGUCUCAGCAUCUCAUCUUCCUUACGGUCUUCUUUGUGCCAUCGCAUCAACUUAGCAUUCGCCUUGUUCCUGAAUAAGCGCUUCAAGCGUGGUAUUAUAGGGAAAUACCACAUCACCUUCGCGGGAACUCUCUUCUUGGGAGACUGCCCCUCGACAUCACCAGGAUCAUCUCGCCUGAUCUUAUACCGCAGGGCUUCGCAGACGGGACAAGCAUCCAAUUUCUCGUAUUCAUCACCACGAUAGAGGAUACAAUCAUUAGGGCAUGCGUGUAUCUUCUGAACAUCCAAUCCGAGAGGGCAAAUAAUCUGUUUAGCUUCAUAUGUUGUGGACGGUAAUUCAUUAUUCUCGGGGAGAAUCUUCUUGACAAUGUUCAACAUCCCCUGAAAUGCCUUAUCGGACACACUAUUUUUUGUCUUCCAUUGCACAAAUUCUAGUGUCGUACCUAGUUUUUUAUGGCCCUGCUGGCAACCUGGGUACAACAAUUUUUGGUGAUCAUCUAUCAUGCGCUGCAACUUUGCUACUUCCUUCUCAGUUUUGCAAUCUCUGUAUGCAUCUCGUAUCACCUGACGAAGGUCAUCAGUAGGGCCAUUUUCUGCAAACUCAUCUUCAUCAGCCUCGCCCAUUGUAGUACCUACAAAAGCUUGGCCUGCAACCCAGUCCGGAAUGGUGUCAUCUUCCUCCUCCUCCUCGCCAUCUUCCAUUACAACCCCUAGUUCACCGUGCUUGGUCCAAACCAAAUAGUUAGGCAUGAAACCGUAUUUAAACAAGUGGCUGUGAAUAGUCCCCCAGCUUUCCUUUGAAUACUCCUUCCUGUUAUUGCAUUGGAAGCAUGGACACAUACGAACCUAUUCUCUGGCUUGUUCGCUUUUGCCAUUUCGAGAAAAUAUGCAAGCCAUCAAUAAACGUCUUGCUCCGCCUGUCUGCNNNNNNNNNNNNNNNNNNNNNNNNNNNNNNNNNNNNNNNNNNNNNNNNNNNNNNNNNNNNNNNNNNNNNNNNNNNNNNNNNNNNNNNNNNNNNNNNNNNNAACAUAUUGAAGGAGAAGGACAUACCUCCUUCUCGUCGGUAAAUCACGCGGGUUAGCCUCUGAGCCAGGUAUAUUGUCCAGUCGAUGCAGAAGGGAUCACAGUUGUUACCUAAGUCUAGUUUAGCCGCGGAGCUCAGCUUCAACCCGGAUUAAAGGUGAACCACCUUUUAUCCCGGUUGGAGCCUCCAACUGGGAUAAAAGGGUCCCGCCACCAACAGCUCCCCACUAGCCGUUGCAACCGGGACUAAAGGGGGGCCUUUAGUCCCGGUUGCAAUUACCAACCGGGAGUAAAUCUUCCCUCCAUUUUUGCCUACCGUGGCGCACCCCCUUUUGUCCCGGGCCAACUUUAAACCGGGACAAAAGGGGACGGAUCGAAAACCAAUUCUCUACUAGUGUCUAUUCCACAAAACCAUAAUUGUUCACCGGCUCCAGCAUUGCUGUUGCUCUCCACCAAUGGAGGAAGCUCUUGUCCUUGGCACCACCUUAUCCACUGACCAGCUGAAGUUAUCUGUACGUCCUAAGGUCUCAUAAGAUUUUUGAUGAAUUUGCAUUAAUACUAAUAUUGCCACCAAUCUAGUCUCAACCUUGCCUCGUGUUCUCCGUGGUCAUGUUUUAUUCUAACUUGCAAGCCCUACAACUACAUAUGAUGGUUCUUCUAUAUGCAUAAUAUAUCGCAUCUCCUAAGACAUAUCGCGGGCCGGCGGCGCGCGGGGGAGCGGUGCCAGCAGAGCGGAGGCGACCGGCGGUGGGCAGAGGUGGGUGGGUGCGGGUGCGGGCGAAGGCGGAGGAGCAUGUGGGCAGAGGCGGGUGGGCGUGGGCGGAGGCGGAGGCGGAGGCUGGCGUGGGCGUGUGCGGAGGCGGAUGGGUGGAGGCAUGCAGCGGCGGUGGGCAGAGGCGGGCGGGCGCAGGUGAGUGGCAGCUGGGCCAGCGGCGUGGGCGGAGGCGGAGACCGGCAGCGGUCGGGCGGCGCGGGCGGGCGGCCGGCGAGCGUGGCGCUUCUUUUUUUUUCCAAAUUUUUUAGUCCCGGUUAGUGGUUGGUAACACCAACUAGGACUAAAGGGGGCCUUUAGUUCUGGGUGGAUGACCUGGAACUAAAGACCUCCUUUUUUAUCUCGAAAAAUUUAUCUCGGACGGCUUUUAGAGAGAUGUGAGCGUAUCCAAUUGGGACUAAAGGUGAGUUUUCCACCAGUGAAUGCAGAGCAGGCUCAUCCUAAAUGGUGACACCAUGCUGAUCACGCAAUUUAUCAUUAUUUUAUCGACCUCAUCCGUGUUUGUCUUUUACCAUCUAUAUAGUAUGGUUAGUCAACGGCAUGCAGUACACCCAUGCAUAUGAUUGCAGUAGGAUAACAUAGCGCGACCAGAACUGACGCAGUUUGCCAGUUUUAGAUUCGUAUACACGGCCAACUUACGCAGCAGAGAGUUGCAUGCUAAGCAGUUCAGCGUAGGUGGUGAGUUCUCAACUCUGAUAUGGCUUAUGGAAGAACACUGUCACGGUGUCACCUAGCCGGUUGGAGGCCAACCUCUUACUAGGGACAGCAAUGGCCCUGUCCGGCCACUGUUUCGUGGCUGGUAUUAUUACCCCUAUGCAGUGAAUAUGACAUGUGGAUCUAUGUGUAUAUUAUGUCGUCGAAAGAACAUUAUAUGAACCGUUGAGCCACCUUUGAUUCUAUCAAUGUGUCAUGGUCAAUUGAUGUCAAACUCUAUUAUCUUCAAGUCUUAUUGUAUUGAAAAAAUCACGAUGCUCUGCUACUGCCAUUUUGAUGUUUAUAAAAGGGUAUUGAGAACCUGGUGGGUAUCCAUUCGAUGCGCUGGGGUGGGGGUGGGGAAAAAUGAGUGUAAAGGACAGGGAUACAGUAUUUAGAAGGAUGGGGCUGCCACAGAAGAUAGUCUCCAAGUAUGGCAGGGAAGAAUCUAAAACUGAAUCCUUGAUCAAGACUGUCCCAUAUUCAUGAAUAGUUCACUGACAGAUCUUGCUUCCAUAUUCUGAACAGCUGAUGCUGGGCACAUAGGAGGUUAACCGGUCAGCGGAUCGAAGAAAAAAAAAUUCUUGCCUGUCAGUGUCCACAAUGGCCUCAGCUUGGGUUAGAGACAAUCAUCCCUAAAGAAUCAUAUUGCCGGAUAAGGUUAUCUGUGAUUGGUGGGUGCAGAUCCAUACUCAUCCUAGAAACAAGCCAGGGCUGAAUAUGCCACUCAUUUUAGGUGCUUUGAUGUUGUGGUCACACCGAAAUGAUCAUGUGUUUAAUAAAGUUUCCUAUAGUGACUGGCGUGCAGGCUGUCCUCGUAUUCGAGAAAAAAAAUCAAUGGGCGAAAUAUUUUCACCCAGGUAAUUGUUGCAUUGUAUGAAUAGGCUUAGAUACCUGGUUAGAGUAUGAAUGUGCGUGUACCGUGACACAAGAAGAUUUAUCAUAUCCAUGUAUGAAUUAGUGUUAAAUCUGCUACAUAAAUAUCUUCUCUUAUCUCAUUGUAUGUGUAUAUAUGACACAGAAGCACAUGUAUAUUGGCAUUGUAGAGAGAGAUGAGAGAGAGAAGCUUAUCUGCUUUUUGGAGAUAAAUAUUCAAAUUACUGGUGUAUGAGAGGGAUAUAAUUAUUCUAUCAAAUUGUUUAUUCAACAUGUAAAAAGAUUCCAUGUUUAGUCAUCUAUAUCGGCAUUGUAGAGAGAGACUAGUGUUCAGCUGGUUGGAAGGAUGAGAGAGAGAGGAGAGAGUUCGGAUGAGAGAGAGACUAGUGUUCAGCUGGUUGGAAGGAUGAGAGAGAGGAGAGUUUGGAUGAUAGAGAGAUUAGUGUUCACCUGGUUGGAAGGAUGAGAGGGAGAUGAGAGAGUUCGGAUGACGAGGUGGAGAGUUCGGAAGAGAGAGAGGUGAGAGUUCGGAUGAGAGAGAAAGCAGCUUAGAAGGAUGAGAGAGAAAGUGGUAUUCAGCUGGAUGGUGGAGACUUCAUAUAUUACUAACUAGCAAGGUGUCCGUGCGUUGCUAUGGUGAAACGACGUUGCUUAGCGCGCGAUGCUUUUUAUCAUGUCGUGUAGCAUACCACAUUUUUUAUCGUGCUGUGGAACUUUUCUAUUUUAGUAGUAUUAGACUUUUCAUAUAUAAGGGGCCACAUGAGUGUGUCCAUAUCCUAACCGUGAGGAGACCGCUUGCCAUGGAACUUGUUAUCUCUUUCUCUAUCUUGAGAUUGGUAGGCUUCUACAGCAAUUCUGCACAAAAAAGGCCCCACUUCGCCCCACUUCGCCUCGCUCUCGCUGUCCGGUUAGUCCCGCGCCUACCCUCUCCCUCUCCGAUCCUCGCCGCUAGCUCCUCGGGGUCCAAGUCGGGCCCGUGAUGUAGCGGCCUGUUAUCCUUCCACCGUUGGAAGCGGGCAGUGAUCGCUGCUCUGUGAACCCAGCCUCACGCCAUUCCUACCACUUCAGGUCCAGUGAAGCCCGAGCUUUUGCUUGGGCCGAACAGGCCACUACCAACUUGGAGCAGGCAAGGCCAGCAAGGGCACACAAUAGACCCAAGCCCAGAGUCCACACCCAAACAUCCACACCACCUUAAUACCCCCACUUGGGUUACAAGCCCGCGCAACCAAGCUCGAUGAGGAUGGCUCGUGAGGACGAACAUUUGAGCUGGUGCGGCGCUGCUUCAGAUGGCGAGGUGGUACUAAUCUAAGGAAUAGGAAAAUUUCACGUGGGUCCCACACCGCACCUACCCCUAUCCUUAUCCUUUCUCAUCUCUCUACCGUUCAUCCGGUCCUUAUCCUCCUCAUCUCAUCUCUCUCUCUCUCUCUCUCUGUCUCUCUCUCCCUCUCUCGCUCUCAAACUCUCUAUCUCUCCUAUCCCCUCUUUCUCUGGAGAACGCGGUGCACGGCUGGCCCCAGCGGCGGCCUGGGGGCGCGGGUGCUGGCGGCAGCCGAGGGUUGCGGGGCUGCGGCGAGGAGCCUCCUGGCCGUGGAUGCGACGGCCUAGCCACGGGUGCCGGGCCGCAUCGCACCGCGCGCUGCUGCCACCGAGUAGGCUGCACGCACUGCCUGCACACCAGGCGGGGUGGGCGGCCAGGGCCGAGCGGCGCGGCCGGGGCCGGGGAGGUGACUCUGGCGCGGCCGAGGCGGCUUGGGCGCGGCCAGCUGUUGUGGGUAGGGAGAGGUGGACAGCGGCGCAUGGCGGUGUGGAGAGGCGGACGUGGGGCACGAACGGGUGAAAGGGGAGACGGGGAAAGAAAGCUGGACCCACCUAGCAAUGCAGCCGGGGCCGGGGCCAGGGUAGCGCGGGUGGCCGAGGCCGAGGCCGAGGCCAGGCGGCGCAGUCGGGGCUGGGGAGGCGGCUUUGGUGCAGCCAGCCGUGGCGGGCAGGGAGAGGCGGAGAGUGGCGCAACGGCGGCGUGGAGAGGCGGACAUCAGGCACGGGCGGGUGAAAGGGGAGACAGGGAAAGAAAGCUAGACCCACCCGUCAAUGCAUUAAUCUUACCUAUUAUUAAACAUCAGGGCCACCUCUCGUUGAUAGAAGUUGGACCAAACCAAAAAAAGUGGGCAGAAGUGUUCCUUACUUUAAUAAUAAUAAUAAAGUAUAGAUAAUGCAUCCAAACAACAUUUGGAAUUUAAUUCUAAGAAAAACUUUCUCAGUACAUCCAAACUAGAAAAUUCAAUUGAAUAAAAUUCUACGGAAUGCAUUUCUUAUGGAAUCUAAUUGGUAGAAUAUGAUUUAUGGGAUGAGUUUCAACUCUAGGGAUCCAAAUAGGCUCUUAGUUAUUUCUUAUGUAGCUCAAAUCAGAAGGAAGGUACGUCCAAACUAAAAAACGUAAGUUACUUUGUGUUAUCUUGUGAAUCAGUGAUUAAUUACUUCCAAUCUUAUGUAAAAAGAACUACGAGUCAAAUUCUUUGUCAGAUUUAUACUGACAAGUUACAAGCACAUGCCUCUGCAGUAACAGGCCAGCCCUAGACUAGUGGGCAAACCAAAAACAACAUGAUUCGUCAACUGAUCGAAUGCUAAUGACUAUUUUGCUAGGAGAAUGAACAUGAUUCAUACAAAGCAGGGGAGCUACUAACUUGGUCAAGGUCUCCGUCCUCUAGCUACUAACAUGAUUCAUACAAAGAAGGGGCCAUCUUGCUCCACUCCACGUCUGCGUGGUUGCUCGGCGGGCGCGACGGUGUCGGCUGCGGAGUGCGGACGGCGCGUAGAUAUGUCAUUGUUGAUCAGGACAUGCACUUCUAUCACAGUCUGUGGUUGGCGUCCACGGCCGAGCGGGUCAAGGUCUCCGUCCUCUAGCGUGGGGAAACAGGAUCUCUUCAAUCAGUGCUUCUACAGAAACGGUGCACGGUCACCACGGACCAACGACAUACCAUGAGAAAAGCAGAGCUAAAUGUUGCAGUAGCAGAGUAACCGGAGACUGGAGAGCACUUGCUGCUAAAAGCUGCCUCUUAUUUUGUAUCGUCUUAACCGAAGACUUUAAGUCAACCGCCAUUCGAUUCCAAUAUAAACUAGCAAGUUGGUCCGCGAUAAUAGCGCGGCUAGAUUUGAUACAGUAUAAUUUUUUUAAAUGCUAUGUUAGCUUAGUAUAUUUCUUUGUCCCUCUUGAUUUGUUUUUCAUCCUCUUGAAAUCACUGAGUAUACUUAGGUGCCUUACUCUACACAUUGAGUAUCAAGCCAUAUAUGUAUAUUUUUUUUUUGCAAAUGAACUCCGAUGCCACAUGCGCAUAUGCACGCCUAAUUAAAAUUGCUCACUUGUAAAAAAAUAAGAACAACUUGAGUAGUUGAUUCUGAUCUUAUGUUGCAGUUUUUGCCAACUUUUCCUAGUAUUAUUGUGUUGAGUAGAAAGCCUGUGUAGAGAAAGAUCCAAAACAAACAAUCGUGUCAACUACUCCCCAUGCUUGCUCAAAUAAUUUUGAAAAAAAAAACAACCGCGCUCUAAGUCCUAGGGAGGUGAUAUUCCUCCUUACUUUCCUCCUCUCGUUUUCCUUGCACAAUCGAGGAUGACAAAUACCACAAACCACUUAGGCUCUAUCAUGUUUCAUCAUCACAUUCCUCAAAUCUUGAUCACGUUGUUGUCUUCAUUAUGUUAACAGUACACAUCUCUCCGCCUCUUCUAUUCCACAAAACCAUAAUUGUUCACCGGCUCCAGCAUUGUUGUUGCUCUCCACCAAUCGAGGAAGCUCAUGUCCUUGACAUCACCUUAUCCACUGACCAGCUGAAGUUAUCUGUACAUCCUAAGGUCUCAUAAGAUUUUUGCUGAAUUUGCAUUAAUAUUAAUAUUGCCACCAAUCUAGUCUCAACCUUGCCUUGUGUUCUCGGUGGUCAUGUUUUAUUCUAACUUGCAAGCCCUACAGCUACAUAUGAUGGUUCUUCUAUAUACAUAAUACAUCGCAUCACUUAAGACAUAUAUCGCGGGCCGGCGGCUCAUGGGGGAGCGGCGCCGGCGGAGCGAAAGCGACUGACGGUGGGCGGAGGCGGGUGGGUGCGGGCGGAGGCGGAGGCCGGUGCGGGCGCGUGCGGAGGUGGAUGGGUGGAGGCGUGCAGCGGUGGCGAGUAGAGGCGGGCGGGCACGGGCGAGUGGCAGCUGGGCCAGCGGCGGCCGGGCGGCCGGCCGGUGAGCGUGGGGCUUUUUUUUAUUUUUUUUCAAAAUGUUUUAGUCCCGGUUCGUGGUUGGUACCACCGACCGGGAUUAAAGGGGAAGACCCCGUCUUUUGUCUCGAAAAAUUUAUCCCGGAUGGUUUUUAGAGAGAUUUGAGCCUACCCAACCGGGACUAAAGGUGAGUUUUGCACCAGUAAUGCAGAGGAGGCUCAUCCUAAAUGGUGACACCAUGCUGAUCAUGCAAUUUAUCAUUAUUUUAUCGCCCUCAUGCAUGCUGUGCAUGAUUGAUAUUAGUAUUGGGCAGCUUAGAUUCCUCAGCGCAUCAUGCUGCUCAGCCAUGGAGGUCAAGGCAUCAAUAUUGUCCAUAUCACAACGUCUCUGCUUUCUCUUGUUGUCCUCCCCCUUCCCUCUACAUUGCACCUUCUUGUUUUCCUGAUCCUAUUGCCAGUUUGUUGCAGCCAUUUAUGGGCACCUCUUUCGUCCAUUGUCCACUGUUGUUGCCCGCUGCCUCAGUUCUUCUCUAACCAAAGCGGUCGUAUCGCGCUGGUCGGUAGGAAGCCAUCGUCUCACAAAAGCAUCGUCGUGAUCGCCAAACCACAUCUAGCCGAUGCCGAACCAUACUUGCCAUCUUCUUUGCCAACUUGCCGCUAUGGAAGCCUCCAUGCAUCGCUCCUCGAGUCUAUCCUAUCUCUAUCAGCUCCUGUGGUAUCCUGUUUUGUUUUUGCCUCAACCACGAAGCCAUAGGUAGCUGGUGCUAAAUUGCAGGGCCAGCAACAGCUAUUUCCUCUCCCUGGCCUUGCGGCCAUGCUAUGUAUUUUUCUCUCUCAAAAAAAAUUCCAAUGAUUUAAUUCUAAUGUUCCGAUCAUGUGUGAUUGGUUUAUUAAUUAAAGUUAUAGUUAUACACGAGUAUAUUAUAAAAAAAUAAUAUAUAUAUAAGUUACCAUACAAAGUACAACUUCCAAUAAGGUGGAGAGGUUCGGAUGGAAUUUUGAUUCAACUUACUCUAUUCUAGAUAUUAGAGUUGUACUAGCAAAAUAUCCAUACAUUGCUAUAGCAAAAUAUCCGUACAUUUGCUACGGUAAAAGAUCAAUUGUGUUUUUCAAACUAAUAAUAUUUUUUAUUUUCAUCACUAAAGUUUUAUUCCACUUAUUGGAUGUCCACACAUUUAAUAGAAAACUAAAAGAAUUUUAACUAAUUAUUUCCUUCAACUCAAAUACCAAUUAAAUUAAAAUAUUUUUUUAUUCAAGCAAGAGAGUUAAAUCAGCCUCCGAUGGCCAUCGAUGAGGGGCUCUUUAGUCCUGGUGAGUAAUAUCAACCGGGACUAAAGAACCCCUUUAGCCCCGGUUGUAAAAGUUAGUGGCCUCGGGAUUCUGUUGGGGCGUUUUGUCCCGGUUGCAACUACCAACCGGGACUACGCUCCCCGCCUCCACACACACAAUGUGCGUGCCUCACUUUCUCUCCUCCCUCUCCUUAAUUCCAGUACCCAAGCCUCCUCUCCUUAAUUCCAAUACCCACAUGCCUCCUCUCCUCCUCCCUUCGGCCCCUGCCUCCUCUCCUCCCUCUCCUUCUCCUCCGCUAGAUCCGGCCAACCCCCAUUCCCUCUUCCAAGCUCCUCCCUCUCCCUCGACCGAGGCGGGCGGCGGGCGCAGGUCGGGUGGCGCGGCUGGGGCCGAGGCGGCGUGGGCGGCCGGGGGUCAGGGAGGAUGAUAGGUGGUUACGAGGAUGAUACCUGCAGACAAUACUUUUAGUCCCUCAAUUUUUUCUGAGAAUUGCACUGUGAGCUGCGCUUUCAUUUAUGUCACACCGCUCAGCAAAAAAAACGGUGCAAAUCGACCAAAAUAAAUGAAUAAAUCACACGGUUUAGACUGGUGGCAUCUGUAUGUUUGAUGAGUUUUGAAUCCCAACAGACCUCUGUUUGCUUAUCCAACAGGAGGAAAAAACUUUACUUACUAAAUCAGCUUUGCAUGCCAGGCUGCAAUUGUUAGAGCAGAAUUGGGUAAUUUGUGAACAUAAUUGAAUCAAAGUUUUGUCUCAGACUAGUAAUAGAAAAUGGUAAUGCUCCACAGCUAGAACACGUUCCUACACUAGUUUAAAAAAUUCCCUGAAAUUGGCGACAAUGGUCAAGCUCAAUGUCAAAGUCAAAAAUUCCUACACACGUUCCUACCAUACUUGGAACUUGGAAGGCCGCUGGUCGAUGUCAAAGUCAAAAACAGAAGCAGACAGCGACGUCUCACCAGAUCACGAAUCAGAUGCGAUGCAUGUGCAUGUUCAGCAAGACAUUGAAAAGCAAGCUCUGUCUGGCAGCAGCUCUUCAAUACGCUCCAGCCCAUCUCUACCAUGGCAUUGGCAAUGCGCGUCAUGAGCUUGCUUCCUGCCACCAUCGCCGUGAUGAUCGCAGCGGCCUCCUGGGGAGCGCACGGCGGUGCCAGCGACGAGGCCAGCGCGCUACUUGCUUUCAAGGCUGAGCUCGCCGGCAGCGGCUCCGGCAUGCUUGCAUCCUGGAAUGGCACCGCUGGCGUCUGCGGCUGGGAGGGCGUGGCGUGCACCGGCGGCCAGGUGGUGGCACUGAGCCUGCCCUCCUAUGGGCUCGCCGGAGCCCUCUCCCCGGCCAUUGGGAACCUCACUUUCCUGCGGACCCUGAACCUGAGUUCCAACUGGUUCCAGGGGGAGGUCCCAGCAAGCAUCGGCCGCCUAGCGCGUCUGCAGACGCUUGAUCUGAGAUACAAUGCGUUCUCUGGUACGCUUCCUUCCAACCUCAGUUCCUGUGUCAGCUUACUGCUGUUAGAUCUCAGCAGUAACCGGUUCCAUGGGCGUAUCCCUGUUGAGCUUGGAGACAAGCUAACAAGUCUUCAGAAGUUCUCACUGGGCAACAACAGCUUGACGGGUGCCAUACCAGGAUCACUAGGUAACCUGUCAUCCCUGAUCUACCUUGAUCUGACAGAAAACCACCUCGAGGGUCCGAUCCCACAUGAACUUGGCAGCAUGGGCGGCCUGCAGGUCCUUUUCCUCUAUGAGAACAGACUCUCCGGUGUGCUUCCACACUCCCUGUACAAUCUGUCCUCACUGAAAAACUUGGUGGUAGGAAACAACAUGCUGUCUGGAACCAUCCCUGCUGAUAUCGGCGAUAGGUUCGCCGGUAUGGAAGUUCUUGACUUUAGUAGCAACCGAUUCAGUGGAGCUAUCCCACCUUCGCUCGGCAACCUCUCUGCUCUCACGUUACUAAACCUUCCAGGAAAUGAUUUUAUUGGAUAUGUGCCUUCUGCUUUGGGGAAGUUGCAAAGUCUUACUGACCUGUUCUUGAGUGACAACAGGCUAGAAGCAAACGACAGUCAAGGGUGGGAAUUCAUCACUUCACUGGCAAACUGCUCCCAGCUUCAGUAUCUUGUUCUCGGCAACAACUCUUUCAGCGGGCAACUGCCUAAUUCAGUCGCAAACCUGUCAUCAACUCUGCAACAUCUUUAUUUGGGAGACAAUAUGAUUUCUGGGAAUAUUCCAAUAAACAUCGGAAAUUUGGUUGGUCUUACAGUACUUGAUAUGGCAAAUACUUUAGUAUCUGGACAGAUUCCAGAGAGCAUUGGUCAGCUAAGAAACUUGGUUGGGUUAGGCCUUUACAACACUAGCUUGUCAGGCCUCAUACCUUCAUCACUAGGAAAUCUUACACAGUUGAAUAAUCUUUAUUUAUACUAUGGAAACUUAGAGGGGCCAAUUCCAUCAAACUUGGGGAACUUAAAGAAUGUGUUUGCCUUUGAUCUCUCAACAAAUCGACUCAAUGGUUCAAUUCCUAUAGAGGUUUUAAAACUUCCUCGACUUUCCUGGUACUUAGACUUAUCAUAUAAUUCACUAUCCGGGCCACUUCCAACUGAGGUUGGUACCAUGGUGAAUCUUAACGAACUGAUUCUGUCUGGAAACAAGUUCUCAGGCACCAUACCAGCUAGUGUUGGGAACUGUAUAUCGUUGGUAAAGCUGCUGCUCGAUAACAACUUAUUAGAAGGAAGCAUACCUCAAUCUCUGAAGAACUUAAAAGGUCUUGCAUUACUGAACCUAACAAUGAAUAAGCUAUCUGGUAGUAUUCCUGAUGCCCUUGCUAGCAUUGGCGACCUGCAACAACUGUAUCUUGCACACAACAACUUGUCAGGUUCCAUCCCCAAAGUUCUACAGAAUUUGACAUUGUUGGCAAAACUGGAUUUGUCCUUCAAUGAUUUGCAAGGCGAAGUGCCAAAAAGGGGUCCUUUUGCAAAUGCAACUCACUUGUCAAUUGAUGGAAAUGAUGAGCUUUGUGGUGGAAACCCUCAACUUCACUUAGCUCCGUGCUUCACAGCUGCUGCGGGGAAGAACAGAAGGCGAAUGUCAAGGUCAGUUAUGGUCACCGUAGCGUCAAUCUGCGCACUUCUAUUCUUAGGUUUAGUAGUUUUUCUUAUCCAUUUGAUCCACAAGACGCUCAGACAAGGAAAGGAAAAUCAACUCAUUCCCACAGUAAUUGAUGAACAGCACGAAAGGGUUUCAUAUCAAGCAUUAGCAAAUGGGACUGACCAUUUUUCGGAGGUUAAUCUGCUCGGACAAGGAAGCUAUGGUGCAGUUUAUAAGUGCACUUUACAUGACAAGGGAAUUACCGCAGCUGUAAAGGUAUUCAACGUACGGCAAUCUGGGUCUACUAGAAGUUUUGUGGCUGAAUGUGAGGCACUGCGAAGGGUGCGCCACCGAUGUCUCAUAAAGAUCAUCACCUGUUGCUUAAGCAUUGAUCACCAAGGCCAAGAAUUCAAGGCACUGGUUUUUGAGUUCAUGCCCAAUGGUAACCUAAAUGAUUGGCUGCAUCCAGCAUCCAAAAUACAGAGUCUGAGCAAUACACUCAGCUUAGCUCAGAGACUAGACAUUGCGGUAGAUAUCAUGGAUGCUCUGGAUUAUCUUCACAAUCAGUGUCAACCGCCUAUUAUCCAUUGUGAUCUCAAACCAAGUAACAUCCUCCUUGCCGAAGAUAUGAGUGCUCGGGUUGGAGAUUUCGGCAUAUCAAAAAUCCUUCCUGACGACACUAGCAAAACUCUGCUGAAUUCAGUUAGCUUCACUGGACUAAGAGGUUCCAUCGGAUAUGUCGCUCCAGGUAACAGAAACUAACACUGAUAUUGCUAUGUUCAGUUUUUAACUUCCAUUUUGCCAAGUCCAGUUAUCUCGGCAUGCACGUUGAUAAGUAGCUUGCCAUGAAUCCACUGACCAAAUAGUGUCUGAAAUCUGAAUUGACUGCAGAGUACGGCGAGGGUCGCGCUGUCUCAACUCUUGGAGAUGUUUACAGCCUCGGCAUACUGUUGCUUGAGAUGUUCACCGGGAUGAGCCCUACUGACGACAUGUUCAAAGGCUCCUUGGACCUUCAUAAGUUCGCCGAGGCCGCUCUCCCCGACAGAGCCUUGGAGGUAGCCGACCCGGCAAUCUGGUUUCAUGAAGAAGCAAAGGGCGAAGACCCUGCCACGGUGAGAAGCAGAAGCGAGAGGUGCUUGGCUUCAGUGGUCGGGCUUGGCGUGUCCUGCUCAAAGCAGCUGCCAAGGGAGCGGACGGCGAUGCGGGAUGCUGCCGCUGAGAUGCGUGCGAUCAGAGAUGCCUUCCUGGUUCAAUGUGCAACAGAGACUUGGCCUGCAGUCGGCACCACCGGCCUUGGGAGCGCAGACAGUUGAAUGGUGGACGGAGCUACGGUCUCUUGAUGAACCAAGGAGCACCGGACUAGCAACUCUGCAACUAACAGAGUGGAGAAAGCGCCCCUUAAUGAAAAGAAAAACAGCCGGUGCAAGGCUUUAUAAAAAGAAUGUGACAGCCACUGCGUGUAUCCGAGAGACUUAUCUAAUCUACCGAGGAUUGUUGGGUAGGGAUGCGUAUAGAUUAUGCACGUGCUCCCUCCGUCCCAAAAUAAAUGCACAUCUCGCUUUUCGAGGAGUCAAACUUCUAAGUUUGACUAAAAUUUAUAAAAAAAUGUACUACUAUUUAUAAUGUAUAAUAAAUAUCAUUAGAUUGGGCGUUGGAUAUACUUUCCUAAUAUAUUUAUUUGAAGAUGCAAAUGAUGAUACUAUUUUCUUUAUUCUUAGUCAAACUUAAAAAUGUUUGACUCUUCGAGAAGUGAGAUGUGUGUUUAUUUUGGGAUGGAGGGAGUACCCGUCACGGGGAUUAGUCACGAUAUAAGUAGGGACUAGCAAGCACCAAAAUCCCAUUCACUGCCCUUCGAUCGCUCAAAUAAAACAAACCAUUGCAUAUGGUGGCGAUGCGCUUGCGGGCCUUUUUCCAACCUUUCUGCUGUCGUGGGUCUUGAACUCGCAUGGAACAGUUUUAGUGAAAGCGUGCCCUUCAAUUUUGGGAAGAUUGCGAAGCCUCAUUUACCUGUCCUUAGUGACAAUAAGUUAGGAUCCAAUGAUAAGGACGGAUUGGAAUUCAUCACCAUGCUGGCAAACUGCAGCCAGCUUCAGCAACUGGCUUUUGACAAUAAUUCAUUCAUCGGGGAACUUCCUAGCUCAAUUGCAAAUCUAUCGACAACACACCAAUUACUCUGUAUAGGAAACAAUUGGAUUUCGGGAUUUAUUCCAUCCAGCAUAGGUAAUUUGCUUGGUCUAGAACUGCUUGCGUUGGCAAAUACUUUCAUAUCCGGAGUGAUUCCAGAUAGCAUUGGUCGCCUAGAAGACAUGUCCGUGUUAGGCAUUUACUACGCUAGCUUGUCAGGCAUCAUACCUUCGUCACAAGGAAACCUUACACAGUUGAAAACUCUCUAUGCGUACGAUAGCAACUUCGAGGGUCCAAUUCCAGCAAGUGGGGGAACUUAAAGAAUGUUGUUGUUCUUGAUCUCUCAACGAAAGUGUGUAACCCGCUAAGAUUUCGUGUCGAAGCAAAGCAUAAACCUCUCUUAAGACUGCAAAGCUAUCAUAGAGCAGAUCAGUCUAAGACAAUGUAGAACUUAGUCAAAUUUUAUUUAUAAACAUUCAAGUACAAUUUAUGCAAAGUAAAUUUGAAAAUAAAGUAUACGUAAACAUCUAAGCGCAUAGCUUUAUGAUUUGAGUUGAACUAACCAAAUAUAAUUGAAAAACACAUUUAUAUUUAUAUUAAGUCAAAUUAACAUAUAAUUAUGAAAGCUCGAGAUAUAACUUAUGGAGCCUUUAUUUAGAAAACAAAUUGAAUAAACAUUAAUCAAUUUAAGUUUAAUUAUGAACCACCAUGUUGCAUCUCUCAUUGACUUUUAAUUGAAAGAGUUAUUUAAAUAAGCAUUAACUAAUUUAGCAUUUAUUAUGAAAAGCAGUUAUAACACUAAGUAGCUUUUAAUUAAAGAAGACAUGUUUAACAUGCAUUAAUCAGAUUAAUAUUAAAUUUAUUUUAAAAACAUGCAUGAUGGAAAGAUCAGUACUAACAUGUAAUUUGUGUUAUUACAAACCUAACUCAAUAAGAACAGAUAUAAACGGAGCUGUAACGACCAGUCUAUGGGUUAAACAAGGUUGCAGGGCCUAAUCAUGAUUAACGGAAGGUUAUUGGGGCUAGCAAGGAAGAUUUGCAAGACACUGGAAUAGAGCUCCCCAUUAGGUCAAAGCAUAGGGCGAUUGCGAAAUCAAGAACUCGAAGGUGAUCGCGAGAACACGAAGGACACGAAGGUUUUAGAUAGGUUCGGGCCUCCGGAGAGUAAUACCCUACGUCCUGUAUGCUAGUUUGUAUUGCUUGAGAUUGAUCUGAUUGUUGGGAUACCCUCGGGGGUGCCCUUGGCCGCCUUAUAUAGGCUGACGACCAAGAGUUAAAAGUCAGUUUGAAUCUAAUCUACUCGGUAGUUACAUGGAAAGUAAUCUGAGUUGGACUACAGUACACGUUCCAUGAUAUCCAGGCAGAUUUGAACUGUCUUGUUGCCUUGACUUGCACUCCAAGUAACUUCAUGUCCUCGGCCCGCACGCCCUAGUCGGGCGGGCCCUACUUGUCAGUCCGGCCAGUAUCCUGGUCGGUCGGGGCCCAUGGGGUACCCAUAUCCCUCAAGCCCCCGAGCAUUGUGUAGGUGAAGAGUAACUUGAGGUCACCACAGUGAAACUUGAAAUGAAGUCGGCUGAAGCUACGAAGACAUCAUGGCGACGGAGAGGCUGCACAGUGCUCAAAAGAAGAAAUUCUGAGCAAACGCAGAGCCAACGCGUAGAGCGAAGACGAGUGCCGAGUUGAUGGAUGCUGGCAUUCAGCAGUCGGAGCAAAGGUUAUGGAGGGCCUCGCAAAACGCACUCUGUAGGAGUAGCCCCCGAGCAUUAAAGUGAUUAAGAUAAUCGGUACAAUAGUCAAAGAAGAAAAAGUUAUCCCCUAAAGUAGAUCCUAGUGCUCGAACAUAAGGAUGGGUGAAGCCAUGGAGGCCCGCCAACCAGAAGUAGGCACCCAGACCCAAGAAUGAGGACUAGCGGGACCGUGUAGCCACGUUGACCUGAAAUAGGCGCCCAACCCCUGAGGACGAGGACUAGCGGAGCCACGGAGGCAUGCCGACCUGAAGUAGGCACGCAACCCCUGAGGACGAGAACUGGAGGAGCCAUGAAGACACGCCGACUUGAAAUAGACGCCAAGCCCCUGAGGAUGAGGACCAGUGGCGCCACGGAGGCACGCCAGCCAGAAUUAGGCAUCCAACCCCCGAGGAUGAGCAUGAGGACUGGUGGAAGCACGUCGAGGUGCCUCCCGCCUCGAGCCGAGGCAGAGAGGUCAGUCGGGCGACGGGAGGCACAUGAGUCAUCUAUGGCGCGCAACCGCCGAGCCUGGGAGCCGGACGAGUUGCAGAAGCAUGCCAAGUCGCCUCCCGCGGCGAGCUAGAGAGGUUUGCUGGGCGACGGGAGGCACGCCAAGUCAUCUGCAGUGCCCAGCCCUCAAGCCUUAGGGCCGGCUGAGCCAUAGAAGCAUGCCAAGCCGCCUCCCGCCCCGAGCCAGAGAGGUCGGCCGGGUGACGAGAGGCACGUCGAGUCAUCUGCGGCGCCCAGCCCCCGAGCCUAGGAGCCAGACAAGUCAUAGAAGCAUGCCAAGUUGCCUCCCAUCCCGAGCUAGAGAGGUCGGCCGCGUGACGGGAGGCACGCCGAGUAGUUUUUGAGCUAUAAAAGGACAAUACAAUCAUCAUGUAGCAUAGUGUAGAUCGUUUAAUCAUUGAACAACUCGGAAGUUUAAUUCACUAUAUAAGUAAACUCUUGCGCAUCCUGCUCUUGUAGGCUAAGUAAUUUCCCCAGGUAGUUAGCCUGUUACGUUUAAGCACCUAGCCCUACUGACCACUGCUCACAGAGAUGACGGUUUAUCUCAAGCUAUAGCGCUGGGGCUGACCUGAUGCUUGCAUAUAGGAGACGCGCAGGAUGAGUUAAGGUUUUACGGAUUAAGGCAUGUGCUACCCGAGUACUUUAGCAACUGUUAACAGGGACAGACAAGUUGCAAAGCAGCCGGAACUGUGCGGAAAAGCACCAGCAUGAGCUAGGCACCCAUGGGGUGUAACCCCUGGCCGCCCGUGUAGUGGACGGACCAAGUUGUAUAAACAGUUAGGGUGCGACCAAGGUGGUGGGCAAAAGUCACGGAGACAUAGGAGAGCUGAGGCGGUCGACGAAAGUCACAGGAACAUGGAGGAGCCGAGGCUUAUGUAGGUAUACGGAAGCCAUAAAAUAUUUAAUUGUAAAUAAGACUUAGCUUGAUUCGUGAUCGAGUCGAAGAACCCGCAUGUCGUCUUUGCGUUUAGGCUUAGAAGCCCCUGAGCGUGGUCAGCGGAUAGUUGUUGGUGAAGCAAACUAGUAGGGCUCCAUGCCCGACUAAUUCGUGUCAAGUCCGAGUUGUUGGAGUUGUUAGUGGCAAGUCUGUGGCUGCGAUCGUGGUAUGCUGCUGCCAAGUCGAUGCGGCCAUCGGGUCGUGGCUGGCUGGCCGCCACGCUCGCAAUACAGCAUGCCUGGGUUGUGCUGCCAAACCAAAGGUGCAUGUACAUCUUUCCGAACCUCGUAAGGAAGCCCUCAGGUAUUAAGGAAAUCUAUACCUAAUAUUAAAGUGCGGUUGUUUGUUCCAACCAUUAUGGUUGUUUUGCAAAAAAGUCCCUCAACUUUUUCGUAAUCAGCUCGCAGUCCUUGGAAUAUGUCUUGAUGAUUUUGCAAAAAGGUCCCCAAACUUUACUGCAAUUGGCCGUCGAAGCUCCCGCAGCAUGCACCUACGCCACGUGCGGUGCGGACGAGUGUGCUGGCGGUGGCUGCAAGCUCCUCACCACAGCGGGGACCAGGUCGAGCAGCGACAGCGAUGACGGAGGGGAGUAGUCCGCAUCCGCGUGCCGUGCUUCCAUCGUCGGGCAAGCUGUGGCGGCGGUGGAGAGGGAAAGUGAGUACAUCGGCGUGUGGCAGCAGUCGUGGGGCAGUUUGGCGGCGGAGAUCCAUGACCCGCACCUCGCUGUGCGCAAGUGGCUCAGCACCUUGGACACCAUUGAGGACGCCACACACGUCUAUGAUGUCGCCGCCAUCGAGUUCCGAGGCCACCACGCCAAGCUCAACUUCCCCGACGACAUGGUCCCCGUGCCCGCACCUUCUAGGGUGCCCACCUCUACAUACCACUACCACCACCACCUGCCGCAGCCGCUGCCCAAGAGUCUGCACAAGACCUGCGGGUCGAACGCAUCGUCGUCGGUGCACAUGGCUCCUGGAUGACGGCAGCUUCUUGUCACCCAUGCCAUGAUCGUCACAUUCUCCUCUUGUUUUCACUUUCGUUGCUUAGCGGAUAAUGGUGGUCAGCUGCCCUUUGGUCUGUCGUCAAUCACCAGCCAUCCAUCGCUUUCAUAUGGUUUUACACUAGCUUUUGGGCUUUGACCACACCUCCACACCCAUAAAGUGGAGUGAUGUUGAUCUACUGCCGCUCGCCCUGGCGUGCAACUACUGUCGCUCACCCUAGCACAUGGCUACUCACUCGGGCUGCGUGCCCUACCCGCCACCUGGACCUAAGAGGUGAAGGAGAGAGGAGGAAGGGGGAAGGAAAUAAGGAGCCGAGUGCCUCUUUGCAGUCAACCAAGUAGAUCCAUGUGCCAGCGAAGGCAUGGCGCCAGCAAGGGGGGGGGGGCGCAGCAGCAGUCGGCAGGCAACGCAAAUUGGGGCAGAGGUUGGGACCUCACACCCCCCCUCUCAAUGACGUCCAUCCCCUUAAGAUCCGGAACUAAAGCCUCCACAUCUAGCAAUUGGGGGCUCAAUUUUGCACUUGAUUGAAAUGAUUUGGAGUGGAUUAUGGAAGGGAAGUGGAUGGAAAUGAGAAGAGGAGGAGAACGCACUCCUGCUCAUGGCGGCCAGAGGCGUUGUGGCCUAGCGCUCGAAGCAGGAAUGAGGCUAGGCACAGGAAGGACGAGCGCUUGCCUGGGCGAUGGUGAGGAUGGCAAGAUGCGCAGCGCCUGGAUGACGGCGAAGAUGGGGCUAGAUGCGGGUGGCGCUGAUGGAUGAAGAGGCAUCGACUGGCUAGAUGACGAUGAGUACGGGGGAAAUCGAAUGAAUGGAUGGAGCGGAGGUUGAGCGGUGAUUUUUUUUAUUUCCAUAUGUGGGUCCCACAUAAUAAACAUAUGGCAUCAAAUCACCCAUAAAUAUCUUCUACUACUAUACUGAGACAACGCACCAACAUAUGGUGAACCGAAGCCACCGUAUUACGAACAAGCGAAUAAUAACGUGAGAAUAAGUAAGGACCUGUAGCAACGCACGGACAUUUCUGCUAGUGAGAAAAAAAAUUGUUAUCUACCGCAGUAAGCACCGAGCAACAUAGGAGAUCUACUGGAUGGAAUAGAUUAAAUAAUAAAGGGAAGGGAGAAUUGUUUCCUUUUUUUUCCGUGGCAGAUCCGACAUGUCUGCAUGCAACAAGUUGAGGCCGACGUGUCGUGCUAAAUCAAUUGGAUCGGACUGGGGCUGGAUCAGGCGAGCUUGGCUGUGGCCGGGAUGAGGCCAAUAAGGGCGCCGCCCUUGACCUUGGCCUCCUGCGUCUCGUGGAUCUUCUGCAUCUAGAGCAUCCGCUCCAUGACAAGCUUGUACUGGCACUUCUCUUAGGCGUGGUGCUCAGGCUGGCACUUCCAGGGGAGGUAGAACUCGGAGGUGCACGCACUGGUUGUGGUAGGCGAGCGGCACCUGGGCCACCGCCAUCUCCACCUGCGUGAUGAUCUAGGGCUUCAAGGAGCCGAACUGCACACCGACCGUUGCUGCCGCCUCCAUCUGUCACUUUCUUCCCGUCUCUCUCACCGGCGAGGUCGUUCCAUCGAUAGAUGGGCAUUGCGGGUUUGGUGCGGUGUGGGUAGGUGGGGUGCAGCGAGGACAUGAGGAACCCUCUCGGAGAGAGAGAUUGCCAAUCUACUGGGCAAGUGGCAUGAUGAUCCUUGGAUAGAGAACUUGCUCCUCCGGAGUAAAUCCGACAGAUGCCGAGCUGGCGGCAGGCAUCGAGUCGAAGUCCACCGACAUGCUCCCGAAGCAGAGCUGGAUUGGGUUGGCGAGGAAGUCCUUCAUGCUCUCGGAAAAAACAAUGUCGGGACGGGAUGCCAUCGAGCUCGCUAGGGAGGAUCUCACAAUCAUCCCUACCUGGCAUGCCAACUGUUGGAUUUAUAAGCCUGAUAGUCCACCAGGGGGUUACCCAAGUAGUUGAUUUCUAGGUGAGGGCGAUUGUGAAACCAAGAACUCGAAGGUGAUUGCGAGAACACGAAGGGACACGAAGAUUUUAGAUAGGUUCGGGCCUCCGAAGAGUAAUACCCUACGUCCUGUAUGCUGGUUUGUAUUGCUUGAGAUUGAUAUGAUUGUUGGGAUACUCUUGGGGGUGCCCUUGGCCGCUUUAUAUAGGCUGAUGACCAAGAGUUACAAGUCGGUUUGAAUCUAAUCUACUCGGUAAUUAGAUGGAAAGUAAUCUGAGUCGGACUACAAUACGCGUUCCAUGAUAUCCAGGUAGAUUUGAACUGUCUUGUUGCUUUGACGUGCACUCCAAGUAACUUCAUGUCCUUAGCCCGCACGCCUUAGUCGGGUGGGCCCUAGUUGUUAGGUCUGACCAGUAUCCUGAGGUACCCAUAUCUCUCACCUUGGUGCUCCGGCGAUUAGGGUCAACGGCGAGGAUGGGGAUUGGAAGAGGAGAUCAAGGGGACUUUAUGGAGAUGCUCACCGGUGGUGAGGUGGACGGAUUCCAGCCAGAAUUUGGCUGGCGGUGGAAGAACACGACAGGUUGCUCAGGUCUUCGCGAGUGAUGGUACUCCAGCAGUGGAGCGGCGACGAAGACUAGUGGCAGAGCAGCUCCUCGACAUCAUGGAGCUCCCUAAGGCUCUAGCUUGCUCCAAUGGUCGACGGGCAUAGCGAAUUGGCCAGAGAAGGCUGGUAGCGGCUCCUAGCUUCGGUGGAUGUGGGGGAUGGCGGCGCUUGUGGAGGAUGGCGGUGCUUGUGCAAGCUGGGAAGAGUGGCGGCGCGAGGCAGGGUAGCAGCAGGGGCACUGUCUCGACUUUUAUAGGCGCGUGGGUCCGCGCCUACCUUGGCACGCAUGCUGAGGUUCGGCGGUGGCGACGACCAACUGCAGCUACGCUUGGCCUCAACCCGUUGGUGGCCGAUGGGCCUAGCGGACCUAGCCGAGCCAUCAGCUGGGCUGGGUCGGUGAGGGUCGAGCCGCAAAGACUUGGCCCGAUUGAUUAGGAUUUUCCUUUUUUUUAGAAAUGAUUUCUUGUAAAAGAAAAAUCCAGAAAAAUUCUAUAUAAUUAAUUUAAGCAACGAAAAAACCCUAAAAAUCCAAAAAUUCCAGGAAAAAUCCUAGAGAUAGUUUGGGAAUGAGGAGUACAAAUAAAAUACUUGGAGCUCAUGAAAAGGAUUCUAGAACCUUCCAAAAAUUGGAUUUAGCUCUAGAAAAAAGAGAAUAAAUCUUAGAAAAAUCUUGAAAUUCUCAUAAGAACCUAAUGGGCAUCUAAACGCAUUCCAAAACCUUUGCACUUAUGAAAUACCAAGAUGCAUCGGCAUGAAUGCAACACAUACAUAGAACUAUUAUAUUUAAUUCAGAAAAACACUCAAUUAUUUUCCUAUACUAAAUUUCCUGUCAGGAAAAUAAAUGUUGGAAAAAUUUUAAAAUUAUGAGAAAAUCAUUGUUUAAUUAUUAUUUUUAAUCACAUCCUGAAAUUUCAAAAAUUUUAAGGUGUGACAGAUACCCUCAGGUUUACAGAAUUUGACAUCCAUGUGCAAAUUGGAUCUAUCCUUCAAUGAUUCUUUGGAUUUGCACAGUUUUCAGAUAUUUACUGGAAGGAGCCCAACGGAUGAGAUAUUCAAUGAUUCUUUGGAUUUGCACAGUUUUCAGAGAAUGCUCUUCCAGAGAGAAUAUGGGAUAUAGUUGAUCCGACAAUAUGGAUGCACACAGAUGCCUAUAACAGCACUAUGAGAAGUGGAAUUAAGAAUUGCUUGCUUUCUGUUGUUUCUCUUGGAAUAUCAUGCUCAAAGAAACAACCUAGGGAGCAGAUCCCGAUUCAGGAUGCAGCCAUUGAGAUGCACGCUAUUAGAGAUUCGUAUCUCAAGUUUGCCAGAUCUCUUUUGGUGGAGCAUGGAGUAGUAGCAACAACUCACAGUGAUUUCCCACAACAGUGAAUACAUAGGACUGAAAAUGGGCAAGAUGUCCGCAGGUGAUCAGUUUACCUGAAAUAACUGAAGAUGUAUGAAGCUUCAGCUUUAUAAUUCGUCCAUGCAUUUGUUUGCAUCAGAUAUAUGGAAGUAUAAAAUAAGUUUAGAAAAUGUUUCAAAAUAGAUUAGAUCAAGAGGUUUUUACUUGUCGUCUGUAUGGCACAUUUGUUUAGAGAAUUCAGUAAUAUGUAUGAUUCAUAAUACAAUCAAUGCUCUGCAAAUUUCAGAUAGCACAAUUGGAAUAAAAAGCUCAUUCAUUGAUUAUGUUGCUCUAGGUGACUCAACUUAUUGUGAUGUUCACUGUAGAUUUCUCCAUGGUCCAAACGACCUUUGUGAUCAGUUAUGUUUAUGCAUUUUGUAGACUUGUAAAGUCUUUCCCUAACCUGCUGACAUAUCAGCUGGAGCAGAGCACUCUGCCGUUCUGCGCCACUUGCCUCUAGGCAGCGCUUGCCGCUUGGUGGCUGCCGUGGCGACGGGCGGCAUCCGUAAUUGCUCUAUUGGAGGCUGAGGGGCACAAUUACGUCUUGGAGUCGCCACCGCGCGACCUUCGGAGCUCGCCCAUGCCUCAUCGGUACGAGCUCAGUCCCGCGGUGAAUGGCGCGCGCAUCUGGGGUUCCGUCAGCUGCAGGUGCAGAUGGGUGGAGAGCUUAACAGCACUAGGUCUUCAGAAGAUGUUGGGUGGGCUGGAUGGGGCUUUGCGGCUCUGAAUGGCGAGGCGGGCAGGGACGACGGCGGCAGCGGCAGGCGGCGGCACUGGACGCGUUGGGGUGGAGACGACCCGGACCAGGGAGCAUUUUUGAAAAUAGUCGGAUCGCGAUCCUAAUUAGGAAAUGUGAGAAGGGGUGCACCAAAUAUGGGAUGAGAUGGAGAGGAGCGGAUCAGGCCCAGAUCAGCGAUCAUUUACUAUUAGGGCCCGUUUGUUUGGCAGGAAUUGGGCUGAAUUGGAAUUACUUUCCUAGGCCGACCUGUUUGGCUGCACAUGGAAUUGGAAAUCGUCUUUCCGGUGAUUUUCACGGGCUGAUUUUCUUACUUGCGACACAUUCCGGGCCUAAGACAAAGAAAUCAAUUCCAUCCGACUUGCUUCCCCUCCCGACUCGCCUCCCUUCCCCGACACCGCGCCACCUCCCUCUCCCAACUCCCCUCCAUCCCGACGCCGCACCCCCUCCUCCACCGCCUCCUCCGGCGCCCCCUCCUCACCUCCCCCUGACUCGCCUCACCCCGUGCUGCCGCCGCCCUCGACUCUGACUCCCCGAGCGCUGCGCCGCCGCCUCUCGCGCCGCCGCCCCUCGCGACCACCUUCUCGACGGCGAGAUAAACCUCCUCCAGUUUCCCUCCUCCAUCUCGUUCUCCGGCUCACCCCUUCCUUUUUCUUCCUCACCGGCUCACCCCUUCCCCUUGAACAAUCCGCAGAUCUGCGGGGGAGGUGCCACCGGCAAGCAGGCUGGGAGCAGCUGCAACGGCGGCCGCCCCAUCCACGUCUCUACGGACGGCAUCUUCAACAUUCCGACCACGCGCGUGCUCUCCACUAGCAAAGAAGCUGUACGUCCCAAUCCCUUCUGCCCAUCCCCUUUGCUACUCGAGCCAGCAAAGAAACUACUAGUUAGUUGCAUCAGAUUCUCACUGUCAAAUUGGAAGGCCAUUGCUCUUGCUCCUACUAGUAUACCGCACUUUCCACAAAAUGCGACACACGAAUUUGUUAAUUUUGCCGUAAUUCUGCUAUCAAAUCAAAAGGCCAAUCCUCUUGCUCUAAACAGUUUCUGCAAUUUCGUGCACUAUCGAUUGCUAGUGCUAAUUACAUGGAGGGCCUUUGGUACUUCUCUGCUAAUGCUAAUUAUAUGUGACAUGCUCUGAGAUUCUUCAUACUGUGUGCUGCCAUUAGUUUAAAUUUGGUAGAAGCUGAAAUCUCUUCGUAGAUCAUUAUGUGCUGCCAUUCUGAUAUCCUGUGGAGUUGCAUAUCAACUACUAGUGCUAGCAUUUAGUUUUAUCUGUCACAGCAGUUAAGCAUCAGUCAGCCCUUAUCUAGCAUUUAGUUGGUGCAGCUGUGCAAGUGAUGUUCCUAUUGUUUUUAAUUUUUGUCUUCUGCAGCAUUUUGCAGGCUGUCUAUGUUUCUGCUUAGUUUCGUGAAAUAGUGUAGCAUUUUGAUGAUAAAUUAAAACAUUCCUUUUUGCAUAUGUUUAGAUGCCUGACAGCAACAUAGACUUGGUUAAUACAGGCAUAGAGCAAAUGAGAGAGAGCGUAGGAAGAAGAGAAAAAGAGUGGCUAUUUUAUUUAUUUCUGCUGUCAUGAGCAUGAUUGUGCACUAAUGCGUAAGAGACCUAGGCGUAUCGUUGAUCCGGAUGAAGUGGCUGAGAGAAAUGUUGCUAGUCGGAAACAAAUGCCAAGGAAUCUGUACUAAGGAUCAAAUAUUUUUUGCUAUGACAGUUUGCGCCUAAUUAAGAGAUCAUUUUCUGACCUAUGUGCCAUCUUACGUGAUAGGUGCGGUAUGUGUGAUACUGUCGGUAGAAGAAAAUGUGGCUAUCUUUUUGCUUAUAGUGGGCCAUGGCACUAAGAUGAGGAUGAUUCGUAGCUCAUAUAGGUGGUCGCUCGAGCCAAUCUACCAUCAUUUCAAUGAGGUGUUGAGAGGUGUUCUAUCAUUAUGCCAUGAAUUUAUCAAGCUUCUUGAUCCAUCAGCUGUAGAACCUGAGGAUUCCAAGUGGAAGUGGUUUGAAGAUUGCCUUGGAGCAUUAGAUGGUACACAUAUUGACAUUUUGGUGCCUUUGGCUGACCAAGGGAGGUAUAGGAAUAGGAAGCAACAGAUUACCACCAAUAUUUUGAGGGUUUGUGAUCAUCACAUGAAAUUUAUUUACAUCUUAGCAGGAUGGGAAGGAUCGGCUUUAGAUUCACGUGUGCUACGUGAUGCAAUGUCUCGGGACGAUGCAUUUCUUAUUCCAAGUGGGAAAUACUAUCUUGUAGAUGCUGGAUACACCAAUGGACCGGGCUUUCUUGCUCCAUAUCGAUCCACUCGCUACCACUUGAAUGAGUGGGCUGCUCAAGGGCAUAACCCAUCCACUCCCAAAGAACUAUUCAAUUCGCGCCAUUCAACUGCUAGAAAUGUGAUAGAGAGAACAUUUGGGCUAUUAAAGAUGAGGUGGGCUAUACUAAGAAGCAACUCAUAUUUUAACUUACAAAAUCGGGUAUUCCGUAGUUAGUAACCUAGCUUGAAAUUCACCUCUGAAUGACCCUAGCAUGUAACUCAUUUCUACUAAUUUUUUGCAGAUUAGGAUCAUUAAUGCUUGUUGCAUAUUGCACAACUUUGUAAUUGAUAGACAAAGAGAUAUAGAUGACUUACUUAUAUACACCAAGUUGAUCAAGUAAUAUAUGUUGAACCUCAUGAAGUUCAAAGUGAAGUGGGCAUGAUUAGCAAUGUUCAAUCAUCAAAUGAAUGGAGCAAUUUUAGGGAUACCAAAGCUAACCAAAUGUUUGCUGAUUACCAAGCGAGACGUGGUCAAUGUAUGAUAAAUUCUAUCAUCAAUGCAUGCUCAAAUUUAUGAUAUUUGGUGUUGCUCCUUAAUAUUUUACUGAUAACCUUUGUGAACUUUUUUCUUGUAGAAUAUGGAGAAGGGCAAGAAGUCAGUCUCGAGCAGGGGUUACAUUUGUUGGAAUGACGACAUGAAUAAGGCUCUUCUUGACACAUUUGUGGAGUACUAUAACAAGGGUGACACAUGCCAAAAUGGGUGGAAGUCUCAUGUCUAUACAACUUCUAUCAAGAAUAUCCGAGAAAAGUGUAAUGUGGAUAUCACAAAAGACAACAUCAUGGCAAGGAACAAGACCUUUGACAAACACUACACUAUCAUCAAUGGUAUGUUGGAAUCAAGUGGAUUUGGUUGGGAUUGGAACAAAAAUAAAAUAUCUGUUGAUAGUGAUUCUGUAUGGGAAGAAUAUGUGACGGUAAGUUUCAAAAACCACUGAUUUACUUGCUUAACUUGCUUCUCUUUACAAGCAGUUUUCAUUUUGUUAGACACAAUCACAUAUGAGGUUAUCCUUAUUUUACACAUGGUAUGGUAUGAAUCUACUAGGUGGGCUUGGCAUAUAAUUGAAAGAUUUUUUGUACUCUAUCUAAAGUGGCAAUGAUUGUUUCAUCAAAACUUAUUGUUCCUGAAAACUUAUUGGCAUAUAAUUGAAAGUUUCUAUCUAUUGUUGAAAACAGUGUGUAGUGAAUUAUGUUCGUUACCUGUGUUCCUAAACAAUUAUGUAUGCAUCCUUGUCCCUGUAUGUUUUGUUACUUUUUUUAUUGAUAGUGUGGCAUCUUUAGGUUGUUCUUGAAAUGAAAGUAUACUUUCACUGCACAAGAAUUUAUUGGCCAGAAUAGUGGCUUGUAUUGGUCAGAUCCUAGUCAGCAAGUGCACGUCUCCUACAAGGCUGAGAAUCUUGCGUGAGGAAACUAGAGAGACCACUAGCAUGAACAAUGCCUCUCCAUACUCUGCAAUUUUUGAACUUUAGAUGCACCUGUCUCUUUGCUAGAAUUGCAAAUUAAGUAUGAAACAUGAAUCGACAUCAUUUAGUAUUGUUGUGCAGCACCAUACAAUGGUUUUGUGGUUUUGUGGAUUCUAGAAAAGGAUUCUCACAAAUGAUAGUUGCCAGUUAUACCUUUUGUUGCCAGUUCUACAAAAGGAGCCAUGGAUGUGUUUCAAUUUGUAGAUAUUCAUUGUGCAAAAUGCGACUAGAGCUUCUAGUACAUGUAUUUCUAAUAGUAGAAGCCAUGCAGAAGUUCCUGUAUUUGAACUACAGUAUGUAAACUGAUCUAUAUGUGUCUAAACUGGUCUGUAUGUGAACUACAAUGAUUGUACUUCUAUUUGGGUUCAGUACAUACUUGCUCUACACUUGUUUUCUAACCAAGUACAUUUAUUUUCUGUAGAAAAAUAAAGAAGUUACUGGGUACAGGCACAAGACUGUCUUGUACUGGGACUCAAUUAGCUUGGUGUUUGGCAAAGGCCAUGCUACUGGUGAAGCGGCAAAGACUGUGGCUGAGAGCUCAAAAAAUAUGAGUAAGGAAUAUCUUAGUAACAAAGAACCCACAUCAUCGGCAACUUCAGGAAGUUUAAAGAGGCAACGAUCAGGUGACUCUUUUACCUCUAUGAUAGCUGAAAAAAUGGACAAGUUUGCUGAAGCACUCAAGGAGGAAGCCCUAAAGGCCUAACAUCAAAAGAAAUUCUAGACACACUGAAUGAGGUACAAUGAUUGGAUGAAGACACUUUGUUGGACCUAUUUGAUAUCCUGACCGGUGAUGCACGCAAGUAUGAGUCUCUGUUGGCGCUUCCGGAGAAGAUGAGGAAGAGGUGGCUCCUAAAACAGCUCAAGAAGUGAAAAAAUUAGUUCAUAUAUAAAUUAUACUAUCAAGUGAUGGAUAAUGUCUAUUGAACUUCCAUUGCCUUGUAAUAAUAUGUGGCUUCAACUAUAUGAAAGUUUAGAUACUAUGUCUGUAUUGCUUGCAUUGUCAAGAUAAUAUGUUUAUCAUGAUCUCAUACUAUGUCUGUCAUGAAAGUUUAGAUAAUAUGUGGCUUCAACUUGUCAUGAUUGUAAUCUCCUUUGACAUGUUGCAAGUAAUCAGAUAUGUCUGCCAGGAUUGCAUUGUCAAGUAUGAAUGUAUAUCAGCAUUGUAGGGAGAGAAGCUUAUCUGCUUUUUGGAGAUAAACAUUCAAAUUACUGGUGUAUGACGGGAUGAAAUACUCUAGUGUUCACCUGGUUGGAAGGAUGAGAGGGAGAUGAGAGAGAGAGUUUGGAAGAGAGAGAGGUGAGAGUUCGGAUGAGAGAGAAAGCAGCUUAGAAGGAUGAGAGAGAGAAAGCGGUAUUCAGCUGGAUGGUGGAAAUUUUAUAUAUUACUAAUAAUGCAUCCAAACAAUAUUUGGAAUUUAAUUCUAAGAAAAACUUCCUUUGUACAACCAAAUAAGAAAAUUCAAUUGAAUCAAAUUCUACGGAAUCCAUUUCCUAUGGAAUCUAAUUGCUAGAAUAUGAUUCAUGGAAUGAGUUUCAAUUCUAGGGAAACAAACGGGCCAUGGUCUUCAUUCCCAAGGAAAGCUUGAGGCUCUGCAAUAUUACACAACAAUGAAGUCAAGAGGGUUGAUCCCUGAACCAAGGACCAAGAUACUGGUGAAAGCUAUACAUAUGAAGAAAGAUGGGGCUGUCAUAGAAGAUCAGUCUGCAAAUAUGACAGGGAAGAAUCUAAAACUGGAUCCACGAUCUAGACUAUUCCAUGUUCAUAAAUAGUUUGCUGUCAGAUCUUACUUCUAUGUGUCAAAAGAAUCUCUUCGACCAGUGUCCAGAUCACAAUGGUCACACCUUGGGCUACAAUAAAUCAUCAGCAAAGUGUAUUGGCAUUAUGUAUCCCAGAAAGUUUUGCUCAGACUUUCAAUGCCAGGGUAUGUUUUUUAUGUCUGAUAUGGAUCAAUUGCAGGUACUGUAUUACACGCUCGUAUUAUGAAGGUUAUGUGAAAUAUGACAGAUGUUUGUUUAUUCAUCUGUUAUGCAUGGCUGUGUCUACUGUCUAGUUGUUGGCUUGUUGCCAACAUAUGCAGCAGCAGGUAGCUUCAGCCGCUCAGAAGCCCAAAUGAAGGAUGGCCCAGGCAGAAUAGCUAUGUCCAGACCCAGAAAGCUUAGGACAUGUCUUGCCAGCCUGCAGUUUUGUACUCGUAGCACCAACCAUCUCCGGGUUCUGGCCGGUUAUAUACAUGGUCUGGAAUGGGCAUCCGCUGAUCGAUUGAAACCUUGAGUUGCUUCCGUGUGUCUUUUGCCAUCUAUAUAUUAUGGUUAGUCAACGGCAUGCAGUACACCCAUGCAUAUGAUUGCAGUAGGAUGACAUGGCGUGACCAGAACCCUUCUUUUGCCAGUUUUAGAUUCUUAUACACGGCCAACUGACGCAGCAGGGAGUUGCAUGCUAAGCAGUUCAGCGUAGGUGGUGAGUUCUCAACUCUGAUAUGGCUUAUGGAAGAACACUGUCACGGUGUCACCUAGCCGGUUGGAGGCCAACCUCUUACUAGGGACAGCAAUGGCCCUGUCCGGCCACUGUUUCGUGGCUGGUAUUAUUACCCCUAUGCAGUGAAUAUGACAUGUGGAUCUAUGUGUAUAUUAUGUCGUCAAAAGAACAUUAUAUGAACCGUUGAUCCACCUUUGAUUCUAUUAAUGUGUCAUGGUCAAUUGAUGUCAAACUCUAUUAUCUUCAAGUCUUACUGUAUUGAUAAAAUCACGAUGCUGCUACUGCCAUUUUGAUGUUUAUAAAAGGGUAUUGAGAACCUGGUGGGUAUCCAUUCGAUGCGCAGGGUUGGGGGUGGGGAAAAAUGAGUGUAAAGGACAGGGAUGCAGUAUUUAGAAAGAUGAGGCUGGCACAGAAAAUAGUCUCCAAGUAUGGCAGGGAAGAAUCUAAAACUGAAUCCUUGAUCAAGACUGUCCCAUAUUCAUAAAUAGUUCACUGACAGAUCUUGCUUCCAUAUUCUGAACAGCUGAUGCUGGGCACAUAGGAGGUUAACCGGUCAGCGGAUCAAAGAAAAUCCACAAUGGCCUCAUCUUGGGUUAGAGACAAUCAUCGGUAAAGAAUCAUAUUGCCGGAUAAGGAUAUCUGUGAUUGGUGGGUGCAGAUCCAUGCUCAUUCAAGAAACACAUGAUUCUUUACGGAUGAUCAUCUCUCAGCACACCCUGCUGAUAAGGUUAUCUGAGAUUGGUGGGUGCAGAUCCUAGAAACAAGCUAGGGCUGAAUGCGCCGCUGUACUUGGAUGUUGUGGUGACACCGUAAUGAUUGUGUGUUUAAUGGAGUUUUCCAUAGUGACUAGCGUGCAGGCCGUCCUCGUAUUUGAGAAAAAAAUCAAUGGGCGAAAUAUUUUCACCCAGGUAAUUGUUGCAUUGUAUGAAUAGGCUUAGAUACCUGGUUAAAGUAUGGUGCGUGUACUGUGACACAAGAAGAUUUAUCAUAUCUAUCUAUGAAUUAGUGUUAAAACUCCUACAUAAAUAUCUUCUCUUAUCUCACUUUAUGUAUAUAUAUGACACAGAAGCACAUGUAUAUCGGCAUUGUAGAGAUAGAGAUGAGAGAGAAGCUUAUCUGCUUUUUGGAGAUAAAUAUUCAAAUUACUAGUGUAUGAGAGGGAUAGAAUUAUUCUAUCAUAUUGUUUAUUCAACAUCUAAAAAGAUUCCAUGUUUAGUCAUCUAUAUCGGCGUUGUAGAGAGAGAGACUAGUGUUCAUCUGGUUGGAAGGAUGAGAGAGAGAGGAGAGAGUUUGGAUGAGAUAGAGAGAUAGUGUUCAGCUGGUUGGAAGGAUGAGAGAGAGAGAGAGGAGAGUUUGGAUGAUAGAGAGAUUAGUGUUCACUUGGUUGGAAGGAUGAGAGGGAGAUGAGAGAGUUCGGAUGAGGAGGUAGAGAGUUCGGAAGAGAGAGAGAGGUGAGAGUUCGGAUGAGAGGUGUGAGAGAGGUGAGAGUUCGGAUGAGAGAUAAAAUAGCUUAUAAGGAUGAGAGAGAGAGAAAGCGGUAUUCAGCUGGAUGGUGGAGACUUCAUAUAUUACUAAUAAUGCAUCCAAACAACAUUUGAAAUUUAAUUCUAAGAAAAACUUUCUCGGUAAAUCAAAACAAGAAAAUUCAAUUGAAUCAAAUUCUACGGAAUCCAUUUCCUACGAAAUCUAAUUGCUAGAAUAUGAUUCAUGGAAUGAGUUCCAAUUCUAGAGAUCCAAACGGGCCCUAAGAGAAUUGUAGUGAUCAACUCCCAAGUUGCAAUAUAUUCUAGGAAAUAGGUGGUUAUGAGGAUGAUACCUGCAGACAAUACUUUUUAUCCCUCAAUUCUUACAGAGAAUUGCACUAUCAACUGCAUUUUCAUUUGUGCCACGCUGCUCAGCUAUAAAAAACGGGGCAAAUCGACCAAAAUAAAUGAAUAAACCACAUGGUUUAGACUGGUGGCAUAUGUAUGUCUGAUGAGUUUAGAAUCCCAACAGACCUCUGUUUGCUUAUCCAACAGGAGGGAAAAAGUUUACUUACUAAAUCAGCUUUGCAUGUCAGGCUGCAAUUGUUAGAGAGUAGAAUUGGGUAAUUUGUGAACAUAAUUGAAUCAAAGUUUUGUCUCAGACUAGUAAUAGAAAAUGGUGAUGCUCCAUAGCUAGAACAACACGUUCCUACACUAGUUUAAAAAAUCCCCUGAAAUUGGGAACAAUGGUAAAGCCCAAACCAUACUUGGAACUUGGAAGGCCGCUGGCGGAUGUCAAAGUCAAAAACAGAAGCAGACAACGACGUCUCACCAGAUCACGAAUCAGAUGCGAUGCAUAUACAUGUUGCAGGCAUUAGCACGCAUCCCUUAGGAUUAAACAAUUCAGCAAGUAGCUCCCCUGCUGACCAAGAAAAGCAAGCUCUGUCUCGCAGCAAGCUCUUCAAUACGCUCCAGCCCAGCUCUACCAUGGCAUUUGCAAUGCGCGUCAUGAGCUUGCUUCCUGCCACCAUCGCCGUGAUGAUCGCAGCGGCCUCCUGGGGAGCGCACGGCGGUGCCAGCGACGAGGCCAGCGCGCUGCUUGCUUUCAAGGCUGAGCUCGCCGGCAGCGGCUCCGGCAUGCUUGCAUCCUGGAAUGGCACCGCUGGCGUCUGCAGCUGGGAGGGCGUGGCGUGCACCAGCGGCCAGGUGGUGGCACUGAGCCUGCCCUCUUAUGGGUUCGCCGGAGCCCUCUCCCCGGCCAUUGGGAACCUCACUUUCCUGCGGACCCUGAACCUGAGUUCCAACUGGUUCCAGGGGGAGGUCCCAGCAAGCAUCGGCCGCCUAGCGCGUCUGCAGACGCUUGAUCUGAGCUACAAUGCGUUCUCUGGUACGCUUCCUUCCAACCUCAGUUCCUGUGUCAGCUUACUGCUGUUAGAUCUCAGCAGUAACCGGUUCCAUGGGCGUAUCCCUGUUGAGCUUGGAGACAAGCUAACAAGUCUUCAGAAGUUCUCACUGGGCAACAACAGCUUGACGGGUGCCAUGCCAGGAUUACUAGGUAACCUGUCAUCCCUGAACUACCUUGAUCUGAGAAAAAACCACCUCGAGGGUCCGAUCCCACAUGAACUCGGCAGCAUGGGCGGCCUGCAGGUCCUUUUACUCCAUGACAACAGACUCUCCGGUGUGCUUCCACACUCCCUGUACAAUCUGUCCUCACUGAAAAAGUUGGGGGUAGGAGACAACAUGCUGUCUGGAACCAUCCCUGCUGAUAUCGGCGAUAGGUUCCCCGGUAUGGAAGCUCUUGACUUUUCUAGCAACCGAUUCAGUGGAGCUAUCCCACCUUCGCUCGGCAACCUCUCUGCUCUCACAAAACUAAUCCUUCAAGAAAAUGGUUUUAUUGGAUAUGUGCCUUCUGCUUUGGGAAAGUUGCAAAGUCUUACUGCCCUUUUCUUGGGUGUUAACAGGCUAGGAGCAAACGACAGUCAAGGGUGGGAAUUCAUCACUUCACUGGCAAACUGCUCCCAGCUUCAGGUUCUUGUUCUCGGCAACAACUCUUUCAGCGGGCAACUGCCUAAUUCAGUCACAAACCUGUCAUCAACUCUGCAAGGUCUUUAUUUGGGAGACAAUAUGAUUUCUGGGAAUAUUCCAAUAAACAUCGGAAAUUUGGUUGGUCUUACAGUAUUUGUGAUGGGAAAUACUUCUGUAUCUGGACAGAUUCCAGAGAGCAUUGGUCAGCUAAGAAACUUGGGUGUGUUAGGCCUUUACAACACUAGCUUGUCAGGCCUCAUACCUUCGUCACUAGGAAAUCUUACACAGUUGAAUAGGCUUUAUGCAUACUAUGGAAACUUAGAGGGGCCAAUUCCAUCAAACUUGGGGAACUUAAAGAAUGUGUUUGUCUUUGAUCUCUCAACAAAUCGACUCAAUGGUUCAAUUCCUAUAGAGGUUUUAAAACUUCCUCAACUUUCAUGGUACUUAGACUUAUCAUAUAAUUCAUUAUCCGGGCCACUUCCAAUUGAGGUUGGUACCAUGGUGAAUCUUAACGAACUGAUUCUGUCUGGAAACAAGUUGUCAGGCACCAUACCAGCUAGUGUUGGGAACUGUAUAUCGUUGGUACGGCUGCUGCUCGAUAACAACUUAUUAGAAGGAAGCAUACCUCAAUCUCUGAAGAACAUAAAAGGUCUUGCAUUACUGAACCUAACAAUGAAUAAGCUAUCUGGUAGUAUUCCUGAUGCCCUUGCUAGCAUUGGCCACCUGCAACAACUGUAUCUUGCACACAACAACUUGUCAGGUUCCAUCCCCAAAGUUCUACAGAAUUUGACAUUGUUGGCAAAACUGGAUUUGUCCUUCAAUGAUCUGCAAGGCGAAGUGCCAAAAGGGGGUCCUUUUGCAAAUGCAACUCACUUGUCAAUUGAUGGAAAUGAUGAGCUUUGUGGCGGAAACCCUCAACUUCAUUUAGCUCCGUGCUCCACAGCAGCUGCGGGGAAGAACAGAAGGCGAAUGUCAAGAUCACUUAUGGUCACCGUAGCGUCAAUCUGCGCACUUCUAUUCUUAGGUUUAGUAGUUUGUCUUAUCCAUUUGAUCCACAAGAGGCUCAGACAAGGAAAGGAAAAUCAACUCAUUCCCACAGCAAUUGAUGAACAGCACGAAAGGGUUUCAUAUCAAGCAUUAGCAAAUGGGACUGACCAUUUUUCGCAGGUUAAUCUGCUCGGACAAGGAAGCUAUGGUGCAGUUUAUAAGUGCACUUUACAAGACAAGGGAAUUACCGCAGCUGUAAAGGUAUUCAACGUGUGGCAAUCUGGGUCUACUAGAAGUUUUGUGGCUGAAUGUGAGGCACUGCGAAGGGUGCGCCACCGAUGUCUCAUAAAGAUCAUCACCUGUUGCUUAAGCAUUGAUCACCAAGGCCAAGAAUUCAAGGCACUGGUUUUUGAGUUCAUGCCCAAUGGUAACCUAAAUGGUUGGCUGCAUCCAGCAUCCAAAAUACAGAGUCUGAGCAAUACGCUCAGCUUAGCUCAGAGACUGGACAUUGCGGUAGAUAUCAUGGAUGCUUUGGAUUAUCUUCACAAUCAGUGUCAACCGCCUAUUAUCCAUUGUGAUCUCAAACCAAGUAACAUCCUCCUUGCCGAAAGUAUGAGUGCUCGGGUUGGAGAUUUCGGCAUAUCAAAAAUCCUUCCUGAUGACACUAGCAAAACUAUGCUGAAUUCGGUUAGCUUCACUGGACUAAGAGGUUCCAUUGGAUACGUCGCUCCAGGUAACAGAAACUAACACUGAUAUUGCUAUGUUCAGUUUUUAACUUCCAUUUUGCCAAGUCCAGUUAUCUCGGCAUGAAUCGUUCGUAAGUAGCUUGCCAUGAAUCCACUGACCAAAUAGUUUCUGAAAUCUGAAUUGACUGCAGAGUACGGCGAGGGUCGCGCCGUCUCAACUCUUGGAGAUGUUUACAGCCUCGGCAUACUGUUGCUUGAGAUGUUCACCGGGAUGAGCCCUACUGACGACAUGUUCAAAGGCUCCUUGGACCUUCAUAAGUUCGCCGAGGCCGCUCUCCCCGACAGAGCCUUGAAGGUAGCCGACCCGGCAAUCUGGCUUCAUGAAGAAGCAAAGGGGGAAGACCCGGCCACGGUGAGAAGCAGAAGCGAGAGGUGCUUGGCUUCAGUGGUCGGGCUUGGCGUGUCCUGCUCAAAGCAGCUGCCAAGGGAGCGGACGGCGAUGCGGGAUGCUGCCGCUGAGAUGCGUGCGAUCAGAGAUGCCUUCCUGGUUCAAUGUGCAACAGAGACUUGGCCUGCAGUCGGCACCAGCGGCCUUGGAAGCACAGACACUUGAAUGGUGGACGGAGCUACGGUCUCUUGACGCACCAAGGAGCCACCGGACUAGCUGCUCUGCAACUAACAGGGUGGAGAAAGCGCCCCUUAAUGAAAAGAAAAACAGCCGGUGCAAGGCUUUAUACAAAGAAUGUGACAGCCACUGCGUGUAUCCGAGAGCCUUAUCUAAUCUACCGAGGAUUGUUAUGUAUGGAUGCGUAUAGAUUAUGCACGGACUCCUCCGUCCCAAAAUAAACGCACAUCUUGCUUCUUGAGGAGUCAAACUUCUAAGUUUGACUAAAAUUUAUAAAAAAAAUGUACUACUAUUUAUAAUGUAUAAUAAAUAUCAUUAGAUUGAGCAUUGGGUAUACUUUCUUAAUACAUUUAUUUGAAGAUGUAAAUGUUGAUACUAUUUUUUAUAUUCUUAGUCAAAUUUAAAAAUAUUUGACUCAUCGAGAAGCGAGAUGUGUGUUUAUUUUGGGACGAAAGGAGUACCCGUCACCGGGAUUAGUCAUGAUAUAAGAUUAGUCACGAUAUAAGUAGGGAUUAGCAAGCACCAAAACCCCAUUCACUGCCCAUCGAUCGCUCAAAUAAAAGAAACCAUUGCAUAUGGUGGCGAUGCGCUCGCGGGCCUUUCUCCAACCUUUCUGCUCUCGCGGGUCUUGAACUUGCAUGGAACAGUUUUAGUAAAGCUGCCUCCAACUUUAGGGAGAUUGCCAAGGUUCAUUUACCUGUCCUUAAGUGGCAAUAAGUUAGGAUCGAAUGAUAAGGACGGAUUGGAAUUCAUCACCAUGCUGGCAAACUUCAGCCAGCUUCAUCAACUGGCUUUUGACAAUAAUUCAUUCAUCGGCGAACUUCCUAGCUCAAUUGCAAAUCUAUCGACAACACACCAAUUACUCUAUAUACGAUACAAUUGGAUUUCGGGAUUUAUUCCAUCCAGCAUAGGUAAUUUGCUUGGUCUAGAACUGCUUACGUUGGCAAAUACUUUCAUAUCCGGAAUGAUUGUAGAUAGCAUUGGUCGCCUAGAAGACAUGUCCGUGUUAGGCAUUUACUACGCUAGCUUGUCAGGUAUCAUACCUUCAUCACAAGGAAAGCUUACACAGUUGAAAACUCUCUAUGCGUACGAUAGCAACUUGGAGGGUUCAUUUCCAGCAAGCUGGGGGAACUUAAAGAAUCUUUUUGUUCUUAAUCUCUCAACGAAAGUGCGUAACCCGCUAAAGUUUCAUGUCAAAGCAGAGCAUAAAUCUCUCUCAAAACUGCAAAACUAUCAUAAAGCAGAUCAGUCUGAGGGCUAGCCUAUGCCCUAUCAACGCCUCCCUUCUUGCCCUUUUGGUAAGAUUACCCCAAACUAGAGUCUAUAAUUAAUUAGCUAAGACUAGAGCCACGUAGUUCUUGUGGUUGUACUGUUUUCCUGAGUGGUCGCUCCAUGUUCCAAUUAAGCAUGAUGAUCUUGUAUUAAUAAAAGGUAUAUCAUAAAUAAAACAAGUUUAAUCAUUGAGUUCAUUAAAACCAUCACAAUCCAAGGUAUUGCAACUAAGCAUAUCUACCUUAAAAAAAGGUAAAACCCAGGUUGACAAGGAAUGAUCAUAAAAACUAGGUAAACCUUAAUAGGACCUAUCAAUAUUAAAUGUAGAGCAAUGCAAAAGUGAUUAAAUAUAGUUUUUGGGAUAAAAGUAUAAGGACACACGUGCCUUUCUCCAAAGAAUAGCUGCUCAGAUUAUCUUCCGCUCUUGUUCCUCAAAGCUCUCGAACAAUGUUCCUUCUACUUGCAUCAAUCAUCGGCACAAGCAUACCAAGCAAACAACAAUCACAACUAAGAACAAUACAUCAAUCAUUGGAAAGCUUUAAAAGAGCGUACUAAAGGAUAAGGCUUGAAUCUAAGGUCACGCGAAUGCAAGAAACGCUGGGAACAAAACUAUGGUUGAAAAGACAAAGUUAUCGAGAGAUUUGAAUUAUAAAAGAAAGAGAAAAGCAUAUGUGCUUCAUAUAUUUUAAUAAAACAAUGUAAAGAUAUUUUAGAGAAACAUCCUUAGCAUGUUAUAGUUAUGUAUGAAAAGACAAUGUAGAACUUAGUCAAAUUUUAUUAUAAACAUUCAAGUACAAUUUAUGCAAAUUAAAAAUUUAAUUUGAAAAUAAAGUAUAUGUAAACAUCUAAGCGCAUAGCUUUAUGAUUUAGGUUGAACUAACCAAAUAUAAUUAAAAACACAUUUAUAUUUAUAUUAAAUCAAAUUAACAUAUAAUUAUGAAAACUCGAGAUAUAAAUUAUGUAGCUUUUAUUUAGAAAACAAAUUGAAUAAACAUUUUAAUUAAAGAAGACAUGUUUAACAUGCAUUAAUUAGAUUAAUAUUAAAUUUAUUUUAAAAACAUGCAUGAUGGAAAGAUCGGCACUAACGUGUAAUUUGUGAUUCAGGUUGAACUAACCAAAUAUAAUUCAAAAACACAUUUAUAUUUAUAUUAGUCAAAUUAACAUAUAAUUAUGAAAACCCAAGAUGUAACUUAUGUAGCUUUUAUUUAGAAAACAAAUUGAAUAAACAUUAAUCAAUUUAAGUUUAAUUAUGAACCACCGUGGUGCAUCUCUAAUUCGCUUUUAAUUGAAAGAGUUAUUUAAAUAAGCAUUAAUAACUAAAUUAACAUUUAUUAUGAAAAGCGGUUAUAACACUAAGUAGCUUUUAAUUAAGGAAGACAUGUUUAACAUGCAUUAAUUAGAUUAAUAUUAAAUUUAUUUUAAAACAUGCAUGAUGGAAAGAUCACUACUAACAUGUCCUAAGAAUGGAUAUAAACGGAGCUGUAAUGAGGAGUCCAUGGGUUAAACAAGGUUGCAGGGCCUAAUCGCGAUUAACGGAAGGUUAUUGGGGCUAGCAAGGAAGAUUUGCAAGACACUGGAAUAGAGCUCACCAUUAGGUCAAAGCAUAGGGUUAGAUAUGUUAAAGUGCUCAGGUUAGACUUGGUUGCACGGAUCCAAUCUAAUCAGGGACAUGGAUGAAAAAAAACAAGACACAAGGAAAAACUAACUAUUUGUAGAGCUUUAUAGGGGCCUAUGCGCAAAAGCACCACAGCUCAGCAUCCAUGGUGGACGGGCUCCUGGAUGGCAAAACCCUCGUGUCAGAUUUAUAAGCCUGGUAGUCCACCAAGGGAUUCCCCAAGUGGUUGAUUUGUAGAUGAGGGUGAUUGUGAAACCAAGAACUCGAAGGUGGUCGCGAGAACACGAAGGGACACUUAGACAAGUUCGGACCUUCGGAGAGUAAUACCCUACGUCCUAUAUGCUGGUUUGUAUUGCUUGAGAUUGAUCUAAUUGUUGCGAUACCCUCGGGGGUGCCCUUGGCCGCCUUAUAUAGGCUGACGAUCAAGAGUUAAAAGUCGGUUUGAAUCUAAUCUACUCGGUAGUUACAUGGAAAGUAAUCUGAGUUGGACUACAAUAUGUGUUCCAUGAUAUCUGGGCAGAUUUGAACUAUCUUAUUGCCUUGACUUGCACUCCAAGUAACUUUAUGUCCUCGGCCCGCACGCUCUGAUCGGGCAGGCCCUACUUGUUAGUCCGACCAGUAUCCUGGCCGGUCAGGGCCCAUGGGGUACCCAUAUCCCUUAAGGCCCCAAGCAUUGUGUAGGCAAACAGGAACUUGAUGUCAUCAAAGUGAAACUUGGAAUGAAAUCGGGUGAAGCUGACGAAGAGCCAACGCGUAGAGCGAGGAUGAGUGCCGAGUUGAUGGAUGCUGGCAUCCAGCAGGUCGAAGCGAAGGUUACGGAGGGCGUCGCAAGACGCACUCUGUAGGAGUAGCCCCGGAGCAUUGAAACAAUUAAGAUAAUCAAUACAAUGGUCAAAGAGGAAAAAAUUGUCCCCUGAAGUAGAUCCUUGUGCCCGAACACAAGGAUGGACGCAGCCACGGAGGCCCGCCAACCAGAAGUAGGCACCUAGACUCAAGGACGAGGACUGGUGGGACUGUGGAGCCAUGCCGACCUGAAAUAGGCAUCUAACCCCUGAGGACGAGGACUAGCAGAGCCGCAGAGGCAUGCUAACCUGAAAUAGGUGCCUAGCCCCCGAGGAUGAGGACUGGCGGAGCCAUGAAGGCACGCCGACUUGAAAUAGGUGCCAAGCCCCCAAGGACGAGGACCAGCAGAGCCACGAAGGCACUCUGACCAGAAUUAGGCGUCCAGCCCCCGGGCAUGAGUGCGAGGAUUGGCGGAAGCACAUCGAGUUGCCUCCCUUCCCGGGCUCAGGCAGAGAGGUUGGUCGGGUGACGAGAGGCACACCAAGUCAUCAAUGGUGCCCAGCCGCCGAGCCUAGGAGCCGGACGAGUUGCAAAAGCAUGGCAAGUCACCUCCCGCCCCGAGCCAGAGAGGUCGGCUGGGCGACGGGAGGCACGCCGAGUCAUCUACGGUGCCCAGCCCCCGAGCCUUGGAGCCGGCUGAGCCACAGAAGCACGCCAAGCCGCCUCCCGCCCUGAGCUAGAGAGGUCGUUUGGGUGACAAGAUGCACGCCGAGUCGUCUGCGGCGCCUAGCCCUCGAGCUUGGGAGCCAGACGAGCCACAGAAGCAUGCCAAGUCGCCUCCUGUCCCGUGCUAGAGAGGUCAGCCGGGUGAUGGGAGGCACGUCGAGUAGUUUUUGAGCUAUAAAAGAACAAUACAAUCAUUAUGUAGCAUAAUGUAGAUCAUUUAAUCAUUGAACAACUCGGAAGUUUAAUUCGCUGUAGAAGUAAACUCUUGCGCAUCCUGCUCUUAUAGGCCAAGUAAUUUCCCUAGGUAGUUAUCUUGUUACGUUUAAGCACCUAGCCCUACUGACCACUGUUCACGGAGAGGAUGGUUUAUCUUAGGCUAUAGUGCUGGGGCUGACCCGAUGCUCGCAUAUAGGAACGCGCAGGAUGAGUCAAGGUUUCACGGAUUAAGGCGUGUGCUACCCGAGUACUUUAGCAACCGUUAACAGGGAUGGACAAGUCGCAAAGCAACCGGAACUGUGCGGAAAAGCACCAGCAUGAGUUGGGCACCCAUGGGGUGUAGCCCCCGGCCGCCCGUGUAGUGGACGGAACAAAAGUCACGACAACAUGGAGGAGCCGAGGCUUAUGUAGGUAUAUGGAAGCUGUAAAAUAUUUUAUUGUAAAUAAUACUUAGCUUGAUUCGUGGUCGAGUCAAAGAACCCGCGUGUCAUCUUCGCGUUUAGUCUUAGAAGCCCCUGAGCGUGGUCGGCGGACAGUUGUUGGUGAAGCAAACUAGUCGGGCUCCAUGCCCAACUAAUUCGUGUCGAGUUCGAGUUGUUGGAGUUGUCAGCGGCAGGUUUGUGGUUGCGAUUGUGGUAUGCUGUUGCCAAGUCGAUGUGGCCAUCGGGUCGUGUCCGGCUGGCCGCUACGCUCACAGUACAGCAUGUCUGGGUUGUGCUGCCAAACCAAGGGUGCAUGUACAUCUUUUCGAACCUUGCAAGGAAGCCCUCACGUAUUAAGGAAAUCUAUACCUAAUAUUAAAGCUCCCGCAGCGUGCGCCUAUGCCACGUGUGGUGUGGACGGGUGUGCCGGCUGCGGCUGCGAGCUCCUCACUGCGGCAGGGACCAGGUCGAGCAGCGACAGUGAUGACGAAGGGGAGUAGUCCGCGUCUGCGUGCCAUGCCACCAUCGCCGGGCAAGGUGUGGCAGCGGCGGAGGGGGAGAGUGAGUACAUCGGCGUGCAGCGGCGGCCGUGGGGUAGGUGGGCGGCGGAGAUCCGCGACCCGCACUACGCCGUGCGCAAGUGGCUCGGCACCUUUGACACAGCUAAGGAUGCCACGCGCACCUACAACAUCACCGAUGUCGAGUUUUGAGGCCACUGCACCAAGAUCAACUUCCCCGACAACACGGCCCCCGCGCCCGCACCUUCCUGGGUGCCAAACUCGACAUACCACCACCACGACCACUUGCCGCUGCCGCUGCCCGAGAGCCUACACGAGACCUGCGGGGCGAACGCAUCCUCGUCGAUGGAUGUGGCUCUUGCGGUAGCGGCGUCGGCCGAGCAGCACGGCACGAGGCCGGUGCCGAAGGAGCAGGACAUCUGGGACAGGCUGAACGAGUUCAUGAUGAUGGAUGACGGUAGCUUUUGGUCACCCAUGCUAUGAUCAUCACAUUCUCCUCCAUUCUCCUCUUGUUUUCACUUUCGUUGCUUAGCGGAUAAUGGUGGUCAGCUGGCCUCUGGUCUGUCGUCAAUCGCCAGCCAUCCAUCGCUUUUAUAUGGUUUUGCACUAGCUUUUGGGCUUUGACCACACCCUCCACACCCAUACGAAAUGACUAGGUAGAGUGAUGUUGAUAUACUGCUUGCCGCGCGCUAGGGCGAGCAGCUACUCACUCGGGCUAGAUGCCCUACCCGCCACCUGGACCUAAGAGGUGAAGGAGAGAGGAGGGAGGGGGAAGGAAACAAGGAGCCGAGUGCCUCUUUGCAGUCAACCAAGUAGAGCCAUAUGCCAGCGAAGGCAUGGCGCCAGCGAGGGGGGGGGGCGCAGCGGCAGUCGGUAGGCAACACAAACAGGGGGCGGAGGUCGGGACCUCACAUCCCCCUCUCAAUGAUGUCCAUCCCCUUCAUAUCCAGAACUAAAGCCUCCACAUCUAGCAAUUGGGGGCUCGAUUUUGCACUUGAUUGGAACGAUUUGGAGUGGAUUAUAGAAGGGAAGUGGAUGGAAACGAGAAGAAGAGGAAAACACACUCCUGCUCAUGGCGGCCAGAGGCGCGGUGGCCUAGGUCUCGAAGCAGGAAUGAGGCUAGGCACGGGAAGGACGAGCGUUUGCCUAGGCGACGGUGAGGAUGGCAAGAUGCGUAGCGCCUGGAUGAUGGCGAAGAUAGGGCAUGAUGCGGGUGGCGCCGACGGACGAAGUGGCAUCGACUAGCUAGAUGACGAUGAGUACGGGGGAAAUCGAAUGAAUGGAUAGAGCGGAGGUUGAGCGGUGAUUUUUUUUUAUUUCCAUGUGUGGGUCCCAUGUAAUAAACAGAUGGCAUCAAACCACCCACAAAUAUCUUCUACUACUGUACUGGGAUAACGCAUCAACAUAUGGUGAAGCGAAAUCAACAUAUUAGGAACAAGCAAAUAAUAAUGUGAGAGUAAGUAAGGACUUGUAGCAACGUACAUGUAUUUCUGCUAGUAAGAAAAAAAAUUGUUAGCUGCCGUAGUAAGCACCAAGCAACGUAGGAGAUCUACUGGAUGGAAUAGAUUAAAUAAUAAAGGGAAGGGAGAAUUGUUCCUUUUUUUUGGCAGAUCCGACGUGUCUGCAUGCAACAAGUUGAGGUCGACGUGUUGUGCUAAAUCAACCGGAUCAGACUGGGGCCGGAUCAGGCGAGCUUGGCUGUGGCCGGGAUGAGGCCAAUAAGGGCGUCGCCCUUGACCUUGGCCUCCUGUGCCUCGCGGAUCUUCUACAUCUGGAGCAUCUGCUCCAUGAUGAGCUCGUAGUGGCACUUCUUGUAGGCGUGGCGCUCGGGCUCGCACUUCCAGCGGAGGUAGAACUCGGAGGUGCACGCACUGGUCGUGGUAGGCGAGCGGCACCAAGGCCUCCGCCAUCUCCACCUGCGUGAUGAUCUGGGGCUUCGUGGAGUCGAACUGAAUGCCGGCCAUUGCCGCCGCCUCCAUCUGUCACUUUCUUGCCCUCUCUCUUGCCGGCGAGGUCGUUCCGUUGAUAGAUGGGUGCUGCGGGUUUGGUGCGGCGUGGGUGGGUGGUGUGCAGCAAGGACGUGAGGAACCCUCUCGGAGAGAGAGAUUGCUUACCUACUAGGUAAACGGUGUGAUGAUCCUUUGAUAUAGACCUUGCUCCGCCGGAGUAAAUUCGACAGAUGCCAAGCUGGCGGCGGGCAUUGAGUCGAAGUCCACCGGCAUGCUCCUGAAGUGGAGCUGGAUCGGAUUGGCGAGGAAGUCCUUCAUGCUCUUGGGGAAAACAAUGUCGGGGCGGGAUGCCAUCGAGCUCGCUAGGGAGGAUCUUACAAUCAUCCCUACCUAGCGCGCCAACUGUUGGAUUUAUAAGCCCGGUAGUCCACCAGGGGGUUACCCAAGUAGUUGAUUUGUAGGUGAGGGCAAUUGCAAAAUCAAGAACUCGAAGGUGAUCGCGAAAACACGAAGGGACACGAAGGUUUUAGAUAGGUUCGGGCCUCCGGAGAGUAAUACCCUAUGUCCUGUAUGCUGAUUUGUAUUGCUUGAGAUUGAUAUGAUUGUUGGGAUACCCUCGGGGGUGCCCUUGGCCGCUUUAUAUAGGCUGACGACCAAGAGUUACAAGUCGGUUUGAAUCUAAUCUACUCGGUAGUUACAUGGAAAGUAAUAUGAGUCAGACUACAAUACGCGUUCCAUGAUAUCCAGGCAGAUUUGAAUUGUCUUGUUGCUUUGACGUGCACUCCAAGUAACUUCAUGUCCUCGACCCGCACGCCUUGGUCGGGUCGGCCCUACUUGUCAGGUCUGACCAGUAUCUUGAGGUACCCAUAUCUCUCACCUUGGUGCUCCGGCGAUUAGGGUCAGUGGCGAGGAUGGGGAUUGGAAGAGGAGAUCGAGGGGACUUUAUGGAGAUGCUCACCGGCGACGAGGCGGACGGAUUCUGGCCAGUAUUUGGCUGGCGGUGGAAGAACACGACAGCUGGCUCAAGUCUUCGUGAGUGAUGGUACUCCGGCGGUGGAGCGACGACGACGACUGGUGGCAGAGCUGCUCCUCGAUGUCACGGAGCUCCCUAAGGCUCUAGCUUGCUCCGAUGGUCGACGAGCACAGCGAAUCGGCCAGAGAAGGACGGCAGUGGCUCCUAGCUCUGGCGGAUGUGGGGGAUGGCAGUGCUCGUGCAAGCUAGGAAGAGUGGCGGUGUGAGGCAGGGCAAUAGCAGGGGCACAAUCUCGACUUUUAUAUGUGCGUGGGUCCGCGCCUGCCUUGGCACGCAUGCCGAGGUUCGGCGGUGGCGAUGCCCAAGUGCAGCUACGCUUGGCCUCGACCCGCUGUUGGUCGAUGGGCCUAGCGGGCCUAGCCGAGCCAUCAACUGGGCCGGGUCAGUGCAGGUUAGUUGGAGAGGGUCGGGCCCCAAAGACUUGGCCCCAUCGAUUAGGAUUUUUCUUUUUUUCAGAAAUGAUUUCUCGUGAAAGAAAAAUCCAGAAAAAUUCUAGAUAAUUAAUUUAAACAAUGAAAAAACUCUAAAAAUCCAAAAAUUUCAGGAAAAAUCAUCUCUAGUUUGGGACAUGAGGAGUCCAAAUAAAAUACUUGGACCUCGUGAAAAGGAUUCUAGAACCUUCCAAAAAUUGGAUUUAGCUUUAGAAAAAAAUGAGAAUAAAUCUUAGAAAAAUCUGAAAAUUCUCAUAAGAACCUAAUCAGCAUCUAAACGCAUUCCAAAACCUUUGCACUUAUGAAAUACCAAGAUGCAUUGGUGUGAAUGCAACCCAUACACAAUCAUUAUAUUUAAUUCAGAAAAACACUCAAUUGUUUUCCUAUACUAAAUUUCCUCUUAAGAAAAUAAAUGUUGGAAAAAUUUUAAAAUUGUGAAAAAAUUAUUGUUUAAUUAUUCUUUUUAAUCAAAUCCUGAAAUUUCAAAAAUUUUAAGGUGAGGCAGAUACCCUCAGGUUUACAGAAUUUGACAUCCAUGUGCAAAUUGGAUCUAUCCUUCCAUGAUCUACAAGGUGAAGUGCCAAAAGUUUUUUUUUGGCAAAUGCAACUUACAUGUCGAUUUAUGGAAAUGAUCAGCUUUGUGGUGGAAAUACCUCAACUUCAUUUAACUCCAUGCUCCAUGUCCAGUGCAAAAAAGAAAAAAAAGGAAAUUUGUCGAAAACCCUUGUGAUCACCCUAACAUCAAUCGGUGCAGUUGUAUUCUCAGUUUCAGUACUUACUGUAAUUGUGUUGAUCUGUAAGAAGCUUAGGAAAAGGCACGAAAGUCAACUCAUAUCCACAACUGAGGAACGGUAUGAAAGAGUUUCUUAUCAUGCUUUGUCAAAUGGGACCAAUGGAUUUUCAGAGGACAAUUUACUUGGACAAGGAAGCUAUGGCAUGGUUUAUAAAUGUACUUUACAUGACCAGGGCACUACAGUAGGCUACUGUAAAGGUGUUUAACACACAACAAUCUGGGACUUCUAGAAGUUUUGUCGCUGAAUGCGAGGCACUCAGAAGGGUGCGUCCUCGUUGUCUCGUAAAGAUCAUCACUUGUUGCUCAAGCAUCAAUCACCAGGGUCAAGAGUUCAAGGCACUAGUUUUUGAGCUCAUGCCAAAUGGUAGCCUAAAUGGUUGGCUUCACCCAGAGUCUGACACACUUACCCAGACAAAUACCCUUAGCCUUGAACAAAGGCUACACAUUGCUGUCGAUAUCCUGGAUGCUUUGGACUAUCUUCAUAAUCACUGUCAGCCAUCAAUCAUUCAUUGCGAUCUCAAGCCAAGCAACAUCUUUCUUGCGGAGGACGUGAGUGAGUGCCCGAGUUGGAGGUUUUGGCAUACGAAGAAUCCUUCCAGAAAGUGCUAGUAAAACCCUGCAAAAUUCGAAUAGCACAACUGGAAUAAGAGGCACCAUUGGUUAUGUUGCACCAGGUAAUGAAAGAGAUAUUUUUGGUAUUUGUAAAAUGUUCUUAGUUCUUACGUAUACAUGACCUGCUGACCUUUGGAUUUUUUCCCCAAUCAGAGUACGGUGAAGGUUCUUCUGUCUCAACUCAAGGUGAUGUUUAUAGCCUCGGCAUAUUGCUGCUUGAGAUGUUUACUGGAAGGAACCCAACAGAUGAGAUAUUCAAUGAUUCUUUGGAUUUGCACAAGUUUUCAGAGAAUGCUCUUCCAGAGAGAAUAUGGGAUAUAGUUGAUCCGACAAUACGGAUGCACACAGAUGCCUAUAACAGCACUAUAAGAAGUGGAAUUAAGAAUUGCUUGGUUUAUGUUGUUUCUCUUGGAAUAUCAUGCUCGGAGAAACAACCUAGGGAGCGGAUCCCGAUUCUGGAUGCAGCCAUUGAGAUGCACGCUAUUAGAGAUUCGUAUCUCAAGUUUGCCAGAUCUCUUUUGGUGGAGCAUGGAGUAGUAGCAACAACUCACAGUGAUUUUCCACAACAGUGAAUACAUAGGACUGAAAAUGCGCAAGAUGUCUGCAGAUGAUCAGUUUACCUGAAAUAACUGAAGAUGUAUGAAGCUUCAGCUUUAUAAUUUGUCCAUGCAUUUGUUUGCAUCAGAUAUAUGGAAGUAUAAAAUAAGUUUAGAAAAUGUUUCAAAAUAGAUUAGAUCCAGAGGUUUUAGUUGUCGUUUGUAUGACACAUUUUUGUAGAGAAUUCAGUAAUAUGUAUGAUUCAUAAUACAAUCAAUGCUCUGCAAAUUUCAGAUAGCACAAUUGGAAUAAAAAGCUCAUUCCUUGAUUAUGUUUCUCUAGGUAACUCAACUUAUUGUGAUGUUCACUGUAGAUUUCUCCAUGGUCCAAACGACCUUUGUGAUCAGUUAUGUUUAUGCAUUUUGUAGAAUUGUAAAGUCUUUCCCUAACCUGCUGACAUAUUAGCCGGAGCAUAGCACUUUGCCGUUCUGUACCACUCGCCUCUAGGAGGCGCUUGCCGCUUGGUGGCUGCCGUGGCGACCGACGGCAUCCGUACCUGCUCUGUCGGAGAUGGGUGGAGCUGCUCUGCUCUGCCGGUACGAGCUCACUCGCGCCGUGAAUGGCGCGCGCCUCUAAGGUCUCAUCAGCUGCAGGUGCAGAUGGGUGGAGAGCUUAGCGGCGCUAGGUCUUCAGAAGAUGGGGCUUUGCAGCUCUGAAUGGUGAGGCGGGCAGGGACGACGGAGCUGGACGCGUGGGGAGGAGACGAUGGGCAUUUCUGAUAAUAGUUGGAUCGCGAUCCAAAUUAGGGGGCUAUUUACAAAUAAUAGGGGGUAUUCCGUAAAUAUUCGGAUCGCGAUCAUUAAUCGCGAUCCAAAUGAGGGGUUAAUUGAAAUUAUGAUGGGGUGUCUUUUGAAAUUCCGGAUCGCGAUCCCAUCCUCCGCCGCGGCUCGCCGGAGCGCCGCCAGACGCCGGCCAUCCCUUGGGGUACCUCUUCUUCCUUCCGCUUGUCGGAGCCCUAAGACGUGGUCGGUGUUUGAUCUGACAAGGAACCUUGAAGUCCGGACUAACUGAAGAAGACAGACAUGAUGCUGACCUGGAAGACGACGGCCUCGCCAUGGCUGGAUGCGGCGCGGUGGAAGGACAGUGUGGUGGAGGGCGUGGUCCACCACAUUCCGUCGACGGGCGGCGCACUUGCUGUCGCCUGUCGGCUACUUCCAGGCCGUAGCUGAGCUUCAGAGUUCAGACAGGGUGCUUGUGCUUGCAACAAGUUCAGAACGAUGUCAUUAAUUUGAUGCAGAGGAUGGAGCAAACCGGUUGCAAAUUGGAUUCUGAUACAUAUAACUUAAUAUUGAACCUUUAUGUCGAUUGGAAAUAUGAGAAGGGGUGCACCAAAUAUGGGAUGAGAUGGAGAGGAGUGGAUCAGGCCCAGAUCAACGAUCAUUUACUAUUAUGGUUCAUGGUCUUCAUUCCCAAGGAAAGCUUGAUGAGGCUCAACAAUGAAGUCAAGAGGGUUGAUCCCUGAACCAAGGACCAAGAUACUGGUGAAAGCUAUACAUAUGAAGAAAGAUGGGGCUGUCACAGAAGAUCAGUCUGCAAAUAUGACAGGGAAGAAUCUAAAACUGGAUCCACGAUCUAGACUAUUCCAUGUUCAUAAAUAGUUUGCUGUCAGAUCUUACUUCUAUAACCUGAACAGAGGAUUGCUGGGCACGUAUUAUGUGUCAAAAGAAUAUCUUCUACCAGUGUCCAGAUCACAAUGGCCACACCUUGGGCUACAAUAAAUCAUCAGCAAAGUGUAUUGGCAUUAUGUAUCCCAGAAAGUUUUGCUCAGACUUUCAAUGCCAGGGUAUGCUUUUUAUGUCUGAUACGGAUCAAUUGCCAGUACUGUAUUACACCGCUCGUAUUAUGAAGGUUAUGUGAAAUAUGACAGAUGUUUGUUUAUUCAUCUGUUAUGCAUGGCUGUGUCUACUGUCUAGUUCUUGGCUUGUUGCCAACAUAUGCAGCAGCAGGUAGCUUCAGCCGCUCAGAAGCCCAAAUGAAGGAUGGCCCAGGCAGAAUAGCUAUGUCUAGACCCAGAAAGCUUAGGACAUGUCUUGCCAGCCUGCAGUUUUGUACUCGUAGCACCAACCAUCUCCGGGUUCUGGCCGGUUAUAUACAUGAUCUGGAAUGGGCAUCCGCUGAUCGAUUGAAACCUUGAGUUGCUUCCGUGUGUCUUUUGCCAUCUAUAUAUUAUGGUUAGUCAACGGCAUGCAGUACACCCAUGCAUAUGAUUGCAGUAGGAUGACAUGGCGCGACCAGAACCCUUCUUUUGCCAGUUUUAGAUUCUUAUACACGGCCAACUGACGCAGCAGGGAGUGGCAUGCUAAGCAGUUCAGCGUAGGUGGUGUGUUCUUAACUCUGAUAUGGCUUAUGGAAGAACACUGUCACGGUGUCACUGUCCAACCUCUUACUAGGGACAGCAAUGGCCCUGUCCACUGUUUCGUGGCUGGUAUUAUUACCCCUAUGCAGUGAAUCUGACAUGUGGAUCUAUGUGUAUAUUAUGUCGUCAAAAGAACAUUAUUUGAACUCUAUUUGUGGCGCCACCUUUGAUUCUAUUAAUGUGUCAUGGUCAAUUGAUGUCAAACUCUAUUAUCUUCAAGUCUUAUUGUAUUGAUAAAAUCACGAUGCUGCUACUGCCAUUUUGAUGUUUAUAAAAGGGUAUUGAGAACCUGGUGGGUAUCCAUUCGAUGCGCAGGGGUGGGGGUGGGGAAAAAUGAGUGUAAAGGAUAGGGAUACAGUAUUUAGAAAGAUGGGGCUGCCACAGAAGAUAGUCUCCAAGUAUGGCAGGGAAGAAUCUAAAAACUGAUUCCUUGAUCAAGACUGUCCCAUAUUCAUAAAUAGUUCACUGACAGAUCUUGCUUGCAUAUUCUGAACAGCUGAUGCUGGGCACAUAGGAGGUUAACCGGUCAGCGGAUCGAAGGAAAAAAAAAUCUUGCCUGUCAGUGUCCACAAUGGCCUCAUCUUGGGUUAGAGACAAUCAUCCCUAAAGAAUCAUAUUGCCGGAUAAGGUUAUCUGUGAUUGGUGGGUGCAGAUCCAUGCUCAUCCUAGAAACAAGCCAGGGCUAAAUGCGCCACUCAUUUUAGAUGCUUGGAUGUUGUGGUCACACCGAAAUGAUCGUGUGUUUAAUGGAGUUUCCCAUAGUGACUAGCGUGCAGGCUGUCCUCGUAUUCGAGAAAAAAAAAAUCAAUGGGCGAAAUAUUUUCACCCAGGUAAUUGUUGCAUUGUAUGAAUAGGUUAGAGUAUGAAUGUGCGUGUACUGUGACACAAGAAGAUUUAUCAUAUCCAUAUAUGAAUUAGUGUUAAAUUUGCUACAUAAAUAUCUUCUCUUAUCUCAUUGUAUGUGUAUAUAUGACACAGAAGCACAUGUAUAUCGGCAUUGUAGAGAGAGAGAUGAGAGAGAGAAGCUUAUCUGCUUUUUGGAGAUAAAUAUUCAAAUUACUGGUGUAUGAGAGGGAUAUAAUUAUUCUAUUAAAUUGUUUAUUCAACAUCUAAAAAGAUUCCAAUGUUUAGUCAUCUAUAUAGGCAUUGUAGAGAGAGAGACUAGUGUUCAGCUGGUUGGAAGGAUGAGAGAGAGGAGAGAGUUCAGAUGAGAAAGAGACUAGUGUUUAGCUGGUUGGAAGGAUGAGAGAGAGAGAUAGAGUAGAGUUUGGAUGAUAGAGAGAUUAGUGUUCACCUGGUUGGAAGGAUGAGAGGGAGAUGAGAGAGUUCAGAUGAGGAGGUGGAGAGUUUGGAAGAGAGAGAGAGAGGUGAGAGUUUGGAUGAGAGAGAAAGCAGCUAAGAAGGAUGAGAGAGAGAAAGCGGUAUUCAGCUGGAUGGUGGAGACUUCAUAUAUUACUUAGCGUUGCUACGGCGAAACGACGUUGCUUAGCGCGCGAUGUUUUUAUCGUGUCGUGUAGCGCACCACAUUUUUUAUCGUGUUGUGUAACUUUUUUAUUUUAGUAGUAUUAGACUUUUCAUACAUAAGGGGCCACGUGAGUGUGUCCAUAUCCCAACCGUGCGGAGACCGCUUGUCAUUGAAUUUGUUAUCUCUUGCUCUAUCUUGUGAUUGGUAGGCUUCUACAGCAAUUCUGCACAAAGAAGGCCCCACUUCGCCCCACUCCUGACGUCCGGUUAUUCCCACGCCUGCCCUCUCCCUCUCCAAUCCUCACCGCCAGCUCCUCAGGGUCUAGGUCGGCCCGUGAUGUAGUGGCCUAUUAUCCUUCCACCGUUGGAAGCGAGCAGUGAUCGCUGCUCUGUGAACCUAGCCUCAAGCUGUUCCUACCACUUCAGGUCCAGUGAUGCCCGAGCUUUCGCUUGGCCCGAACAGGCCACUACCAACUUGGAACGGGCAAGGCCAGCAAGGGCACAGAAUAGACCCAAGCCCAGAGUCCGCGCCCAACCAUCCACACCACCUUAAUGCCCCCACUUGGGUUACAAGCCCGCGCAACCAAGCUCGGUGAGGAUGGCUCGUGAGGACGAACAUUUAAGCUGGUGCGUUGCUGCUUCAGAUGGCGAGGUGAUACUAAUAUAACGAAUAGGAAAAUUUCACGUGGGUCCCAUGCCGCACCCACCCCUAUCCUUAUCCUUUCUCAUCUCUCUACUGUCUGUCCGGUCCUUAUCCUCCUCAUCUCAUCUCUCUCUCUCAAUCCCUCUCUCUCAAACUCUCUAUCUCUCCUAUCCCCUCUUUCUCUGGAGAACGCGGUGCACGGCCAGCCCCAGCGGCGGCCUGGAGGCGCGAGGUGCCGCCGGCGGCCGAGGGUUGCGGGGCUGCGGCAAGGAGCCUCCUGGCUGUGGAUGCGACGGCCUAGCCACGGGUGCCGGGCCGCGUCACACCGCGCGCUGCUGCCGUCGAGCGGGCCGCACGCACUGCCCACACACCAGGCGGCGUGGGCGGCCAGGCUGAGCGGCGCGGCCGGGGCUGGGGAGGCGACUCUGGUGCGGCCGAGGUAGCUUGGGCACGGCCGGCUGUGGUGGGUAGGGAGAGGUGGACGGCGGCACAACGGCAGCGCGGAGAGGCGGACGUCAGGCACGAACGGGUGAAAGGGGAGACUGGGAAAGAAAGCUGGACCCACCUAUCAAUGCAGCCGGGGCCGGGGCAGCGCGGGCGGCUGAGGCCGAGGCCAGGCGGCGCGGUCGGGGCCAGGGAGGCGGCUCUGGUGCAGCCAGCCGUGGCUGGCAGGGAGAGGCGGACAACAGCGCAACGGCGGCAUGGAGAGGUGGACGUCAGGCACGGGUGGGUGAAAGGGGAGACGGGGAAAGAAAGCUAGACCCACCUGUCAAUGCGUUAAUCUUACCUAUUAUUAAACAUCAGGGCCACCUCUCAUUGAUAGAAGUUGGACCAAACCAAAAAAAAGUGGGCAGAAGUGUUCCUCACUUUAAUAGUAACAAUAAAGUAUAGAUAAUGCAUCCAAACAACAUUUGGAAUUUAAUUCUAAGAAAAACAAAAUAUGAUUCAUGGAAUGAGUUUCAACUCUAGGAAUCCAAACAGGCCUUAGUUAUUUCUUAUGUAGCUCAAAUCAGAUGCAAGGUACGUCCUAACUUAAAAAACGUAAGUUACUUUGUGUUAUCUUGUGAAUCAGUGAUUAAUUACUUCCAAUCUUAUGUAAAAAGAACUACGAGUUAAAUUCUUUGUCAGAUUUAUACUGACAAGUUACAAGCACAUACCUCUGCAGUAACAGGCGAGCCCUAGACUAGUGGGCAAACCAAAAACAACAUGAUUCGUCAACUGAUCGAAUGCUAAUGACUAUUUUGCUAGGAGAAUGAACAUGAUUCAUGAAAAAAAGGGAGCUACUAACUUGGUCAAGGUCUCCGUCCUCUAGCGUGGGGAAGGGGCCAUCUUGCUCCACGCCACGUCUGCGUGGUUGCUCGGCGGGCGCGACGGCGUCGGCUGCGGAGUGCGGACGGCGCGUAGAUAUGUCAUUGUUGAUCAGGACAUGCACUGCUAUCACCGUCUGUUAUUGGUCAAGGUCUCCGUCCUCUAGCGUGGGGAAGGGGCCAUCUUGCUCCACUCCACGUCUGCGUGGUUGCUCGGCAGGCGCGACGGCGUUGGCUGCGGAGUGCGGACGACGCGUAGAUAUGUCAUUGUUGAUCAGGACAUGCACUUCUAUCACCGUCUGUGGUUGGCGUCCGCGGCCGAGCGGGUCAAGGUCUCCGUCCUCUAGCGUGGGGAAACAGGAUCUCUUCAAUCAGUGCUUCUACAGAAACGGUGCACGGUCACCACGGACCAACGACAUACCAUGAGAAAAGCAGAGCGAAAUGUUGCAGUAGCAGAGUGACCGGAGACUGGAGAGCACUUGCUGCUAAAAGCUGCCUCUUAUUUUGUAUCGUCUUAACAGAAGACUUUAAGUCAACCGCCAUUCGAUUCCAAUAUAAACUAGCAAGUUGGCCCGCGAUAAUACUGCGGCUAGAUUUGAUACAGUAUAAUUUUUUUAAAUACUAUGUUAGCUUAGUAUAUUUCUUUGUCCCUCUUGAUUUGUUUUUCAUCCUCUUGAAAUCACUGAGUAUAGUUAGGUGCCUUACUCUACACAUUGAGUAUCAAGCCAUAUGUGUAUAUUUGUUUUUUUGCAAAUGAACUCCGAUGCCACAUGUGCAUAUGCACGCCUAAUUAAAAUUGCUCACUUGUAACAAAAUAAGAACAACUUGAGUAGUUGAUUCUGAUCUUAUGUUGAAGUUUUUGCCAACUUUUCCUAGUAUUGUUGUGUUGAGUAGAAAGCCUGUGUAGAGAAAGAUACAAAACAAACGAUCGUGUCAACUACUCCCCAUGCUUGCUCAAAUGAUUUUGAAAAAAAAAAACAACCGCGCUCUAAGUCCUAGGGCGGUGAUAUUCCUCCUUACUUUCCUCCUCUUGUUUUCCAUGCACAAUCGAGGAUGACAAAUACCACAAACCACUUAGGCUCGAUCAUGUUUCAUCAUCACAUUCCUCAAAUCUUGAUCACGUUGUUGUCUUCAUUAUGCUAGCAGUACACAUCUCUCCGCCUCUUCUAUUCCACAAAACCAUAAUUGUUCACCGGCUCCAGCAUUGUUGUUGCUCUCCACCAAUCGAGGAAGCUCUUGUCCUUGACAUCACCUUAUCCACUGACCAGCUGAAGUUAUCUGUACAUCCAAAGGUCUCAUAAGAUUUUUGCUGGAUUUGCAUUAAUAUUAAUAUUGCCACCAAUCUAGUCUCAACCUCGCCUUGUGUUCUCCGUGGUCAUUUUUUAUUCUAACUUGCAAGCUCCACAACUACAUAUGAUGGUUCUUCUAUAUACAUAAUAUAUCGCAUCUUCUAAGACAUAUAUCGCGGGCCGGCGGCGCGCGGGGGAGCGGCGCCGGUGGAGCGGAGGCGACCGGUGGUGGGCGGAAGCGGGUGGGCGCGAGCGCGGGUGGAGGCGGAAGAGCGUGCAGGCGGAGGCGGAUGGGUGGAGGCGUGCAGCGGCGGCGGGCGCGGGCGUGUGGCAGCAAGGCCGGCGGCGCGGGGAGGCGGAGACCGGUGGCGGCCAGCCGGCGAGCGUGGGGAUUCUUUUUAUUUUUUUCGAAAUUUUUUAGUCCCGAUUAGUGGUUGGUAACCCAACCGGGACUAAAGGGGACCUUUAAUUCCGGGUGGAUGACCCGGGACUAAAAAUCUCCUCUUUUGUCAAGCCAUCACUAUUGUCCAUAUCACAACGCCUGUGCCUUCUCUUGUUGUCCUCCCCCUUCCCUCUACCUUGCACCUUCUGUUUUCCUGAUCCUAUUGCCAGUUUGUUGCAGCCAUUUAUGGGCACCUCUUUCAUCCAUUGUCCACUGUUGUUGCCCGCUGCUUCAGUUCUUCUCUGACCAAAGCGGUCGUAUCGCGCUGGCCGGUAGGAAGCCAUCAUCUCGCAAAAGCGUCAUCGUCGUCGCCAAACCACAUCUAGCCGAUGCCGAACCAUACUUGCCAUCUUCUUUGCCAAUUUGCCGCUAUGGAAGCCUCCAUGCAUCGCUCAUCAAGUCUAUCCUAUCUCUAUCAGCUCCUGUGGUAUCCUGUUUUGUUUUUGCCUCAACCACGAAGCCAUAGGUUGCUGGUGCUAAAUUGCAGGGCUAGCAACAGGUAUUUCCUCUCCCUGGCCUUGCGGCCAUGCUAUGUAUUUUUCUCUUUAAAAAAAUUACAAUGAUUUAAUCCUAAUGUUCCGAUCAUGUGUGAUUGGUUUAUUAAUUAAAGUUAGAGUUAUACUUGAGUAUAUUAUAUAAAAAUAAUAUAUAUAUAUAUAUAUAUAUAUAUAUAUAUAUAUAUAAGUUACCAUACAAAGUACAACUUCCUACAAGGUGGAGAGGUUCGGAUGGAAUUUUGAUUCAACUUACUCUAUUCUAGAUAUUAGAGUUGUACUAGCAAAAUAUGCUAGUAUGUUGCUACGGUAAAAGAUCAAUUGUGUUUUUCAAAUUAAUAAUAUUUUUUAUUUUCAUAACUAAAUUUUUAUUCCACUUAUUGGAUGUCCACACAUUUAAUAGAAAACUAAAAGAAUUUUUUAUUCAAGCAAGAUAGUUAAAUCAGCCUCCGAUGGCCACCGACGGGGGCUCUUUAGGACUCCUUUAGCCCCGGUUGUAAAGCUAGUGGUCCUCGGGAUUCUGGUGAGGCGUUUUGUCCCGGUUGUAACUACCAACCGAGACUAAAGGGGGGGCCUUUAGUCCCGAUCAGUGUUUCCAACACAGACAAAAUGCUCCUCACCUCCACAUACACAAUGCGCGUGCCCCAAUUUCUCUCCUCCCUCCCCUUAAUUCCAGCGGCCAGGCCUCCUCUCCUUAAUUCCAACACCCACAUGCCUCCUCUCCUCCUCCCUUCACCCCCUACCUCCUCUCCUCCCUCUCUCUCUCUCCUCCGCCGGAUCCGGCCGGCCCCCACUCCCUCUCCCCAAGCUCCUCCCUCUCCCUCGGCCGAGGCGGGUGGCGCAGCCGGGGCCAGGGCGGCGUGGGUGGCCAGGGUCGGGGCCAGGGAGGAUGAUAGGUGGUUAUGAGGAUGAUACCUGCAGAUAAUACUUUUAAUCUCAAUUCUUACAGAAGAAUUGCACUAUGAACUACGCUUUCAUUUAUACCACACCGCUCAGCUAUAAAAAAUGGUGCAAAUCGACCAAAAUAAAUGAAUAAAUCACAUGGUUUAGACUGGUGGCAUAUGUAUGUUUGAUGAGUUUUGAAUCCCAACAGACCUCUGUUUGCUUAUCCAACCGGAGGAAAAACCUUUACUUACUAAAUCAGCUUUGCAUGCCAGGCUGCAAUUGUUAGAGCAGAAUUAGGUAAUUUGUGAACAUAAUUGAAUCAAAGUUUUGUCUCUGACAAGUAAUAGAAAAUGGUAAUGCUCCAUAGCAAGAACACGUUCCUACACUAGUUUAAAAAAUUCCCUGAAAUUGGGAACAAUGGUCAAGUCCAAACCAUACUUGCAACUUGGAGGACCGCUGGCCGAUGUAAGUCAAAGUCAAAAACAGAAGGAGACAGCGACGUCUCACCAGAUCACGAAUCAGAUGCGAUGCAUGUGCAUGUUCAGCAAGACAUUGAAAAGCAAGCUCUUCAAUACGCUCCAGCCCAGCUCCACCAUGGCUUUGGCAAUGCGCGUCAUGAGCUUGCUUCCUGCCACCAUCGCCGUGAUGAUCGCAGUGGCCUCUUGGGGAGCGCACGGCGGUGCCAGCGACGAGGCCAGCGCGCUGCUUGCUUUCAAGGCUCAGCUCGCCGGCAGCGGUUCCGGCAUGCUUGCAUCCUGGAAUGGCACCGCUGGCGUCUGCGGCUGGGAGGGCGUGGCGUGCACCGGCGGCCAGGUAGUGGCACUGAGCCUGCCCUCCUAUGGGCUCGCCGGAGCCCUCUCCCCGGCCAUUGGGAACCUCACUUUCCUGCGGACCCUGAACCUGAGUUCCAACUGGUUCCAGGGGGAGGUCCCAGCAAGCAUCGGCCGCCUAGCGAGUCUGCAGACGCUUGAUCUGAGCUACAAUACGUUCUCUGGUACGCUUCCUUCCAACCUCAGUGCCUGUGUCAGCUUACUGCUGUUGAGGCUCAGUAGUAACCGGUUCCAUGGGCGUAUCCCUGUUGAGCUUGGAGACAAGCUAACAAGUCUUCAGAUGUUGUCACUGCGCAACAACAGCUUGACGGGUGCCAUACCAGGAUCACUAGGUAACCUGUCAUCCCUGAUCUACCUUCAUCUGACAGAAAACCACCUCGAGGGUCCGAUCCCACAUGAACUUGGCAGCAUGGGCGGCCUGCAGGUCCUUUUCCUCUAUGAGAACAGACUCUCCGGUGUGCUUCCACACUCCCUGUACAAUCUGUCCUCACUGAAAAGCUUGUGGGUAGGAUACAACAUGCUGUCUGGAACCAUCCCUGCUGAUAUCGGCGAUAGGUUCCCCGGUAUGGAAGCUCUUGACUUUUCUAGCAACCGAUUCAGUGGAGCUAUCCCACCUUCGCUCGCCAACCUCUCUGCUCUCACAAAACUAGUCCUUCAAGGAAAUGAUUUUAUUGGAUAUGUGCCUUCUGCUUUGGGGAAGUUAAGUCUUACUGCCCUUUACUUGGGUGACAACAGGCUAGAAGCAAACGACAGUCAAGGGUGGGAAUUCAUAGCUUCACUGGCAAACAGCUCCCAGCUUCAGCUUCUUGUUCUCGGCAACAACUCUUUCAGCGGGCAACUGCCUAAUUCAGUCACAAACCUGUCAUCAACUCUGCAAGGUCUUUAUUUGGGACCCAAUAUGAUUUCUGGGAAUAUUCCAAUAAACAUCGGAAAUUUGGUUGGUCUUACAGUACUUGAGAUGGCAAAUACUUUUGUAUCUGGACAGAUUCCAGAGAGCAUUGGUCAGCUAAGAAACUUGGUUCAGCUAGCCCUUUACAACACUAGCUUGUCAGGCCUCAUACCUUCAUCACUAGGAAAUCUUACACAGUUGAAUAGCCUUUUAGCAUACUAUGGAAACUUAGAGGGGCCAAUUCCAUCAAACUUGGGGAACUUAAAGAAUGUGUUUUCCUUUGAUCUCUCAACAAAUCGACUCAAUGGUUCAAUUCCUAUAGAGGUUUUAAAACUUCCUCGACUUUCCUGGUACUUAGACUUAUCAUAUAAUUCAUUAUCCGGGCCACUUCCAACUGAGGUUGGUACCAUGGUGAAUCUUAACGAACUGAUUCUGUCUGGAAACAAGUUGUCAGGCACCAUACCAGCUAGUGUUGGGAACUGUAUAUCGUUGGUACGGCUGCUGCUCGAUAACAACUUAUUAGAAGGAAGCAUACCGCAAUCUCUGAAGAACUUAAAAGGUCUUGAAUUACUGAACCUAACAAUGAAUAAGCUAUCUGGUAGUAUUCCUGAUGCCCUUGCUAGCAUUGGCAACCUGCAACAACUGUAUCUUGCACACAACAACUUGUCAGGUUCCAUCCCCAAAGUUCUACAGAAUUUGACAUUGUUGGCAAAACUGGAUUUGUCCUUCAAUGAUCUGCAAGGCGAAGUGCCAAAAGGGGGUCCUUUUGCAAAUGCAACUCGCUUGUCACUUGAUGGAAAUGAUGAGCUUUGUGGCGGAAACCCUCAACUUCAUUUAGCUCCGUGCUCCACAGCUGCUGCGAGGAAGAACAGAAGGCGAAUGUCAAGAUCACUUAUGGUCACCGUUGCGUCAAUCUGCGCAUUUCUAUUCUUAGGUUUAAUAGUUUGUCUUAUCCAUUUGAUCCACAAGAGGCUCAGACAAGGAAAGGAAAAUCAACUCAUUCCCACAGCAAUUGAUGAACAGCACCAAAGGGUUUCAUAUCAAGCAUUAGCAAAUGGGACUGACCAUUUUUCGGAGGUUAAUCUGCUCGGACAAGGAAGCUAUGGUGCAGUUUAUAAGUGCACUUUACAUGACAAGGGAAUUACCGCAGCUGUAAAGGUAUUCAACGUACGGCAAUCUAGGUCUACUAGAAGUUUUGUGGCUGAAUGUGAGGCACUGCGAAGGGUGCGCCACCGAUGUCUCAUAAAGAUCAUCACCUGUUGCUUAAGCAUUGAUCACCAAGGCCAAGAAUUCAAGGCACUGGUUUUUGAGUUCAUGCCCAAUGGUAACCUAAAUGAUUGGCUGCAUCCAGCAUCCAAGAUACAGAGUCUGAGCAAUACGCUCAGCUUAGCUCAGAGACUGAACAUUGCGGUAGAUAUCAUGGAUGCUCUGGAUUAUCUUCACAAUCAGUGUCAACCGCCUAUUAUCCAUUGUGAUCUCAAACCAAGUAACAUCCUCCUUGCCGAAGAUAUGAGUGCUCGGGUUGGAGAUUUCGGCAUAUCAAAAAUCCUUCCUGAAGACACUAGCAAAACUCUGCUGAAUUCAGUUAGCUUCACUGGACUAAGAGGUUCCAUCGGAUAUGUCGCUCCAGGUAACAGAAACUAACACUGAUAUUGCUAUGUUCAGUUUUUAACUUCCAUUUUGCCAAGUCCAGUUAUCUCGGCAUGCACGUUGAUAAGUAGCUUGCCAUGAAUCCACUGACCAAAUAGUGUCUGAAAUCUGAAUUGACUGCAGAGUACGGCGAGGGUCGCGCUGUCUCAACUCUUGGAGAUGUUUACAGCCUCGGCAUACUGUUGCUUGAGAUGUUCACCGGGAUGAGCCCUACUGACGACAUGUUCAAAGGCUCCUUGGACCUUCAUAAGUUCGCCGAGGCCGCUCUCCCCGACAGAGCCUUGGAGGUAGCCGACCCGGCAAUCUGGUUUCAUGAAGAAGCAAAGGGGGAAAACCCUGCCACGGUGAGAAGCAGAAGCGAGAGGUGCUUGGCUUCAGUGAUCGGGCUUGGCGUGUCCUGCUCAAAGCAGCUGCCAAGGGAGCGGACGGCGAUGCGGGAUGCUGCCGCUGAGAUGCGUGCGAUCAGAGAUGCCUUCCUGGUUCAAUGUGCAACAGAGACUUGGCCUGCAGUCGGCACCACCGGCCUUGGAAGCGCAGACAGUUGAAUGGUGGACGGAGCUACGGUCUCUUGACGCACCAAGGAGCACUGGACUAGCAACUCUGCAACUAAACAGAGUGGAGAAAGAGCCCCUUAAUGAACAGAAAAACAGCCGGUGCAAGGCUUUAUACAAAGAAUGUGACAGCCACUGCGUGUAUCCGAGAGCCUUAUCUAAUCUACCAAGGAUUGUCCAUGUACUCCCUCCGUCCCAAAAUAAACACACAUGUCACUUGUCGAGGAGUCAAACUUUCUAAGUUUGACUAAAAUAAUGUACUACUAUUUAUAAUGUAUAAUAAGUAUCAUUAGAUUGAGUAUUGAGUAUACUUUUCUAAUACAUUUAUUUGAAGAUAUAAAUGUUGAUAUUAUUUUCUAUAUUCUUAAUCAAACUUAAAAACGUUUGACUCUCGAGAAGUGAGAUGUGCGUUUAUUUUAGGAUGGAGGGAGUACCCGUCACACGGAUUAGUUAUGAUAUAAGUAGGGACUAGCAAGCACCAAAACCCCAUUCACUGCCCAUGGAUCGCUCAAAUAAAAGAAACCAUUGCAUAUGGUGGUGAUGCGCUGGCGAGCCUUUCUCCAAACUUUCUGCUCUCGCGGACCUUGAACUCGCAUGGAACAAUUUUAGUGGAAGCGUGCCUCCACCUUUAUGGAGAUUGCGAAGCCUCAUUUACCUGUCCGUGGCAAUAAGCUAGGAUUGAAUGACAAGGACGGAUUGGAAUUCAUCACCAUGCUGGCAAACUGCAGUCAGCUUCAGCAACUGGCUUUUGACAAUAAUUCAUUCAUCGGGGAACUUCCUAGCUCAAUUGCAAAUCUAUGGACAACACUCCAAUUACUCUAUAUAGGAAACAAUUGGAUUUCGGGAUUUAUUCCAUCCAGCAUAGGUAAUUUGGUUGGUCUAGAACUGCUUACGUUGGCAAAUACUUUCAUAUCCGGAGUGAUUCCAGAUAGCAUUGGUCGCCUAGAAGGCAUGUCCGUGUUAGGCAUUUACUACACUAGCUUGUCAGGCAUCAUACCUUCAUCACAAGGAAACCUUACACAGUUGAAAGCUCUCUAUGCGUACGAUAGAAACUUGGAGGGUCCAAUUCCAGCAAGCUUGGAGAACUUAAAGAAUCUUUUUGUCCUUGAUCUCUCAACGAAAGUGUGUAACCUGCUAAGAUUUCAUGUCGAAGUAGAGCAUAAACCUCUCUCAAAAGACUGCGAAGCUACCAUAGAGUAGAUCAGUCUAAGGGUCGGACUAUACCCUAUCAACGCCUCCCCUCUUGCCCUUUCGAUAAGAUUACCCCAAAGGUCCAAACUAGAGUCUUUAAUUAAUUAACCAAGACCAAAGCCAUAUAGUUCUUGUGGUUGUACUAUUUUCCUGGGUGGUCGCUCCAUGUUCCAAUUAAGCAUGGCGGUCUUGUAUUAAUAAAAGGUAUAUCAUAAAUAAAACAAGUUUAAUCAUUGAGUUCAUUAAAACCAUCAUAACCCAAGGUAUUGCAACUAAGCAUAUCUACCCAAUAAAAAGGUAAAACCCAGGUUGACAAGGAAUGAUCAUAAAAACUAGGUCAAUAUUAAAUGCAGAGCAGUGUAGAAGUGAUUAAAUAUAGUUAUUGGUACAAAAACACAAACAAGGACACACUUGCCUUUCUCCAAAGAAUAGCUGCUCAGAUUAUCUUCAGCUCUUGUUCCUCAAAGCUCUCGAACAACGUUCCUUCUACUCGCAUCAAUCAUCGGCACAAGUAUACAAAGCAAACAACAAUCACAACUAAGAACAAUACAUCAAUCAUAGGAAAGCUUUAAAAGAGCGUACUAAAGGAUAAGGCUCGAAUCUAAGGUCACACGAAUGCAAGAAACGCUAGGAACGAAACUAUGGUUGAAAAGACAAAGCUAUCGAGAGAUUUGAAUUAUAAAAGAAAGAAAAGCCUAUGUGCUUCAUAUAUUUUAAUAAUGAAAAUAAUGUAAAGAUAUUUUAGAGAGACAUCCUUAGCAAGUUAUAUUUAUAUAUGAAAAGACGAUGUAGAAUAGUCAAAUUUUCUUUAUAAACAUUCAAGUACAAUUUAUGCAAAUUAAAUAUUUAAUUUGAAAAUAAAGUAUAUGUAAACAUCUAAGCGCAUAGCUUUAUGGUUAUGGUUCGGGUUGAACUAACCAAAUAUAAUUCAAAAACACAAUUAUUUUUAUAUUAGUCAAAUUAACAUAUAAUUAUGAAAACUCGAGAUAUAACUUAUGUAGCUUUUAUUUAGAAAACAAAUUGAAUAAAUAUUAAUCAAUUUAAGUUUAAUUAUGAACCACCGUGGUGCAUCUCUAAUUCGCUUUUAAUUGAAAGAGUUGUUUAAUUAAGCAUUAACUAAAUUAACAUUUAUUAUGAAAAGCGGUUAUAACACUAAGUAGCUUUUAAUUAAAGAAGACAUGUUUAACAUGCAUUAAUUAUAUUAAUAUUAAAUUAAUUUUAAAAACAUGCAUGAUGGAAGGAUCACUACUAACAUGUAAUUUGUGUUAUCACGAACCUAACUCAACAAGAACGGAUAUAAACGAAGCUGUAAUGAGGAGCCUAUGGGUUAAACAAGGUCGUAGGGCCUAAUCACGAUUAACGGAAGGUUAUUGGGGUUAGCAAGGAAGAUUUGCAAGACACUAUAAUAGAGCUCGCCAUUAGGUCAAAGCAUAGGGUUAGAUCUAUUAAAGUGCUCAGGUUGGACUUGGUUGCACGGAUCCAAUCUAAUGAGGGACAUGGAUGAAAAAAACAAGACACAAGGAAAAACUAACUAUUUACAAAGCUUUCCGGGGCCUAUGCGCAAAAGCACCACAACUCAGCAUCCAUGGCGGACGGGCUCCUGGAUGGCAAAAUCCUCGUGUCGGAUUUAUAAGCCCACAGUCCACCAAGGGGUUACCCAAGUCGUUGAUUGUGGCGGAACCGCCCAAAUUAACCUGACUAAAAUGCAUUGAAGUCGCCUGACACGCGAUUAUGCACUUUAAGCAAGUCAACUUGGUCGACCGUCGGAUUUCCUCCGAUAAACCACAUAAACAGGAUCGAGAAGCAUCGCUCACGCGAAGGUGAGUAGCACAGAGGUUACAACAAUCCAUCAUGACAACAUAGUUCAACAAUUUAUUACAUCAGAGUUUUUGAAAUUCAAACCGAAAUUUGCAUGGUUCGAAGUCAAAGGAAAACAGCGGAAACUAAACGUCGAUACAUGACAUCACGACGGAGCCGAUCAUGACAUCAAAAAUUUCUUCCUUCGCCAUCCGAGGAAGGAUCCCACUCGACGGUCCAGCCUGGAGGAAGCUGGGUCGGCCAAGUGGUACCAACACCCAAACUAUUGACAUUACCUGAAAAAGAUUAGCCACAACAAGGCUGAGCAACUAGUACUCAGCAAGACUGACCCGUCGGAAAGACACGACCGAGACCUAGACAUGCAAGGCUUUCUGGCUCUGGGGUUUUCUUUGCCAAAAGCGUCUAAAGUCAGUCCUUAUUUUCAACAUUUUAGCUCAUGUUCUAUGUUCUUUAUCCAUUCUAGAUUAGCAACUUAUACUAAACAAACAUGGUUUCCAAGCAAUUACUUAACAAGCAUCAAGAUUAAAAUCAUCAUCAUCAUGUUCCAUCUUUACUCAGUGCAGAAUAGCGAUCAAGUAGUCCCAAUCUGUGAGAGGCAGACGAAUCGAUUCGAAUUUAUUAACCAUGCAUGGCAAACCUAAUCUCACGACAUCCGCGCACCACGAAGGGUCGCUUCAUUUGUCAGCCGUCCCCAUCGAUCCCUUAGGCACGUGUCAGGGCCAACUUCCUUUGGCAUGCAAUGCUCCACAGUCCUGGCCUAUUGCUGCACUGUGACCGCACUUGCACCCACAUGAUGCACCAUGGGAACGACGUUCCAAGGACAGCCGGAGGGUAUGCCACGCCCCAGUUCAAUCAGGUACUAGGCUUCCCCAUCCCAUACUAGGUAUGAGAUUAGUACUUUCAAACACUUGAUCACGAACGCCGACACGUUUCGACCAUAGUUCAUUUUCAUUUAGACAGACGGGGCAAUCCACCAAGUAUCGAACACAAGCCUGACCCCGUCCGUCGUCCUUAUAGUUGCGACAUAUCUGAAAUAUUCAACUCCUAUAACUCGCGAGUGACAGGAGAUCACUCGACUUUUACCGAAACCUAUUAAGCAAUGCAACUACUCGGCAAGGUCUUCUUCCGGCGCCGGGUGAAGCUCGUACGUUCCGUCGGCGAGAUUCAACUCUACACGAAAAUGCAAUGCUGGGGUUAGACAUUUUAGAUGGUUAUUUCAACACACUCAUGUUUUAACACGGACACUUUGCUACAGGAAAGGUGGGGGAGUUCAACUUCUGUUGGUGGAGAACAGGAUGAGAGGGUCGGAUUGGGGGAAACUUAGGGUCUGACCCUCAGGUUUAAGGAAAAACCGUACCGAGGUCGUCAGACUCAACACAGAGGAAUCCCCAAAAUUAUUUCAUCGUACCCUCGGGUCAAAGAAAAAGUUACAACCGAGCCCUCGGGCGAGGCGGAGAAAGGGUCGGCGAAACUUGGCAGGGUCGGGCGAGGCGAAAGGAAAAAGGUCGGGCGAGAUGAAAAGAAAAGGGGUCGGGCGAACCGAAACAAAGGGGUCGGGCGAAACGAAAAGGAAGGGGUCGGUCGAGAGGGAACACAAGGGGUCGGUCGAGACGGAACACAAGGGGUUGGUCGCUUACCUCCAGGUCUACCGGUGAAGCCUUGGGGCCGAACAGGAGUAGGCUGGGGUGGGAAGUCGUACACGCUAAGUCUUGGGCAACGGCGAGUCUUCGACGGUGGUCAGGUGGCGGUGGUGCUUCUUGCGGACACCAGCAAGCUCGAGUACCGUGCGGAGGAGCGGGCGGCUGGUCUGUUGGGAGAAACGGCUUGAGGGUGGCGGCGAAGUCGCCGAAGUGUGGGGGUGGUGUAAAAGGGGUGAGCUCCACGGAAGCUCAGCGGCGGCGCGGGGAGAAAGCGGCGGCGCAGGUGCGGGCGGUGGCAAGGGGUGGCAUUGCCGGUGAGGGGGGUUCCCUUUUAUAGGGUCGGGGUGGCGCGGAGGGUCGAGGCGGGGCUUCGGUGGGGAAAGGAUAAGGCCGGGAGCGGCGAGUGCGCGGACAAGGCGGCCAUUGGCCAGCAACGCCAUUGGGCAGAGGAGGUGGAGCUCCGGGUGGUCUUCGGCGGCGAUUGGCCUUGGGCGACGCCCGUCUGGGGCUUCCGGUCUGUCGGGCGGGCGAGGCGGAGAGCUACCGUGGGGGUUGGGCGAACGGGCGGAGGCGCGGGAUGUCGGGGGCGUGUCAGCUUUCUCGGCGGACGGGCGGAACAGGGUUGGCGGAGCAGAGCCGUGGCAGGCGGAAGGCGGCACGCGCGCAGCCGGCGGUUGGCUGGCCCGGCGUUCGCUCCGUCCUGUCGCAGGCGCGGGUUGGGCGCCGUGGCUCUCGUCCUGUCGCUGUCGUGCUGGGGAUAGGGCGCCGGCGAGCUGCCGGUGGCCGGCGGCCACGUGGCGCGCGGUGCGCGAGCGAACAUGCUCGGGCGUGCGGGCGUCGAGGCUCCCUUCGGGCAGCAAGCCCGACCAGCUUUGGAGUGAUCCUUCCUCCGAAUCUUUCAACACAACUUCCGAAACUCCCUUAAACAAACUUGCUCAACUCUGAUUGUUCUUCAAACUUUGUUUAAGGUGCUGGUUUAGAUUGUGAAAGGAUUCAAAGAUAUUUCCGGCCAAGUUAGCCAAAAAUCUGGGAUUCCAGACUUAGGAUUUAAGGCAUCCGGGGUGAGUUGACUGGUUUACCUCACUUUGACCGGGAUUUUGAACAAGUUCGGGUCCGAUUUGGAUCUGGGUCAGAGUAACAAAGUUGGAAUACACUCGAGGUACUACAACUUUCAUUAAGGCUCUGACUUGGGUUUAGAUAGGAAAACGGGAUAUGAAAGCUUGUAAAGAUGGAGGAAAACUCGAAUUCCAGGACUUAAGAGAUUUUCAGGGUCCUUUAGAAAAACCGGCUUUGGUUGCUGUUUUUGACUUCCUUCCACUCCGAAUUGGUCAAAGUGCUUUUAACAAAAGUUGUUGGAAUUAAAAAGUUUUACAACUCUUAUUUGGGCAGAAACUUAAGUUUGUAUAUAAUAUUUCAAGAUUUAAAUCAAACUCCAAAAGGAGCUUCUUAGGUUUAUAAAGGUCAUUUCACUUCUUAAAUUAGGGAUUUAUCACUGGUUUAGAGUUAAAAGUACUUAAUUUAGGUAGAGUUGUUACAGCCUACCCCCCUUAAAGGAAUCUUGCCCCGAGAUUCAAGUGCAGAAGGAACUAGUGUGGUUGGUGCAAUGUACCUCCUUGCUCGAAAAGAAAACCGCGGAAGUUAGCGUUGAGGUACUCUUCCGUCUCCCAGGUCGCUUCAUCUUCCGUAUGGUUACUCUACUGAAUUUUGUACAUCUUGACCAUUUGCCGACGAGUAUGUCUUUCCUUGCGGUCGAGGAUCUUAACAGGAUACUCCUUAUAUGAUAAAUCGGGUUCGAUCUCCAAUUCUUCCGGGGGAAUGAUUUCAGUUGGAAUCCUGAUGCACUUCUUAAGUUGCGAGACAUGGAAAACAUCAGGUAUUGCUACAAUCUUCUCUGGAAGUUUAACUCGGUACGCUAUGGGUCCACACGCCUCUACGAUCUCAUAGGGACCAAUAUAGCGCGGAGCUAACUUUCCCUUUACUCCAAAACGUUGUACACCUUUGGUCGGUGAAACCCGUAGGUAUACAAAAUCCCCAACCUUAAAUUGGAUGGGUCUUCUUCUUUGAUCGGAAUAGCUCUUGUGUCGAGAUUGGGCGGCCUUGAGAUUUUCGCGGAUGACUCUCACUUUUUCUUCGGCCUCUAUGACCAGGUCAGGUCCAUACACCGUUCGCUCUCCGGGUUGCGACCAGCUCAGUGGGGUCCGGCAUCUACGUCCAUACAAGGCCUCGAAAGGUGCCAUUUUCAGGCUAGCUUGGUAACUGUUGUUGUAGGAGAAUUCCGCUAAUGGCAAAUACCCCAGUUCUUGUCAUAAUGAAUAACACAGGCGCGUAACAUAUCUUCCAAAAUCUGAUUAACCCUUUCAGUUUGCCCGUUGGUCUGAGGAUGAUAUGUGGAACUACGGAUCAAUUGAGUGCCAAGUGAAAACUGCAACUGCUCCCAAAAGCGUGCUACAAACUGACUACCUCGAUCAGAGAUGAUCAUUUUAGGUACUCCAUGCAAGGAAACAAUCCGAUCAAGGUACAAUUCUGCAUAUUUCUGUAUGGUGUGGGUGGUGUGUACUGGAAGGAAAUGUGCCGUUUUGGUUAGUCGGUCUACUAUAACCCAUAUGGAGUCAUGCUUGCGGGGGGUAUUGGGUAGUCCGACUAUAAAGUCCAUGCUUAUGUCUUCCCAUUUCCACGAGGGAAUAGGCAGCGGCUGCAAGGGGCCAGCUACCCUCAAGUGGCUUGCCUUGACUCGCUGACAGGUAUCACACUCUGAAACAUAGCGUGCAAUGUCGGGUUUCAUCCCACUCCACCAGAAAUUUUGUCGGAGGUCGUGAUACAUCUUGGUAUUGCCGGGGUGAAUCGAGAACUUGGAUAGGUGUGCUUCGUGCAGAAUUUGUCUCUUAAGCUCGGGAUCAUUUGGAACUACAAGUCGAGCUUCAUAAUGUACCACUCCUUUCCAGCCCUGUCGGAAACGUUUAUAUCCCUCAUCCUUCUGUGCAAGUUUCCCUUUGAUAAUGUUUAUCUCUUUGUCCUCUAGCUGUGCUAGAAUGAUUUGGUCAAGUAGGGUGGGCUCUAGAGAAAUAUGACUUAAGGUGUCGUGUGGAACAAUUUCCAAGUUGAGUCUAGCCAUUUCGUGACACAGGGUCUCGGCAUAAUUACUCGCCGAUAAGCAGUUACAAUGGAUCUUGCGGCUAAGGGCAUCUGCAACUAUGUUGGCUUUUCCUAGGUGAUAAUGCACUUCUAGGUCAUAAUCCUUGAUUAAUUCUAGCCAUCACCGCUGAUGCAUGUUGAGGUCUUCUUGAGUGAAUAUAUACUUAAGGCUCUUGUGAUCUGUAUAGAUGUUGCAUCGGGUUCCCAUGAGUUAAUGCCUCCAUAUUUUCAGAGCAUGAACGACUGCCGCUAACUCAAGAUCAUGAGUAGGGUAAUUCAACUCAUGUGGUCGUAAUGCUCGCGAGGCAUAGGCAAUGACUCGGCUGUCUUGCAUAAGAACACAACCAAGUCCAGUGCCAGAGGCAUCGCAAUACACAUCAAAUGGCCUAGUGGUGUCGAAAACUUCGAAUCUGAUGAACUGAAGUGGGCGGCUUCCAGUCCAUUACUUCUUGCACCUUGCUUGGGUCUACUGCUAUACCGUCUCUGGAUAUGGUGUGUCCCAAGAAUUUAACACUGUCCAGCCAAAAGUCACACUUAGAGAAUUUGGCAUAGAGUUGGUGGUCUCUUAAGCGUUGGAGUAAAGUAUGUAGGUGCUCUGCAUGUUUUUCUUCAUUCUUCGAGUACACCAAGAUGUCGUCAAUGAAUACCACGACGAAUUUGUCGAGUUCGGGCAUAAACACCGAAUUCAUGAGGUACAUGAAAUAAGCCGGUGCAUUAGUAAGCCCAAAUGACAUGACUAAGUACUCGUAGAGUCCAUAUCGUGUAGAAAAGGCAGUCUUUGGAAUGUCGCACGGGCGGAUCUUGAUUUGAUGGUAGCCAGAACGGAGGUCAAUUUUGGAAAACACUCUAGCUCCAGCUAAUUGGUCGAACAGAACAUCAAUGCGGGGUAGUGGGUACUUAUUCUUUAUCGUCACCGCAUUGAAAGGUCGGUAGUCCACACACAUACGCAGACUAUCGUCCUUCUUUUUCACAAACAAGGCAGGGCAACCCCAAGGUGAUGUACUUGGGCGAAUAAAACCCUUUUCCAACAAAACAUGCAACUGAGUUUUCAUUUCUGCUAGUUCGGCUGGUGGCAUCCGGUAUGGUCUCUUUGAAAUUGGGGCGGUACCUGGUUGCAACUCAAUGGCAAACUCGAUGUCUCUCUCAGGCGGCAUACCCGGCAAAUCGUCUGGAAACACAUCCGGGUACUCGCACACUACUGGGAUAUCUUCCAAUCGGGCUUUAGACACGGGAUAGGCACAAGAAGUUUGGCACUCUCGGGGAGGUAAGUGUAUAGUCGAGCUACCAUACUUGGGUGAAUUUAUAUGGAUUGCCCUGGCAGGGAUAUCUAGGGUCACUUGGUGUCGGGUCAUCCAAUCCAUACGCAAGAUAACAUCUAUUCCUUCUAUCCCAAGGGUAAGCAGAUCUUCCUUAAGAAGGGUCCUCCCUAACUGGAUAGGUACUCUGCAGCUUACUUGGUGUGAAGUUACCUUUCCACCCGGGGUAGAGAUUAUGUAGGUACCUUUGGUGUGACAGAAAUCUAACCCACACUUAGCACUGAUUCUAGUCCCAAUGAAACUAUGAGAUGCUCCCGAAUCAAACAGAAUAAGGACGGGUUGAUCACAGAUAGAAAAGGUACUCGUCAUCACUGGUGCGCCCUCUGGAAGUUCAGCAAGGGUGGUGAAGUUCAGCCUGCCUUGUCGGACCUGCACCUUUGGCUUCUUCCCCUUGUUGCCCAGUGUAUGGCUCUGACUGGGUCGUUGAUUCUGGUUGCGGGGGCAGUCCUUGGCGAAGUGUCCUGGGUUCCCGCAAGUGAAACAGCGGUUUCCAGUGACCGGGCGCAGCGGCAUCGGGAGAGCAGGGCGGGGUCCUUGCGGCUGGAAUCCGGGGAAACGAGGUGCUGCCUGCGGUGGAGGUCGAGCAACCCAUCUCCCAGGCUGUGCGGGCGUGCGAGGUGCUUGUGGGGAAACCAUUCUGUACUUCUGGGCAGGCGGGCUGGGUGCCGGCAUUGGGGCCUUCCUUUUCAUGUCGGCCUUGAGGGCCCUCAUGCAAUCUUCCUGGGAAAUGGCCAGGUUCACCAGUUCAUUGUAGGAACCCACUUUGAUGGGAUUCAGCCUUUCCUUGAGCUUCAAACUCAAGCCUCUGCGGAAACGGUCCCUCUUUUUCUCAUCGGAGUCCGCAUGGUAGCCUGCAUAGCGACACAGGUCAUUGAAAGCCUGCGCAUAGUGCAGACAUCGCGGCCUCCCUGGGUGAGAGCCAGGAACUCGUUGAGCUUGCGCUCCAGAAGACCUUCAGGGAUGUGAUGGCCCCUGAACGCCGUCUUGAAUUCCUCCCAACCGACGACGUGGUCGGCCGGCUGCAUGGCAUGGUAGUGAUCCCACCACAGGAGAGCAGAACCACGCAACUACUGCGCGGCGAACCGAACCUUGUUCUCGUCCGGGCAGUAGGCGGUGAGAAGGGAGAACUUGGACUCGAUAGUGCGAAUCCAGGCAUCGGCGUCAAGUGGGUCCUCCGUCUUGUGAAAUAGAGGAGGCUGGGUCCCCAGAAAAUCUUCGUAACGAGCAACAUGGGGCUGUUGAUGGGCCCUUCCUCCCUGAGGCUGCUGCUGCUGCUGCCCCUGAGCGAUGUGCCUCAACAGCUCGGUCUGGGCUGCCAAGAUCGACUCGAGGGUGGUCGGAGGCGGAGGUGGGGGAGGCACCUCGCUGCCACUGGGAACGGAGCCGGAGCGUGUGCGAUGCGCCAUCCUUGGGCGAGCCAAAACCUUAUCCCCGGGGUCUCACUAAUUCCGACCUCUGGUGCCGGGGUCGGGCGAAACGGAGCUUCUCAACACGGGAUCGGACAAAACGGAGCCUUUCAUCCCGGGGUCGGGCGAGGCGGAGACCUGCCGCGAGGGGUCGGGCGCGUCCGACCUCGCGACUCGGGGUCGGUCAACUUUGGACAGGCCCACAGGAGACGGGUGUGUGGUCACAGCACCAAAACCCACACAACUUGGCAUUCACGGCGCGUCGCAAAGGGUCAAAAGUCGAGUCAAGAGUGAAAGAAAAACAGGAACUGCUUUCACCAAGAUCAUUUCAUUGCUGGUCUUAAAAUAUAGGAGGAGUACUCAACUCAAGGCUAACCUAUUACAUCAUUGGCCAAAAAUAUAGGUCGUCGAGGAGUACAAUCAAAAAUAAAAUAGAACCGCUCAACCUAGUUUGUUAUAACUAGAAGUCGUCGAGGUUGCCCACGGAGGCAAAGCUAAGGACCGGAGAGUGAGCAUCACCAACUGGAGGCUGCGGUGAGGCAUUCUCAUAGUCCAUGCUUGAAAAGCCUUCGAUCUCCUCAGGCUCCUCCUCCUGGGCCAUCGGCUCAUCCAGCUGCACCUCUAAGGCGUGGAUGGCAUUAAGCUCAUCGUGAUGCUCCUGCAGGUGCUCAUUGGCGUUCGCCAGCUCCAUGUUCACAUCAUAGAACUGGUCAGCCAAGAUCUCCAUAUCGUGAUCCAUAUCCACAAUCUCUUCCUCCAAACGAGUAAUCUUGUCCUGCAUCUCAGCAAUCUGAACAUCCUUCUGUACCAGCUCGAGCGACUGGUCCACCAUGCCACUCUGCACGGUAGACAAGGCAACCUGGUUGGCCACUGCCAUCCCAAUCACCAUAGCCAUCGCUCGGCUCUGCAGCUCAACCAUCCUGUAGAACACAUUCAGGCAACGAGCUGAAACAAAAAUCGUGCACUGAGGAUCCAUAAGCCCGAGCAAGUCCAUAUGCUCCAUACGAUCCAACCAGUCCGGGUCCCUCGUACCCCGGGCAGGGAACAACCCAAUCGGGUCUAGCAUGAUCUCAAGAGGGUGUGCCCAGCAAAACUGGGUCAAGGUCUGCAAGGCUGCGAACUCCCAGGCGUCGUGGAGCGUGUGUCCCUCAGCCACUACCUCCAACAGCGACAACGGUGGCUGAUCCGGAGGCGGGGGUACCCGCACGUGUAUGCGGCUCCGCGGAAUCCCGUGGUCCUGGUACGCACGGCCCGCAUAAACCGGCGGCGACUGGUACCCGAAAGAGCGCAGGGUGUCCCACAACACAGUUGGAAAACCCUCGUAGUGAAGGCACCGUGAGUAGGUGGUGCCCUCCGUACCGACUGCCACGUGCACGGGCUGCGCCAUCUGUAACCAAGGGUCACGUGAGAAAUGGGGUUAACACUUGGAAAUCAAACAGAUUUCUGGCAGUUAGAGAAAAGCUCAUAACUCAGCAAGUAUUCCUCCAAAAUUUCUCAAAUUUUACCAGCAUGUUCUUUAGAUAGUGGGUAACAAGUUUGGUAUUCAAAGGUAGGGCUAGAACAGACCUAACAAGGUGAUAAUCUCAGAUUCCCAUUAAGUAUACCUGCUGGAACUCUUCAGACCGAGUCAAGAUAAACUGAAUACAUCUUCCAAACCAGAGACUUAACAAAACCGAAACUCUACCAGUAAGUCCUUCACUAAGUUCUAAAAAACUCUGCUUAAAGGACUCCUCGCAGAAAAGGUCCUUAAGGUGGUCGAAAUAGCAGAAACUCCGUUGGUGUGCACUUUGGGCUAACAGCCAACAGGGGGUCACCAAACUGAUCACAACUCUCAACCCAAAUGGUAGUACCUUGAGGCAGUUUUACUUGGGAGUUUUAACACAACUUUCUUAUACAAAGUUUCUGGAGUUAGCAUGGCGGAAAAAGGACAGCUAGACAAUCCUUAACGCGGUGCAUUACUUUUUACGACGUACUCGAGUUUGGUUUUAUUUCCUUAGGUUGUGAUUUUUAUUUCUUAAUGCAUGCACGUCCUAGUCGUCCUCUCAACCAAAAAUAAUUUCCAAAAACCUUUGGACUUACGUGGUCAGUGCCGGUGGCAAGGCAACAAUACGGCUCUCACUAUAAUAGCUAGUCGAGUUACUAGGCCUCGUUUCGAACGCAACGUUUGUUAGUGUACCUGCAGAAAAACACAACACAGCUUGAACCUUCCGUGCCAGCACUCAUGAAAGCGUCCACAAUCAUUACCGUUCACUAUAGAAAUGGCACCCAUGCGUUUAACACUGCAUGGACAGUGCAACAACCGUGGAAAUAGGUUCCUUUGAAUAGAAUCCUAUAACCCUUCGCAUUCUCGUGAUGCAGAAUCAUGCACACGUGUAACAAACGUGGGCGAACAACCGUGACGAUAGGCUCGUUGGAAUCGAACCAUACCAUCCUUCGCAUGUAUUAACAUACGGAACCUGCGCACGUAUAAUAGAUGUGGGCGAAACAACCGUGAUGAUAGGCUCGUUGGAAUCGAAUUCCCAUCACCCUUCGCAUACUCGCGAUGCGGAUUUCGGCACACGUAUGAUAGACAUGGCAACAAGUGCUGGAAGUUAGAAGAUAACCAAUAACUAUUAGCCACCUUAAAAAUAACCCCAAAAUCCCCUAGGGCUCCUCGAACUAAACUCAUCCUUAGCGAACUUACGAAUUUCUCAAUUUUACUUCUUCCAAAUUUUAGUUGGAAAAAGAGUUUUAAGGUUUGUUGUUCUCCGUACUGUGCUUCGAGCUCUGAUACCAGCUGUGGCGGAACUGCCCAAAUUAACCUGACUAAAAUGCAUUGAAGUCGCCUGACAUGCGAUUAUGCACUUUAAGCAAGUCAACUUGGUCGACCGUCGGAUUUCCUCCGAUAAACCACAUAAACAGGAUCGAGAAGCAUCGCUCACGCGAAGGUGAGUAGCACAGAUGACAACAUAGUUCAACAAUUUAUUACAUCAGAGUGUUUGAAAUUCAAACUGAAAUUUGCAUGGUUCGAAGUCAAAGGAAAACAGCGGAAACUAAACGUCGAUACAUGACAUCACGACGGAGCCGAUCAUGACAUCAAAAAAUUUCUUCCUUCGCCAUCCGAGGAAGGAUCCCACUCGACGGUCCAGCCUGGAGGAAGCUGGGUCGGCCAAGUGGUACCAACACCCAAACUAUUGACAUUACCUGAAAAAGAUUAGCCACAACAAGGCUGAGCAACUAGUACUCAGCAAGACUGACCCGUCGGAAAGACAUGACCGAGACCUAGACAUGCAAGGCUUUCUGGCUCUGGGGUUUUCUUUGCCAAAAGCGUCUAAAGUCAGUCCUUAUUUUCAACAUUUUAGCUCAUGUUAUAUGUUCUUUAUCCAUUCUAGAUUAGCAACUUAUACUAAACAAACAUGGUUUCCAAGCAAUUACUUAACAAGCAUCAAGAUUAAAAUCAUCAUCAUGUUCCAUCUUUACUCAGUGCAAAAUAGCGAUCUAGUAGUCCCAAUCUGUGAGAGGCAGAAAAUCGAUUCGAAUUUAUUUACCAUGCAUGGCAAACCUAAUCUCACGACAUCCACGCACCACGAAGGGUCGCUUCAUUUGUCAGCCGUCCCCAUCGAUCCCUUAGGCACGUGUCAGGGCCAACUUCCUUUGGCAUGCAAUGCUCCACAGUCCUGGCCUAUUGCUGCACUGUGACCGCACUUGCACCCACAUGAUGCACCAUGGGAACGACGUUCCAAGGACAGCCGGAGGGUAUGCCACGCCCCAGUUCAAUCAGGUACUAGGCUUCCUCAUCUCAUACUAGGUAUGAGAUUAGUACUUUCAAACACUUGAUCACGAAGGCCGACACGUUUCGACCAUAGUUCAUUUUCAUUUAGACAGACGGGGCAAUCCACCAAGUAUCGAACACAAGCCUGACCCCGUCCGUCGUCCUUAUAGUUGCGACAUAUCUGAAACAUUCAACUCCUAUAACUCGCGAGUGACAGGAGAUCACUCGACUUUUACCGAAACCUAUUAAGCAAUGCAACUACUCGGCCUUAGCAACUAGUAUUCAAAAACAAGGUACUAAGUUUAUGCAUCUAAGGUUCCAUUACAACUCCUCGAAACGUAAAUGCGCAAUCAAGUAAUCAAUAAUAUUGCAUGAACUCAAGAUAGGAAUUUAUGCUCCGGGGCUUGCCUUCAGGAAAAGCUUGCGGGUCCUCGGGGUCUUGCUCCGGUUCGGGCUCUCCUUCGAAGGGAUGCAGUUCCUCGGCGGGGUCUUCUUUCGGCGCCGGGUGAAGCUCGUACAUUCCGUCGGCGAGAUUCAACUCUACACGGAAAUGCAAUGCAGAGGUUAAACAUUUUAGAUGGUUAUUUCAACACACUCAUGUUUUAACACGGACACUUUGCUACAGGAAAGGUGGGGGAGUUCAACUUCUGUUGGUGGAGAACAGGAUGAGAGGGUCGGAUUGGGGGAAACUUAGGGUCUGACCCUCAGGUUUAAGGAAAAAUCGUACCGAGGUCCUCAGACUCAACACAGAGGAAUCCCCGAAAUUAUUUCAUCGAUACCCUCAGGUCAAAGAAAAAGUUACAACCGAGCCCUCGGGCGAGGCGGAGAAAGGGUCGGCGAAACUUGGCAGGGUCGGGCGAGGCGAAAGGAAAAAGGUCGGGCGAGACGAAAAGAAAAGGGGUCGGGCGAACCGAAACAAAGGGGUCGGGCGAAAUGAAAAGGAAGGGGUCGGUCGAGACGGAACACAAGGGGUCGGUCGAGACGGAACACAAGAGGUCGGUCGCUUACCUCCAGGUCUACCGGUGAAGCCUUGGGGCCGAACAGGAGUAGGCUGGGGUGGGAAGUCGUACGCGCUAAGGCUUGGGCAGCGGCGAGACUUCGACGGUGGUCCGGCAGCGGCGGUGCUUCUUGCGGACACCAGCAAGCUCGAGUACCGCGCGGAGGAGCGGAUGGCUGGUGUGUUGGGAGAAACGGCUUGAGGGUGGCGGCGAAGUCGCCGGAGUGUGGGGGUGGUGCAAAAGGGGUGAGCUCCACGGAAGCUCAGCGGCGGCGCGGGGAGAAAGCGGCGGCGCAGGUGCGGGCGGUGGCAAGGGGUGGCAUUGCUGGUGAGGGGGUUCCCUUUUAUAGGGCCGGGGUGGCGCGGAGGGUCGAGGCGGGGCUCCGGUGGGGAAAGGAUAAGGCCGGGAGCGGCGAGUGCACGGGCAAGGCGGCCAUUGGCCGGCGACGCCAUUGGGUAGAGGAGGCGGAGCUCUAGGUGGUCUUCGGCGGCGAUUGGCCUUGGGCGGUGCGCGUCUGGGGCUUCCGGUCUGUCGGGCGGGCGAGGCGGAGAGCUACCGUGGGGGUUGGGCGAACGGGCGGAGGCGCGGGAUGUCGAGGGCGUGUUAGCUUUCUUGGCGAACGGGCGGAACAGGGUUGGCGGAGCAGAGCCGUGGCAGGCGGAAGGCGGCACGCGCGUGGCCGGCGGUUGGCUGGCCCGUUCGCUCCGUCUUGUCGCAGGCGCGGGUUGGGCGCCGUGGCUCUCGUCCUGUCGCUGUCGUGCUGGGGAUAGGGCGCUGGCGAGCUGCCGGUGGCCGCUAGAUUUUUCUCACUAUGAAUAUAAUUCAUAGCAAUUACUUUGGAGUUUUUCAGCUUUCUAACAGAUUUAAGCCUCCGCUUCACAUGCCUCGAGGACUUCAUAUUAUCCUUAGUACUCAUAACUUUGAUCAAUACCGUUUGGUUAUCAUAGUACAUAAGGAUUGCCGGAACUGGUUUCUCCACCAGUGGCAAGUCCAUGAGUAGCUCUCUUAGCCACUCGGCCUCAACAGUAGCCGUGUCAAGUGCUACAAGCUCAGCUUCCAUGGUUGACCACGUCAAAAUGGUCUGUUUACACGACCUCCAUGAAACUACAGCACCUGCUAGUGUAAACAUAUAGCCACUCGUGGCUUUAAUUUCAUCCGCAUCAGAAAUCUAGUUGGAAUCACUAUAUCCUUCCAAUGCAGAUGGAUAACCAGUAUAGUGAAUUCCAUAUUCGAUUGUACCUCUCAUGUAACGUAGCACUCUCUCUAGUGCCUCCCAAUGAUCCUUCCCUGGAUUGGAAGUUAAACGACUUAAUUUGCUCACAGCAAAAGAUAUGUCGAGACAUGUUGCACCAGCAAGAUACAAAAGGGACCCAAUUAUUUGUGAAUAUCUCAAAUGGUCCAUCCCUUCAUCUUUAUUUUUCCUUAGCUUUACACUAGCAUCGUAGGGUGUAGGGGAUACUUUUGCAUUUUCAAAGCAAAAGCGACAAAAUAAUUUUUUCACAUAAUGAGAUUGAUUUAGAAUAAUCCCAUUCUCAUUUUUGGUCAACUUAAUAUUUAGGAUAACACUUGCUUCUCCCAGAUCCUUCAUGUCGAAGCCUGAAGAUAAGAAUGAUUUGACCUUCAAGCCCACUGCACACCGAAUUCGAAGGUCGACAAGGCGCCAUAGCAAGAGAUUCAGCACAGCGAGUGGGAAGACGAGCGUGUAACAGCGUCCAUUCAACCAGGACAUCUCCUGGUGUUAUAGACCUUCGUAGUGCAUCAGUUUCCCCAUCAAACAGCCUCAUCAAGCAGUAGAAACUGCCAAUUUGAACGAUAGAAACGGCUUCCAUCAAAUUGUUGAAACUGACACACCUUAUUGCUGUUUAAAACGGCAAUUUCAAUCACAUUGAAUUGCCAUUAGGCUCAGCAUAAAAAAAAUAAUAACUGCACAAACAAUAGUCACAACUCACGCGAUUUUCCACGUGAAAAUGUGCGUGAGCUUCAUGUGCGUGUAGCAACAAUCUCCUUCUCUCUCAUUUGCAUCUAUUUUGCAUAGAGAGGAGACUCCCAUAUUUAAGCAAGGCAACCUCUCCUUGAAUUAGCAAUAUAAGACUAAAGGUUGUGUAUGCUUUGGAAUUUUCUAAUUGGGCCACAUAUGGGCCUAAAUCCAAGACGGUGAAGGUUCUUCUAUCUCAACUCAAGGUGACGUUUAUAGCCUCGGCAUAUUGCUUCUUGAGAUGUUUACUGGAAGGAGCCCAACGGAUGAGAUGAGAUAUUCAAUGAUUCUUUGGAUUUGCACAAGUUUUCAGCGAAUGCUCUUCCAGAGAGAAAACGGGAUAUAGUUGAUCCGACAAUAUGGAUGCACACAGAUGCCUAUAACAGCACUAUAAGAAGUGGAAUUAAGAAUUGCUUGCUUUCUGUUGUUUGUCUUGAAAUAUCAUGCUCGAAGAAACAACCUAGGGAGCAGAUCCCGAUUCAGGAUGCAGCCAUUGAGAUGCACGCUAUUAGAGAUUCGUAUCUCAAGUUUGCCAGAUCUCUUUUGGUGGAGCAUGGAGUAGUAGCAACAACUCACAGUGAUUUCCCACAACAGUGAAUACAUAGGACUGAAAAUGGGCAAGAUGUUGCAGGUGAUCAGUUUACCUGAAAUAACUGAAGAUGUAUGAAGCUUCAGCUUUAUAAUUCGUCCAUGCAUUUGUUUGCAUCAGAUAUAUGGAAGUAUAAAAUAAGUUUAGAAAAUGUUUCAAAAUAGAUUAGAUCCAGAGGUUUUACUUGUCGUCUGUAUGACACAUUUUUUGUAGAGAAUUCAGUAAUAUGUAUGAUUCAUAAUACAAUCAAUGCUCUACAAAUUUCAAUAGCACAAUUGGAAUAAAAAGCUCAUUCAUUGAUUAUGUUGCUCUAGGUAACUCAACUUAUUGUGAUGUUCACUGUAGAUUUCUCCAUGGUCCAAACGACCUUUGUGAUCAGUUAUGUUUAUGCAUUUUGUAGAAUUGUAAAGUCUUUCCCUAACCUGCUGACGUAUCAGCCGGAGCAUGAGAAGGGGGUGCACCAAAUAUGGGAUGAGAUGGAGAGGAGUGAAUCAGGCCCAGAUCAACGAUCAUUUACUAUUAUGGUUUAUGGUCUUCAUUCCCAAGAAAAGCUUGAUGAGGCUCUGCAAUAUUACACAACAAUGAAGUCAAGAGGGUUGAUCCCUGAACCAAGGACCAAGAUACUGGUGAAAGCUAUACAUAUGAAGAAAGAUGGGGCUGUCACAGAAGAUCAGUCUGCAAAUAUGACAGGGAAGAAUCUAAAACUGGAUCCACGAUCUAGCCUAUUCCAUGUUCAUAAAUAGUUUGCUGUCAGAUCUUACUUCUAUAACCUCAACAGAGGAUUGCUGGGCACGUAUUAUGUGUCAAAAGAAUCUCUUCUACCAGUGUCCAGAUCACAAUGGCCACACCUUGGGCUACAAUAAAUCAUCAGAAAAGUGUAUUGGCAUCAUGUAUCCCAGAAAGUUUUGCUCAGACUUUCAAUGCCAGGGUAUGUUUUUCAUGUCUGAUAUGGAUCAAUUAUAUUGCAAGUACUGUAUUACACGCUCGUAUUAUGAAGGUUAUGUGAAAUAUGACAGAUGUUUGUUUAUUCAUCUGUUAUGCAUGGCUGUGUCUACUGUCUAGCUGUUGGCUUGUUGCCAACAUAUGCAGCAGCAGGUAGCUUCAGCCGCUCAGAAGCCCAAAUGAAGGAUGGCCCAGGCAGAAUAGCUAUGUCUAGACCCAGAAAGCUUAGGACAUGUCUUGCCAGCCUGCAGUUUUGUACUCGUAGCACCAACCAUCUCCGGGUUCUGGCCGGUUAUAUACAUGGUCUGGACUCUGGAAUGGGCAUCCGCUGAUCGAUUGAAACCUUGAGCUGCUUCCGUGUUUGUCUUUUACCAUCUAUAUAUUAUGGUUAGUCAACGGCAUGCAGUACACCCAUGCAUAUGAUUGCAGUAGGAUGACAUGGCGCGACCAGAACCCUUCUUUUGCCAGUUUUAGAUUCUUAUACACGGCCAACUGACGCAGCAGGGAGUUGCAUGCUAAGCAGUUCAGCGUAGGUGGUGAGUUCUCAACUCUGAUAUGGCUUAUGGAAGAACACUGUCACGGUGUUACCUAGCCGGUUGGAGGCCAACCUCUUACUAGGGACAGCAAUGGCCCUGUCCGGCCACUGUUUCGUGGCUGGUAUUAUUACCCCUAUGCAGUGAAUAUGACAUGUGGAUCUAUGUGUAUAUUAUGUCGUCAAAAGAACAUUAUAUGAACCGUUGAUCCACCUUUGAUUCUAUUAAUGUGUCAUGGUCAAUUGAUGUCAAACUCUAUUAUCUUCAAGUCUUAUUGUAUUGAUAAAAUCACGAUGCUGCUACUGCCAUUUUGAUGUUUAUAAAAGGGUAUUGAGAACCUGGUGGGUAUCCAUUGGAUGCGCAGGGUUGAUGGUGGGGAAAAAUGAGUGUAAAGGACAGGGAUGCAGUAUUUAGAAAGAUGGGGCUGCCACAGAAAAUAGUCUCCAAGUAUGGCAGGGAAGAAUCUAAAACUGAAUCCUUGAUCAAGACUGUCCCAUAUUCAUAAAUAGUUCACUGACAGAUCUUGCUUCCAUAUUCUGAACAGCUGAUGCUGGGCACAUAGGAGGUUAACCGGUCAGCGGAUCAAAGAAAAUCCACAAUGGCCUCAUCUUGGGUUAGAGACAAUCAUCGGUAAAGAAUCAUAUUGCCGGAUAAGGAUAUCUGUGAUUGGUGGGUGCAGAUCCAUGCUCAUUCAAGAAACACAUGAUUCUUUACGGAUGAUCAUCUCUCAGCACACCCUGCUGAUAAGGUUAUCUGAGAUUGGUGGGUGCAGAUCCUAGAAACAAGCUAGGGCUGAAUGCGCCGCUGUACUUGGAUGUUGUGGUGACACCGUAAUGAUUGUGUGUUUAACGGAGUUUCCCAUAGUGACUAGCGUGCAGGCCGUCCUCGUAUUUGAGAAAAAAAUCAAUGGGCGAAAUGUUUUCACCCAGGUAAUUGUUGCAUUGUAUGAAUAGGCUUAGAUACCUGGUUACUGUGACACAAGAAGAUUUAUCAUAUCUAUCUAUGAAUUAGUGUUAAAUCUCCUACAUAAAUAUCUUCUCUUAUCUCACUUUAUGUAUAUAUAUGACACAGAAGCACAUGUAUAUCGGCAUUGUAGAGAUAGAGAUGAGAGAGAAGCUUAUCUGCUUUUUGGAGAUAAAUAUUCAAAUUACUAGUGUAUGAGAGGGAUAGAAUUAUUCUAUCAUAUUGUUUAUUCAACAUCUAAAAAGAUUCCAUGUUUAGUCAUCUAUAUCGGCGUUGUAGAGAGAGAGACUAGUGUUCAUCUGGUUGGAAGGAUGAGAGAGAGAGGAGAGAGUUUGGAUGAGAUAGAGAGAUAGUGUUCAGCUGGUUGGAAGGAUGAGAGAGAGAGAGAGGAGAGUUUGGAUGAUAGAGAGAUUAGUGUUCACUUGGUUGGAAGGAUGAGAGGGAGAUGAGAGAGUUCGGAUGAGGAGGUAGAGAGUUCGGAAGAGAGAGAGAGGUGAGAGUUCGGAUGAGAGGUGUGAGAGAGGUGAGAGUUCGGAUGAGAGAUAAAGUAGCUUAUAAGGAUGAGAGAGAGAAAGCGGUAUUCAGCUGGAUGGUGGAGACUUCAUAUAUUACUAAUAAUGCAUCCAAACAACAUUUAAAAUUUAAUUCUAAGAAAAACUUUCUCGGUAAAUCAAAACAAGAAAAUUCAAUUGAAUCAAAUUCUACGGAAUCCAUUUCCUAUGAAAUCUAAUUGCUAGAAUAUGAUUCAUGGAAUGAGUUCCAAUUCUAGAGAUCCAAACGGGCCCUAAGAGAAUUGUAGUGAUCAACUCCCAAGUUGCAAUAUAUCCUAGGAAAUAGGUGGUUAUGAGGAUGAUACCUGCAGACAAUACUUUUAAUCCCUCAAUUCUUACAGAGAAUUGCACUAUCAACUGCAUUUUCAUUUGUGCCACGCUGCUCAGCUAUAAAAAACGGGGCAAAUCGACCAAAAUAAAUGAAUAAACCACAUGGUUUAGACUGGUGGCAUAUGUAUGUCUGAUGAGUUUAGAAUCCCAACAGACCUCUGUUUGCUUAUCCAACAGGAGGGAAAAAGUUUACUUACUAAAUCAGCUUUGCAUGUCAGGCUGCAAUUGUUAGAGAGUAGAAUUGGGUAAUUUGUGAACAUAAUUGAAUCAAAGUUUUGUCUCAGACUAGUAAUAGAAAAUGGUGAUGCUCCAUAGCUAGAACAACACGUUCCUACACUAGUUUAAAAAAUCCCCUGAAAUUGGGAACAAUGGUCAAGCCCAAACCAUACUUGGAACUUGGAAGGCCGCUGGCGGAUGUCAAAGUCAAAAACAGAAGCAGACAGCGACGUCUCACCAGAUCACGAAUCAGAUGCGAUGCAUAUACAUGUUGCAGGCAUUAGCACGCAUCCCUUAGGAUUAAACAAUUCAGCAAGUAGCUCCCCUGCUGACCAAGAAAAGCAAGCUCUGUCUCGCAGCAAGCUCUUCAAUACGCUCCAGCCCAGCUCUACCAUGGCAUUGGCAAUGCGCGUCAUGAGCUUGCUUCCUGCCACCAUCGCCGUGAUGAUCGCAGCGGCCUCCUGGGGAGCGCACGGCGGUGCCAGCGACGAGGCCAGCGCGCUGCUUGCUUUCAAGGCUGAGCUCGCCGGCAGCGGCUCCGGCAUGCUUGCAUCCUGGAAUGGCACCGCUGGCGUCUGCAGCUGGGAGGGCGUGGCGUGCACCAGCGGCCAGGUGGUGGCACUGAGCCUGCCCUCUUAUGGGUUCGCCGGAGCCCUCUCCCCGGCCAUUGGGAACCUCACUUUCCUGCGGACCCUGAACCUGAGUUCCAACUGGUUCCAGGGGGAGGUCCCAGCAAGCAUCGGCCGCCUAGCGCGUCUGCAGACGCUUGAUCUGAGCUACAAUGCGUUCUCUGGUACGCUUCCUUCCAACCUCAGUUCCUGUGUCAGCUUACUGCUGUUAGAUCUCAGCAGUAACCGGUUCCAUGGGCGUAUCCCUGUUGAGCUUGGAGACAAGCUAACAAGUCUUCAGAAGUUCUCACUGGGCAACAACAGCUUGACGGGUGCCAUGCCAGGAUUACUAGGUAACCUGUCAUCCCUGAACUACCUUGAUCUGAGAAAAAACCACCUCGAGGGUCCGAUCCCACAUGAACUCGGCAGCAUGGGCGGCCUGCAGGUCCUUUUACUCCAUGACAACAGACUCUCCGGUGUGCUUCCACACUCCCUGUACAAUCUGUCCUCACUGAAAAAGUUGGGGGUAGGAGACAACAUGCUGUCUGGAACCAUCCCUGCUGAUAUCGGCGAUAGGUUCCCCGGUAUGGAAGCUCUUGACUUUUCUAGCAACCGAUUCAGUGGAGCUAUCCCACCUUCGCUCGGCAACCUCUCUGCUCUCACAAAACUAGUCCUUCAAGAAAAUGGUUUUAUUGGAUAUGUGCCUUCUGCUUUGGGAAAGUUGCAAAGUCUUACUGCCCUUUUCUUGGGUGUUAACAGGCUAGGAGCAAACGACAGUCAAGGGUGGGAAUUCAUCACUUCACUGGCAAACAGCUCCCAGCUUCAGGUUCUUGUUCUCGGCAACAACUCUUUCAGCGGGCAACUGCCUAAUUCAGUCACAAACCUGUCAUCAACUCUGCAAGGUCUUUAUUUGGGAGACAAUAUGAUUUCUGGGAAUAUUCCAAUAAACAUCGGAAAUUUGGUUGGUCUUACAGUAUUUGUGAUGGGAAAUACUUCUGUAUCUGGACAGAUUCCAGAGAGCAUUGGUCAGCUAAGAAACUUGGGUGUGUUAGGCCUUUACAACACUAGCUUGUCAGGCCUCAUACCUUCGUCACUAGGAAAUCUUACACAGUUGAAUAGGCUUUAUGCAUACUAUGGAAACUUAGAGGGGCCAAUUCCAUCAAACUUGGGGAACUUAAAGAAUGUGUUUGUCUUUGAUCUCUCAACAAAUCGACUCAAUGGUUCAAUUCCUAUAGAGGUUUUAAAACUUCCUCAACUUUCCUGGUACUUAGACUUAUCAUAUAAUUCAUUAUCCGGGCCACUUCCAAUUGAGGUUGGUACCAUGGUGAAUCUUAACGAACUGAUUCUGUCUGGAAACAAGUUGUCAGGCACCAUACCAGCUAGUGUUGGGAACUGUAUAUCGUUGGUACGGCUGCUGCUCGAUAACAACUUAUUAGAAGGAAGCAUACCUCAAUCUCUGAAGAAUAUAAAAGGUCUUGCAUUACUGAACCUAACAAUGAAUAAGCUAUCUGGUAGUAUUCCUGAUGCCCUUGCUAGCAUUGGCCACCUGCAACAACUGUAUCUUGCACACAACAACUUGUCAGGUUCCAUCCCCAAAGUUCUACAGAAUUUGACAUUGUUGGCAAAACUGGAUUUGUCCUUCAAUGAUCUGCAAGGCGAAGUGCCAAAAGGGGGUCCUUUUGCAAAUGCAACUCACUUGUCAAUUGAUGGAAAUGAUGAGCUUUGUGGCGGAAACC
rnacentral:lncRNA from 1 species